rnacentral:lncRNA from 1 species
GGAUGUGUUAUGAGUGAACUGUAACCUUGUGCAUCUUCCAUCGCGUCCGGUACUCCACCUUCUGUAGAGUGCUGCACUAAUUUAAAGCAACAGCAGCCUUGCUUUUGCCAGUACCUCAAAGACCCAAGCUUAAAAGGGUAUAUUAAGUCUCCCAACGCCAAGAAGGUUGCUCGUGCUUGCGGAGUGCCGAUUUCCACUAAUUGUUAACUAUCUAUGCUUAUGCCAAGAGAGUACAUUGGGAGUACUAUUCCCAUGAAAAGUAAUUUGCUAGCUAGCUUUAAUCAGAAUAAUGAUGCACUUGUGUCCAUCUUUCUUAUAAUGGAAAAUAAAUAACUCUGGGACCGACUAUCUUGUUAAUUUAUUAGCAUGGGAUGUGUUACGGGAGUGUUGGACAGGUCCAUAUGUACUAUUUAUAAUAGAGAUAACAGGAAUUGUAUCUCACUAUAUGAAUAUAUAUUUCAUAAUUCACUAGUAGAAGUAAUAUCUGUUAGCGAAAGUUGGAAAUUUUAAAUAUACAUUAUAAAAACUAAACAUUAAUAUAUAUAUAUAUAUAUAUAUAUAUAUAUAUAUAUUUUUUAUUUAUUUAUUUAUUAUUAUUUUUUUUUNNNNNNNNNNNNNNNNNNNNNNNNNNNNNNNNNNNNNNNNNNNNNNNNNNNNNNNNNNNNNNNNNNNNNNNNNNNNNNNNNNNNNNNNNNNNNNNNNNNNNNNNNNNNNNNNNNNNNNNNNNNNNNNNNNNNNNNNNNNNNNNNNNNNNNNNNNNNNNNNNNNNNNNNNNNNNNNNNNNNNNNNNNNNNNNNNNNNNNNNNNNNNNNNNNNNNNNNNNNNNNNNNNNNNNNNNNNNNNNNNNNNNNNNNNNNNNNNNNNNNNNNNNNNNNNNNNNNNNNNNNNNNNNNNNNNNNNNNNNNNNNNNNNNNNNNNNNNNNNNNNNNNNNNNNNNNNNNNNNNNNNNNNNNNNNNNNNNNNNNNNNNNNNNNNNNNNNNNNNNNNNNNNNNNNNNNNNNNNNNNNNNNNNNNNNNNNNNNNNNNNNNNNNNNNNNNNNNNNNNNNNNNNNNNNNNNNNNNNNNNNNNNNNNNNNNNNNNNNNNNNNNNNNNNNNNNNNNNNNNNNNNNNNNNNNNNNNNNNNNNNNNNNNNNNNNNNNNNNNNNNNNNNNNNNNNNNNNNNNNNNNNNNNNNNNNNNNNNNNNNNNNNNNNNNNNNNNNNNNNNNNNNNNNNNNNNNNNNNNNNNNNNNNNNNNNNNNNNNNNNNNNNNNNNNNNNNNNNNNNNNNNNNNNNNNNNNNNNNNNNNNNNNNNNNNNNNNNNNNNNNNNNNNNNNNNNNNNNNNNNNNNNNNNNNNNNNNNNNNNNNNNNNNNNNNNNNNNNNNNNNNNNNNNNNNNNNNNNNNNNNNNNNNNNNNNNNNNNNNNNNNNNNNNNNNNNNNNNNNNNNNNNNNNNNNNNNNNNNNNNNNNNNNNNNNNNNNNNNNNNNNNNNNNNNNNNNNNNNNNNNNNNNNNNNNNNNNNNNNNNNNNNNNNNNNNNNNNNNNNNNNNNNNNNNNNNNNNNNNNNNNNNNNNNNNNNNNNNNNNNNNNNNNNNNNNNNNNNNNNNNNNNNNNNNNNNNNNNNNNNNNNNNNNNNNNNNNNNNNNNNNNNNNNNNNNNNNNNNNNNNNNNNNNNNNNNNNNNNNNNNNNNNNNNNNNNNNNNNNNNNNNNNNNNNNNNNNNNNNNNNNNNNNNNNNNNNNNNNNNNNNNNNNNNNNNNNNNNNNNNNNNNNNNNNNNNNNNNNNNNNNNNNNNNNNNNNNNNNNNNNNNNNNNNNNNNNNNNNNNNNNNNNNNNNNNNNNNNNNNNNNNNNNNNNNNNNNNNNNNNNNNNNNNNNNNNNNNNNNNNNNNNNNNNNNNNNNNNNNNNNNNNNNNNNNNNNNNNNNNNNNNNNNNNNNNNNNNNNNNNNNNNNNNNNNNNNNNNNNNNNNNNNNNNNNNNNNNNNNNNNNNNNNNNNNNNNNNNNNNNNNNNNNNNNNNNNNNNNNNNNNNNNNNNNNNNNNNNNNNNNNNNNNNNNNNNNNNNNNNNNNNNNNNNNNNNNNNNNNNNNNNNNNNNNNNNNNNNNNNNNNNNNNNNNNNNNNNNNNNNNNNNNNNNNNNNNNNNNNNNNNNNNNNNNNNNNNNNNNNNNNNNNNNNNNNNNNNNNNNNNNNNNNNNNNNNNNNNNNNNNNNNNNNNNNNNNNNNNNNNNNNNNNNNNNNNNNNNNNNNNNNNNNNNNNNNNNNNNNNNNNNNNNNNNNNNNNNNNNNNNNNNNNNNNNNNNNNNNNNNNNNNNNNNNNNNNNNNNNNNNNNNNNNNNNNNNNNNNNNNNNNNNNNNNNNNNNNNNNNNNNNNNNNNNNNNNNNNNNNNNNNNNNNNNNNNNNNNNNNNNNNNNNNNNNNNNNNNNNNNNNNNNNNNNNNNNNNNNNNNNNNNNNNNNNNNNNNNNNNNNNNNNNNNNNNNNNNNNNNNNNNNNNNNNNNNNNNNNNNNNNNNNNNNNNNNNNNNNNNNNNNNNNNNNNNNNNNNNNNNNNNNNNNNNNNNNNNNNNNNNNNNNNNNNNNNNNNNNNNNNNNNNNNNNNNNNNNNNNNNNNNNNNNNNNNNNNNNNNNNNNNNNNNNNNNNNNNNNNNNNNNNNNNNNNNNNNNNNNNNNNNNNNNNNNNNNNNNNNNNNNNNNNNNNNNNNNNNNNNNNNNNNNNNNNNNNNNNNNNNNNNNNNNNNNNNNNNNNNNNNNNNNNNNNNNNNNNNNNNNNNNNNNNNNNNNNNNNNNNNNNNNNNNNNNNNNNNNNNNNNNNNNNNNNNNNNNNNNNNNNNNNNNNNNNNNNNNNNNNNNNNNNNNNNNNNNNNNNNNNNNNNNNNNNNNNNNNNNNNNNNNNNNNNNNNNNNNNNNNNNNNNNNNNNNNNNNNNNNNNNNNNNNNNNNNNNNNNNNNNNNNNNNNNNNNNNNNNNNNNNNNNNNNNNNNNNNNNNNNNNNNNNNNNNNNNNNNNNNNNNNNNNNNNNNNNNNNNNNNNNNNNNNNNNNNNNNNNNNNNNNNNNNNNNNNNNNNNNNNNNNNNNNNNNNNNNNNNNNNNNNNNNNNNNNNNNNNNNNNNNNNNNNNNNNNNNNNNNNNNNNNNNNNNNNNNNNNNNNNNNNNNNNNNNNNNNNNNNNNNNNNNNNNNNNNNNNNNNNNNNNNNNNNNNNNNNNNNNNNNNNNNNNNNNNNNNNNNNNNNNNNNNNNNNNNNNNNNNNNNNNNNNNNNNNNNNNNNNNNNNNNNNNNNNNNNNNNNNNNNNNNNNNNNNNNNNNNNNNNNNNNNNNNNNNNNNNNNNNNNNNNNNNNNNNNNNNNNNNNNNNNNNNNNNNNNNNNNNNNNNNNNNNNNNNNNNNNNNNNNNNNNNNNNNNNNNNNNNNNNNNNNNNNNNNNNNNNNNNNNNNNNNNNNNNNNNNNNNNNNNNNNNNNNNNNNNNNNNNNNNNNNNNNNNNNNNNNNNNNNNNNNNNNNNNNNNNNNNNNNNNNNNNNNNNNNNNNNNNNNNNNNNNNNNNNNNNNNNNNNNNNNNNNNNNNNNNNNNNNNNNNNNNNNNNNNNNNNNNNNNNNNNNNNNNNNNNNNNNNNNNNNNNNNNNNNNNNNNNNNNNNNNNNNNNNNNNNNNNNNNNNNNNNNNNNNNNNNNNNNNNNNNNNNNNNNNNNNNNNNNNNNNNNNNNNNNNNNNNNNNNNNNNNNNNNNNNNNNNNNNNNNNNNNNNNNNNNNNNNNNNNNNNNNNNNNNNNNNNNNNNNNNNNNNNNNNNNNNNNNNNNNNNNNNNNNNNNNNNNNNNNNNNNNNNNNNNNNNNNNNNNNNNNNNNNNNNNNNNNNNNNNNNNNNNNNNNNNNNNNNNNNNNNNNNNNNNNNNNNNNNNNNNNNNNNNNNNNNNNNNNNNNNNNNNNNNNNNNNNNNNNNNNNNNNNNNNNNNNNNNNNNNNNNNNNNNNNNNNNNNNNNNNNNNNNNNNNNNNNNNNNNNNNNNNNNNNNNNNNNNNNNNNNUAUAGAAAUAUUUGAAAAUUUUGGAGUGAGUGGGAUGUAAAGAAUAUGCGAUGAACUAUUUAAGGGCUACAAUGAAGCAGAUUUGGGGCUAUUCUGAUUCAUCAUGCAUCCUAUGGAUAGUGUGUGGGUGAAUGUAGCAUAGUAAUACAUGGAUCAAGCCUAUGAGAUGUGCAUUCAAAAUCAGGCUCGAUUAAUGUCUUGUUGGAAAAUGAAUGAAAGGUACAACGAACCAAAAACUAGAUUAAAACUACCAAGUAACUAGAUUGGAACCACCUCUUAGCAGGAGACUGAAGUUUAAUAUUGACGUUGAGGUUUGAAAAAACCAAGGCUUUGUCAAUUUAGAGGAUCUGGUACGAGUCAAUAAUUGGGUGGUGGUGGGCAUACAAUCCAAGAGGCUAUAAGGGUAUCUACAGCUGUUGAUGGUGAGGCCAUUGCAUUUCAAGAAGGGCUAUUUUUGCAUUAGAUUAGGGCUAUCAUCGAGUUGUUUCCGGGUAUGAUUCCUUCCAUGUCAUCACCAAGCUUCAAUUCGAGUCUGAUUGUGCCUGUCAAGGAUAGUCCCUAAUGAGUAACCAAUCUCCACCCUGGAACUACAUUUUCCUACGCCAUCAACACUCCUGAUUCCUCCCCAAUCAUAGCCAUCCUCUCAAACUGAUAAACACCUAAUUGCCCUCAACAUUUUUGCUUAAAGGAAAAAGCUAACACCCUCAAUCUUUCCACAAUGGCAUGCCCAGUUCGAAGCCCUCUUUAUUCUAUAUGACCUCCUUAACUAUAUCAUCGGAGAUCAUACGCCCCGUUUCUAUUGGUUCCAUUGCUUUCACUGCCCAAAAACCACACUAGGUUGACCAGGAUAAGCUCAUCUUUGAUGCUAUUCUGGCCUCCAACACUACAACCAUUUCCUCCCUCACCUCUGCUACCAAAACAUCCCAAGAGGCAUGGAAGAAAUUAAACACCAUGUAUGCGAGUAAAUCAUGAACCUGUUCAAUGUAACUAAAUGAGAAGCUUAUAUUGAUUUAGCGGGGCAAUCAUCCCAUAUCCGAUUAUCUGCAAACGUUGAAAGGCUUUGCAGAUGAUAUUACCCUCAUCAAUCAUCCUGUAUAUAGUGAUGAUCUUAGCUUUUACAUUCUUCAUGGUUUGGUAUCGCUUUCAGGAGAUUUUCAUCUCUAUUCAUGCUCGAGCAAACUUGUUGGACUUUGAAGAACUUUAUAAACUCCUUGUCAACCAUGAAAGCUAGUUUUGUCGCCUUGAAGCCAUCGUUCAGUAGCUAGUUGCCAUAGCCAAUUCCACCUACUGAUACUCUAAUUUGCAUGAUGUAACUAGAAGUGAAAGCCCCUAGCAAUGUAGGUCUUAUAAGGCCAAUGGGUCUUUNUGUAGCAAUUUUAUCCAUCUCAUACAGCAAUACAGACAAACCUGGUAAGUUAAUCUAAAACAUGGAGGCAAAUGCCUAGACAAAAGCAAGCACAAAUGAUUGACAGAAAACUAAAUGUCUGAUGAGUUCACCAGUAGAACUAGCUUAAACUAUUGGUGAAUAAAUUGUGGAAAGUUUCAGCUCCUCCUAAGAUUGGAAUCUUCUUCUGGAGAACAUACAAUGAUGUGCUCAUAUUAGCAAUGCUAAAAGGGAUGUGGGAUAGAAUGGGAGAGCAUGCCACAUCCUAUUUUAGUGUGAUGCAUCUAAGUACUUAUAGAAAUAUUUGAAAAUUUUGGAGUGAGUGGGAUGUAAAGAAUAUGCGAUGAACUAUUUAAGGGCUACAAUGAAGCAGAUUUGGGGCUAUUCUGAUUCAUCAUGCAUCCUAUGGAUAGUGUGUGGGUGAAUGUAGCAUAGUAAUACAUGGAUCAAGCCUAUGAGAUGUGCAUUCAAAAUCAGGCUCGAUUAAUGUCUUGUUGGAAAAUGAAUGAAAGGUACAACGAACCAAAAACUAGAUUAAAACUACCAAGUAACUAGAUUGGAACCACCUCUUAGCAGGAGACUGAAGUUUAAUAUUGACGUUGAGGUUUGAAAAAACCAAGGCUUUGUCAAUUUAGAGGAUCUGGUACGAGUCAAUAAUUGGGUGGUGGUGGGCAUACAAUCCAAGAGGCUAUAAGGGUAUCUACAGCUGUUGAUGGUGAGGCCAUUGCAUUUCAAGAAGGGCUAUUUUUGCAUUAGAUUAGGGCUAUCAUCGAGUUGUUUCCGGGUAUGAUUCCUUCCAUGUCAUCACCAAGCUUCAAUUCGAGUCUGAUUGUGCCUGUCAAGGAUAGUCCCUAAUGAGUAACCAAUCUCCACCCUGGAACUACAUUUUCCUACGCCAUCAACACUCCUGAUUCCUCCCCAAUCAUAGCCAUCCUCUCAAACUGAUAAACACCUAAUUGCCCUCAACAUUUUUGCUUAAAGGAAAAAGCUAACACCCUCAAUCUUUCCACAAUGGCAUGCCCAGUUCGAAGCCCUCUUUAUUCUAUAUGACCUCCUUAACUAUAUCAUCGGAGAUCAUACGCCCCGUUUCUAUUGGUUCCAUUGCUUUCACUGCCCAAAAACCACACUAGGUUGACCAGGAUAAGCUCAUCUUUGAUGCUAUUCUGGCCUCCAACACUACAACCAUUUCCUCCCUCACCUCUGCUACCAAAACAUCCCAAGAGGCAUGGAAGAAAUUAAACACCAUGUAUGCGAGUAAAUCAUGAACCUGUUCAAUGUAACUAAAUGAGAAGCUUAUAUUGAUUUAGCGGGGCAAUCAUCCCAUAUCCGAUUAUCUGCAAACGUUGAAAGGCUUUGCAGAUGAUAUUACCCUCAUCAAUCAUCCUGUAUAUAGUGAUGAUCUUAGCUUUUACAUUCUUCAUGGUUUGGUAUCGCUUUCAGGAGAUUUUCAUCUCUAUUCAUGCUCGAGCAAACUUGUUGGACUUUGAAGAACUUUAUAAACUCCUUGUCAACCAUGAAAGCUAGUUUUGUUGCCUUGAAGCCAUCGUUCAGUAGCUAGUUGCCAUAGCCAAUUCUACCUACUGAUACUCUAAUUUGCAUGAUGUAACUAGAAGUGAAAGCCCCUAGCAAUGUAGGUCUUAUAAGGCCAAUGGGUCUUUAUAGUCUUCAGGCCCAUCCCACCCCUAACAACAUUGUGACAAAAAAAGUCCACGUUGCAUUCUUUCGAUAUUACCCGUGAAUUGUUUCUCCAUUUCUCAACUAAAGAAAAUAAAUGACUCAUUGAUUCUGGGGCAUCUCACAACAUUACUGAUGAUUUGGCAAAUUUGUCCAUCCAUUUUGAAUAUUAUUAGACAGAUGAUGUUGUAAUUGGCGAUGAAUCAAGUUUGUAUGUGUGAGUCCAAAAAUCCAGCAAUACCCAAGUGAUACCAGGCUCAGUUUCCACCAAAAGUCGACACCACCACUAUUGAGACACACCGAAAUCUCUCUUUUCUUCUUCUCACAUACGGUUGCUACUCAUACCCACAAAGAGCCUGCCAAGAUGAGAUCAAUAUAGUCCAAGAGACACCACAUAGGUUGGUUGAGAGAAAGAGGUCGAGAGUUAGCCGAGAAGAACUCACAGAGAGAAGUAAAGAAGACGACCAUUUGGGAGGCGUGAAGGAGCCAAGAGUUAUAGCCCAAAGGUGUGACCAUAUAUGGUAAGUUAGGGCAGGUUAGCUUAGUGGUCCAAAAGAGGCUUAACACAAAAUGUAUUGGGCUCCAAAUGAAUAUCGUAGCCAUCCAAGUAAAUGGGACGGGCCACAAGGAACACUAUUAAAAUAGGUUGCUUCUAAUGGCCCGUAGAAAAUUGAAUUGGGUCGUCUCGAUGGUAGUGUCGACAUAAGUUCAAUCAUAUGGCCAAGGCCGAUUGAUAAUAUAAAAUCAAGGUUACAUCAUUGCUCGGGAGGUCAUUUGACAACAAAUUGCCUAACAACCUCCAACUUGGUGUCAAAGGACCUGCAAAACAAAAUGUCUUCCUUUAGUGACACCUCUAAUAGAAAAAAAUAAAAUUGGAAAUCAUUUAUCUGUACCAAUGUUUAGAAGUUCCUUGCAACUUCUAAACUUUGCCAGUGGUAGUACCUUCGUCCCCAUAUCGGAAGGGUUGUAGUGGGUGUGGACCUUUUUAAGUCUUACCACCUCUUGAGAUACUAUCUCUCUAAUGAAGUGGAGUCUAACAUCAAUGUGUUUAGUGCACUCGUGAAAAACGAGGUUCUUAUACAAAUGUAUAGGUGACUGACAAUCAGAAUACACUACCACAUAUUCGUUCAAGACACAUAGUUCAUGAAGUAAACCUCUAAGCCAUAAGGCCUCUUUAAUUGCUUCAGUAGUAGCAAUAUACUCAGAUGCAGUGGUAGAUAGUGCAACAAUAUGUUGUAACUGUGAUUUCCGACUAACACAUAAAUUUGAUAGGGUAAACACGUAAGAGGAAGUCUAUUUCCUACCAUCCCUAUCUCCCGCAUAAUCAGUAUCUACAAAACCCUUCAAUUUUACACUUUCCUUAUUAGCACUGAACUUUAGACCUACACCACCCGUACCUUUCAAGUACCUUAAUAACCACUUUAAUGCUUCCCAAUGUUCAGGGCUCGGAUUAGCCAUGUAUCUACUGAGAGUACUAACAGCAAAACCUAAAUCCGGUCUAGUGCAAACCAUCAAAUACAUUAUGGAACCAAUCACAUUAGAGUAAGGUACUCUACUCAUAUAUUCUACUUUACACUCAUUGCAGGGGGGAUUGUUCCUUCGAUAAAACAAAAUGAUUAGCAACAGGCAACAUGACAAGUUUGCAAUCACUCAUAUUAAAUUUCUUCAAUACAUUGGAUAUGUAUGGAGACUGAUGCAAAAAUAAAACGGAAUUUGACAUAUCUCUUUCUAUUUCCAUACCUAGGAUUCUCUUAGCCUUACCUAGGUCUUUCAUGUCAAAUUCAUCACUUAGUUUUACUUUUAUGUUAUUUAUCCACUUAGAGGAUGAUCCAAUCAAGAGCAUGUCAUCCACAUAGAGCAACAAAAACGGAUAAUUAUUAUCAGUCUCAUUGUGUUGAAAAUACAAGCAGUGAUCAAAUUUACUUUUUUAGAACUCUAUAGUGAGCACAAAGGAAUCAAAUCUCUUAUACCACUGUCUAGGAGAUUGCUUUAACCCAUACAAGGAUCUUCUCAGAAAACACACAUAAUCAGGUUUUGACUUAUCCUUAAAACCUUUUGGUUGAUUUAUGAAGAUUUGUUCAUCAAGCUCACCAUGUAAAAAAUCAGUUUUUACAUCAAGUUGUUCAAGUUCCCACUCAAAGUGUGCAACCAAUGCGAGCAUGACCCUAAUAGUGGUGUACUUAACAACUGGUGAGAAAAUCUCAUUAUAAUCAACGCCCUCCUUCUAUGUGUAGCCUUUAGCUACUAACCUAGCUUUAAACAUUAAGGGUUCCGAGCUAUUAGUACCUUCUUUAACCUUAAAGACUCAUUUGUAAUCAACAAUCAAUUUGUUCUUGGGCCUAGGUACUAGCUCCCAGGUAUGAUUCUUUUCUAGCGAACUCUCUUCUUUCAUUGCCUUAAGCCAUUCAUUAAAUUGAUCACUGUCUAUUGCCUCUUUAAAGGUUUUUGGCUCUUUAUCAGCCAGCUCUUCAUAACUAGCCUGGGCGAAAGCUAAUUCAGAUUCAAAACCGAACCUUCUAGGUUCUCUCAUUUGUCUCCUCUCUCUAUCCCUAACUAAGUUGUAGUUAGCUAAAUGAUUUUCUUCCUCAUAGUGCUCUUCUAUCGCUACUUUGUUACUAUUCUCCACCUCAGGUUCCUGAACUUGAAUCUCCACCUUAUUAGGAGUAGUAGGGACAAGUGUACUGAGCUUUCCUAACUCCACCUGAUUCAGUUUCACUCUCAGGUUCAGUUUCUCCUUUAAUACACGGCAUCUCAUUCUCGUUAAACGUGACAUCUUUACUUAUGAUGAUCUUAACCCCUUUUUGGCUUCUAUCCCAUAGCCUAUAACCCUUAACACCCUCUUGGUAUCCUAGAAAAACACACUUCCUAGCUCUAGGUUCCAACUUACCCUUACUUUGAUGAGAAAAAGCUGUACAGCCAAAAGUUCUAAGUAUCGAGUAAUCAAUCAGUUUAACCGACCAUCUCUCAUGCAGAGUGUCACCAUUCACUGCAGCAGAAGGAGUCAAGUUAAUCAUAUGACAAGCAGUCAUAAUAGCCUCACCCCAAAAUGACUUGGGAACACCAGAACUUAUCAUUAUGCAAUGUACUUUAUCAAUUAUGGUCCUAUUCAUCCAUUCUGCUACCCCAUUUUGCUGAGGAGUGUAAGGAAUAGUCUUAUGUCUAGUUAUGCCGCUUUCUUUACACAUACUAUCAAAUUUCUUAUUGCAGAAUUCUAGGCCGUUAUCUAUCCUUAAAAAUUUGAUUUUCUUGUCAGUUUGGUUUUCCACUUGUCUCUUCCAAUUGUUAAAACUAUUAAAGGUCUCAGAUUUAUCUUUCAAUAGAUAGACCACACUUUCCUAGUGUAGUCAUCGAUAAUAGACAGGAAAUACCUAUUCCCACCCGAUGUGGGAUUACUAGCAGGACCCCACAGAUCAGAGUGCACGUAUUCGAGCAUGCCUUUAGCUCUAUUAUCACUCGUGGAGAAAGAAGUUUUAUGAUACUUACCAAGCACACAAAAUGAUAAAUCUGACACAUAGUCAUUACGAAAAGUACCUUUUUCGUUAAGUAGCUUAAGUCCCUUGAUGCCUACGUGAGCAAGUCUAUUUUGCCAUGUGUGUGUGUGUGAUCAAUCUUGGUAGGGGAGAUAGAGGGUUUCACACCUCUAAUCACUUUCCCAGUAGUAAUAUAUAUAUCGUUUGUCUUAAUUCCCUUAAUGAAAAAUAACAAAUCUGACACAUAGUCAUUACGAAAAGUACCUUUUUCGUUAAGUAGCUUAAGUCCCUUGAUGCCUACGUGAGCAAGUCUAUUUUGCCAUGUGUGUGUGUGUGAUCAAUCUUGGUAGAGGAGAUAGAGGGUUUCACACCUCUAAUCACUUUCCCAGUAGUAAUAUAUAUAUCGUUUGUCUUAAUUCCCUUAAUGAAAACUAAAGCACUCUUAAUCAUUUUUAGCAUACCAUUUCCAAUUUUACUAGUAAAGUCAUCCCUUUCAAGUCUCCCUACUGAAAUCAGAUUCAUAGACAACUCAGUAAUAUAUCUAGCAUCCUUUAACGUGUAUACAAAACCUGUGUCAAAUUUUACGUUUAUGUCACCAAUUCCAGUAUUAGUAAAGGCAAAGUUAUCACACAGCACAACAUGCCCAACAUUAGAUUCAUACAACUUAUAAAACCAAUUCUUUUCAGACGUCACAUGAAAAGAUGCACCAGAGUCAAGUAUCCACUCAUGCAUGCGGGAAUUAGCAGUUAGAUUUAAUUCAGCAGUAUAUGCAACGAGACUUGUAAUCAUAUAGACCGCACCACUUUUUAUAUCGGAAGUAGAUGCUAACAUAUUGACCUCAUCUCUCUCCUUAACCUUUAGCUUACCCUUUCCUUAUGACAAUCCUUUAUAAAAUGUCCCGUGUUUCCACAACCAUAGCAUUUUCUUGUCUUAGUCCUAGAUUUUGAUCUAGACCUACCUUUGCUCUUCUUCUUCCAUCCAUUACCACUUGACUCGCCACUAGUUUGAUAUCCAUCAUGACUAUUUUGCCUAAAUUGAGUUCUACCCCGCAUCAUAUGUACUUCAACGUUCCUCUUAUCGUGUUUUUCAGUACUAAUUUUCAUUUCUUUACUUCUAAGGAAAUCUAUGAUAAUUUCAGGUGUCAACGUAUCUNNNNNNNNNNNNNNNNNNNNNNNNNNNNNNNNNNNNNNNNNNNNNNNNNNNNNNNNNNNNNNNNNNNNNNNNNNNNNNNNNNNNNNNNNNNNNNNNNNNNNNNNNNNNNNNNNNNNNNNNNNNNNNNNNNNNNNNNNNNNNNNNNNNNNNNNNNNNNNNNNNNNNNNNNNNNNNNNNNNNNNNNNNNNNNNNNNNNNNNNNNNNNNNNNNNNNNNNNNNNNNNNNNNNNNNNNNNNNNNNNNNNNNNNNNNNNNNNNNNNNNNNNNNNNNNNNNNNNNNNNNNNNNNNNNNNNNNNNNNNNNNNNNNNNNNNNNNNNNNNNNNNNNNNNNNNNNNNNNNNNNNNNNNNNNNNNNNNNNNNNNNNNNNNNNNNNNNNNNNNNNNNNNNNNNNNNNNNNNNNNNNNNNNNNNNNNNNNNNNNNNNNNNNNNNNNNNNNNNNNNNNNNNNNNNNNNNNNNNNNNNNNNNNNNNNNNNNNNNNNNNNNNNNNNNNNNNNNNNNNNNNNNNNNNNNNNNNNNNNNNNNNNNNNNNNNNNNNNNNNNNNNNNNNNNNNNNNNNNNNNNNNNNNNNNNNNNNNNNNNNNNNNNNNNNNNNNNNNNNNNNNNNNNNNNNNNNNNNNNNNNNNNNNNNNNNNNNNNNNNNNNNNNNNNNNNNNNNNNNNNNNNNNNNNNNNNNNNNNNNNNNNNNNNNNNNNNNNNNNNNNNNNNNNNNNNNNNNNNNNNNNNNNNNNNNNNNNNNNNNNNNNNNNNNNNNNNNNNNNNNNNNNNNNNNNNNNNNNNNNNNNNNNNNNNNNNNNNNNNNNNNNNNNNNNNNNNNNNNNNNNNNNNNNNNNNNNNNNNNNNNNNNNNNNNNNNNNNNNNNNNNNNNNNNNNNNNNNNNNNNNNNNNNNNNNNNNNNNNNNNNNNNNNNNNNNNNNNNNNNNNNNNNNNNNNNNNNNNNNNNNNNNNNNNNNNNNNNNNNNNNNNNNNNNNNNNNNNNNNNNNNNNNNNNNNNNNNNNNNNNNNNNNNNNNNNNNNNNNNNNNNNNNNNNNNNNNNNNNNNNNNNNNNNNNNNNNNNNNNNNNNNNNNNNNNNNNNNNNNNNNNNNNNNNNNNNNNNNNNNNNNNNNNNNNNNNNNNNNNNNNCACUCCACCUUAAACUGGUCUCUCUCUUCACCUGAUUCAGCUUCACUCUCAGGUUUAGUUUCCCCUUUAAUACAUGGCAUCUCAUUCUCAUUAAACGUGACAUCCCUACUUAUGAUGAUCUUAACCCCUUUUUGGCUUCUAUCCCAUAGCCUAUAACCCUUAACACCCUCUUGGUAUCCUAGAAAAACACACUUCCUAGCUCUAGGUUCCAACUUACCCUUACUUUGAUGAGAAAAAGCUGUACAGCCAAAAGUUCUAAGUAUCGAGUAAUCAAUCAGUUUAACCGACCAUCUCUCAUGCAGAGUGUCACCAUUCACUGCAGCAGAAGGAGUCAAGUUAAUCAUAUGACAAGCAGUCAUAAUAGCCUCACCCCAAAAUGACUUGGGAACACCAGAACUUAUCAUUAUGCAAUGUACUUUAUCAAUUAUGGUCCUAUUCAUCCAUUCUGCUACCCCAUUUUGCUGAGGAGUGUAAGGAAUAGUCUUAUGUCUAGUUAUGCCGCUUUCUUUACACAUACUAUCAAAUUUCUUAUUGCAGAAUUCUAGGCCGUUAUCUAUCCUUAAAAAUUUGAUUUUCUUGUCAGUUUGGUUUUCCACUUGUCUCUUCCAAUUGUUAAAACUAUUAAAGGUCUCAGAUUUAUCUUUCAAUAGAUAGACCACACUUUCCUAGUGUAGUCAUCGAUAAUAGACAGGAAAUACCUAUUCCCACCCGAUGUGGGAUUACUAGCAGGACCCCACAGAUCAGAGUGCACGUAUUCGAGCAUGCCUUUAGCUCUAUUAUCACUCGUGGAGAAAGAAGUUUUAUGAUACUUACCAAGCACACAAAAUGACAAAUCUGAUACAUAGUCAUUACCAAAAGUACCUUUUUCGUUAAGUAGCUUAAGUCCCUUGAUGCCUACGUGAGCAAGUCUAUUUUGCCAUGUGUGUGUGUGUGAUCAAUCUUGGUAGAGGAGAUAGAGGGUUUCACACCUCUAAUCACUUUCCCAGUAGUAAUAUAUAUAUCGUUUGUCUUAAUUCCCUUAAUGAAAACUAAAGCACUCUUAAUCAUUUUUAGCAUACCAUUUCCAAUUUUACUAGUAAAGUCAUCCCUUUCAAGUCUCCCUACUGAAAUCAGAUUCAUAGACAACUCAGUAAUAUAUCUAGCAUCCUUUAACGUGUAUACAAAACCUGUGUCAAAUUUUACGUUUAUGUCACCAAUUCCAGUAUUAGUAAAGGCAAAGUUAUCACACAGCACAACAUGCCCAACAUUAGAUUCAUACAACUUAUAAAACCAAUUCUUUUCAGACGUCACAUGAAAAGAUGCACCAGAGUCAAGUAUCCACUCAUGCAUGCGGGAAUUAGCAGUUAGAUUUAAUUCAGCAGUAUAUGCAACGAGACUUGUAAUCAUAUAGACCGCACCACUUUUUAUAUCGGAAGUAGAUGCUAACAUAUUGACCUCAUCUCUCUCCUUAACCUUUAGCUUACCCUUUCCUUAUGACAAUCCUUUAUAAAAUGUCCCGUGUUUCCACAACCAUAGCAUUUUCUUGUCUUAGUCCUAGAUUUUGAUCUAGACCUACCUUUGCUCUUCUUCUUCCAUCCAUUACCACUUGACUCGCCACUAGUUUGAUAUCCAUCAUGACUAUUUUGCCUAAAUUGAGUUCUACCCCGCAUCAUAUGUACUUCAACGUUCCUCUUAUCGUGUUUUUCAGUACUAAUUUUCAUUUCUUUACUUCUAAGGAAAUCUAUGAUAAUUUCAGGUGUCAACGUAUUUGUACCAUACUUAAUGGCAUUUUUAACUUCCUUAUAGGAAUCAGGAAUUGCAUUGAGCAAAAUUAUAGUCUUAUAAAUUUCGGACACAGUCUCAUCACAAUUAACUAUAUCUUGCACCAAUUUGUUAAACACGUCUAAAUUGUCAUCAAGAUCCUUUGAAGGAUCUAUUUUAAAACUGAAAAAAACGUUCGAACAAGUAAAGUUUGUUCGGUGUAGAUUAAGUAAAUAUAAGUUUUCUAAUUUUUUCCAAAGUUCUUUAGUGGUUUUCAGUUUACCCACCUUUCUUAAAACAUCGUCAGAUAAGUGUAAAAUGAUUGAGGUAUAAGCAAGCUCAUCGGCUUCUUCUCUUUGUUCUUGUGAAAAAUCAGUUGAAAAAUUACCUUCAAUGACCUUUGAAACUUUUUGUUGGACUAAAAUGCCCUUCAUUUUUUGUUACCAAAUAGCAAAAUCACCAUUUCCAUUAAAAAUCUCAAAAUCAAAGUUGUGAGUUAUCAUCUUUACACAAUAGUUAAAGAGAGCACAAAAAACACAAUCAAACCACAUAAAGUAGUCCUAGGGUCACAGAUAGUAUACACUGUUCUAGGUUCUCAGGGUUUUGUAAGACUCACGGUCUUAGAUCAAGGGAAUGUUCAAACGGGUAAGGUCACGGUAGUUUCUAAUGGAAUAAGUAAGCAGCGGAAGUAACAAUGCAACAAAAGAUACGUCUAGCAGAUAACUAGUUUCACGACAGUUAUGUCAUUGAGGCUCAAAUACUAAUUUAACUAAAAGACAAAUACUCAAUCAAGAGCACGUAACCCUAAUUCUAGCACAAGCAAUGGCUGCCAAGCAAUGGUAAUCCCCAAAUCUAAUGAUCACCCCACACGAUGAUCUGCUAGUGUAAAAAUAUAAAUGUUUCAGCCAAUUUACCAGAGAGGGCCUAUCUGAGUCCAUAACGUGGAGAGAUGGGAAUUUGCUGCUUUAGGACCACCACUAUUCGCCCUAAAGAUUCAGCAAAUAUAGCAAUUCUGAUCAGCUACAAAUGCAGAUUGAAGGUGGGGCAAAAUCGACUUAUUGAUCAACUUAAUAGGUAUUCCAAGGUAAGAGAAAGGUGGAUAGGUCUAUUGAUCAACUUAAUGCUCGACUUGUUGCCAAGAGCUAUUCUUAACGACUCAAGUUAGAUUACAUAGAGACAUUUAGUCUUAUUGUGAAACUAGCUACUAUAAGAACUAUUUUGACAAGUGCUAUGAUAUAAGGAUGGUUAUUAAGAUAGCUUGAUGUGAAUAACACAUUUUUGCAAGGUGAGUUGAAUGAGAAUGUGUAUAUGGUUCAGCCUCCAGGAUUCAAGGAUAUGUCCAAUCCCGAUCACAUUUGUAGAUUGCGCAAUGCCAUUUAUGAUCUCAAACAGGCUUCUCGGGUGUGGUACUCCACUCUAAAACAUGCCUUGAGUGAGCUUGGGUUUCAAAAUUUAAAACAGAUUCAUCCUUAUUCAUCUAUCGGAUUAGUUCCAUUAUAUUCUAUUUUGUGUUUUACGUGGAGAGUCAUGCUACUUGUACAAAAUUAGUCGACAAAAUUGGUUUACUAAGCCCCUAUUUGGUUCCCAUUAUUUCUUCAUUAAAAUGAAAAAUAUGACCGUUAUCCAUCACAUCAUGCCACUAAAUUUGAAUUUCUAUCUCUUGUGUGGGGUCCGUAACGGCUAUGUUUUUCAUUCUCAUUCUUCCAAAAAUGACAAACAAACGGGGGCUAAAUAACAUCUAUACCAAUCAUUUCAAAAAUACUUUUUUAAAUCAUUUGAAAUCAAAGACCAAGAUUUUGCCAACAUUUGUUUUGUCUACCAUUUUCGUCAAAUUGUUUUGUACAACUAGGUUAAUUGUUACGUGGAUGACCUUGUUAUCACAAGUGUUGAUCCUAAGUUUGUCACUUCACUUAUUUAUGGUCUUGGUACACGAUUUUUUCUUAACAGGCUUCUUCCUGUCUUAGUACAAAUACAUCUAUAAUCUACUGUCCAAAACCAAUAUUCUUGGUGCCAAAGAUGUCUAUACUCCAUUGUCUACCAGCACUGCUCUGAAAAAUUAAUUAACGGUACCUCCAUUGUUAAGAGCACAUAAUUUCAUUGGGUAAUCGAGGCUCUUUAGUACCUUUCUCUUACCCAACCUGAUAUCUCAUUUGUCAUCAACAAAAUGUCUUUGUUUAUUCAUAAGCCAACUGUCGCCCACUAGGCCACCACAAAGUGACUCACUACCUGAAGCAAACAAUUUUCCAUGGCAUUCAGUUCCUUAAUAAUGUGAACUCUGUUCACAUCACAUGCUCAUAUUCUAAUUGGAUGAGCAAUCUUGAUGACCAUACAUCUAUCUUAGCUUAUAUAUCAGUUUUCUUAGCUCCAAUCCCAUCUCUUGGAGCUCCAAAAGAUUAUGGUUGGUUGCCUGCUUAUCUACUGAGGUCAAAUAUAUGGCCUUUGUCAAUGCUGCCUCUAACACAUUGUGGUUGCUUGUGUUGUUCAAUGAGCUGGGAUUUCCACUCAAGAACUCGCCAACAUUGUUAUGGGAUGAUCUUUGCGCAAUGCAUCUAAGCUUUAAUCUAGUGCUACACUUAUUGUUUAAGCACAUCCAGAUUGACUUACACUUUGUUCAAACAUUGUUCAGCGAAGUAUAAUCCAUGUUUAACAUGUCAACACAUGAGAUCAGCUGGCGAUCUUCUAAACAAACUGUUGUUGAGACAACGUACGAAAGUUCUUCGGAACAAGUUGGUCUUGCCGAUAGUCACUUCAUCUUGUGAGAGCAUAUUAAGGAUAAUGCCUCAAAUAAAACCAAAGACAAAAAUGAUUAUUCUUAGGCUUAAAUAAAGGGUAAUCUUAGAAUGCAAAUGUUUGGAAAUUGGGUUAUUCUUGGGGAACAUCCCUGGACUUCCAGGGCCCUGUUUAUUUGGUUUAACCCUAGGAAAUUAUAAUCACAGAAUUAGCCUAGUUGCACAAAAUAGACUUUGUAUGAUGUGUAUGAAGGUUGUAUGAUCAUGUAUAUAAAAAGCGUGGAAAAAUCUCAUUGACCAAGUAUUACAAAAACUAAUUCUACACCCUAUAAUUUCCAUCAAUCCCAUAGCUGGAUUAUAUUUUGAUAUUCCGUCUUUGCUUUCUAUGGAAAUUGUGGGUCUUGUCAUUUAACCUUCCUUGAAGGAAAUGAAGUGGUUGUAGGAAAUAGAAGUGGACUUAGGAGGAGGAAAUUAUUUUCUAUUCAACUGUGGACUUGCCUUCAACUCAAGAUUACAUAGGUAUUUAUAGGACUUCCUAUCACAUAAGUUCAUCCCCUCAAUUUAAUUCUACUACAUGCACCACAAUUUACUAGGUACACAUUAAUUAAUAAUACAUGCAUACAUGAACCACAAUUAACUAGGUGCAUAUUAAUUAAUAAUACAUAUAUUUCAAACUCCUAAAUUCAUGAAACUAAAUUAAAUAGGUUAAAUGCAUGUUUAUUUUUCUAACACCCCACCUUAAACAUGAAUUUUGCAUACUCCCAGCAAGCUUCUUAAUGCCUAGAAAGUAUUGAACUUGAGAGCUAUGGGGAGAAUAUCUCCAAUUUGAUCUUGAGACUUCACAAAAUUAAUCUUCACUACCUUGUUUGCAAUGCAUUCACGCACAAGGUGAUAUUUGGUAUCUAUAUGCUUGCUAUGUUUAUGAAACAACGGAUUCUUUGCUAAAGCAAUGACUGAUUUGUUAUCCACACUUACUUCAGUAGGCUCUCUUUGUGCAAAAUGAAGCUCAUUCAACAAAUUCCUUAGCCAAACUGCUUGUGUAACACAAGAACUGACAGCAACAUACUCAGCUUCACAAGUUGAUAGAGUAACAAUUGGUUGCUUCUUUGAGCUCCAAGUAAAAACUGUGUUACCCAUGCAAAAUACAAAUCCACUAGUAGUCUUUCGAUCAUCAAUGUCGCCACCCCAAUCACUAUCACUGAAACCUCUAAGUCUGAAAACAUUAGAGGCAUAAAAAUGUAACCCGAAAUCAAGAGUACCUUUGAAGUAACGUAAAAUUCUCUUCCCAGAUUUCAAAUGUGUUGUCGUUGGAGCCUCCAUAUAACAACUAAUCAGUCCUACUCCAAAUAAUAUAUCCGGCCUUGUACAAGUUAAAUAUCUCAGGCUUCCAACUAAGCUUCGAAACAAGGUUGGAUCCACCUUUGCACCAUCAUCAUAUCUAGAAAGUUUGAUGUUACAUUCUACUGGAGUGUUAACUGGAUUGCAAUUACUCAUGUUGAAUUUCUGUAGAACUUCUUUUGCAUAAUUUUCUUGUACGAUGAAAAUGCCUUUCUUCGUCUGCUUCACUUCUAUCCCAAGAUAAUAGGACAUAAGUACUAAAUCUGUCAUCUCGAAUUCACAACACAUUUUUCUUUUGAAUUCUUCAAACGUCUUUGGAUUGUUACAUGUAAAACUUAGAUCAUCGAAAUACAGAAAAACAAUCAGAACACCAUUGGCAUUCACCUUAAUGUAGAGAGCAUGCUCAUAGGGACACUUGGUAAAGCCAUUCUCCUGAAAAUAUUUAUCAAUUCUACAAUUCCAAGCUCUUGUGCUUGCUUUAGGUCGUAAAGAGCUUUCUUUAAUUUCAACACUUUGUCCUUAUUUCCUUUUACUACAAAGCCGGGGGUUGUUGCACAUAGACCUCUUCUUCAAGAUAGCCAUUGAUAAAGGCUGACUUGACAUUCAUUUGGAAAAUCUUCCACUUGUUUUGAGCAGCCAAAGAAAUUAUCAGUCGUAUGGUCUCUAACCGAGCUACUGGAUCGAAAACUUCUUCAUAAUCGAUGCCUUGACACUGUUUGUAUCCUUUUACCACGAGUCUUGCUUUGUAUCUUUCCACCUCUCCUUUUGAUUUUUUCUUAGUUUUAUACACCCAUUUAACUUCGAUGGUAGCAUGUCCCUUGGAAAGAGUUGUUAAUUCCCAAGUAUUGUUCUUCUCAAUUGCUUCGAUUUCUUCAUUCAUGGCUUUUCUCCAUUUCUCAUCCUUAGCAGCUUCAUUAAAACCUAUGGGCUCAAUAUUUGCAAACAGACAGAAGUAAGUAAUAUCAUCAAUUCUCUCGGUUUCUCGAUAUAUAUCAUCAAGCCUUCUUGUACGCAAACGCCUUUCACUUGAACUUCCUUUAGAAACAUCAAUUUUACCAUGUGAUGGUGAUGUUGGAGGAGUGGUGGUCUCAUGUAUUUCUUCAUUGUCAUCUUUUUUCUCUAAGAAAGGAAGAAAGUCAUAGUUAUCUUCUUCAACAUGCCAAUUCCAUGUUAUUUCCUCAUCAAAAUCCACAUCUCUACUAAUAAACAUCCUCCCAUCACUUGGAUUAUAAAGCUUGUAGCCUUUUGUUUUUGAAUCGUAGCCAACGAACACACAUUUUUUACUCUUGUCAUCAAGUUUCGAGCGCUUCUCAUCAAGAACAUGGACAAAUGCAAUGCAUCCAAAUACCUUCAAAUGAGAUACUGUUGGUUUUCUUCCAUUCCAUGCUUCAAGUGGAGUCUUGUGGGCUAAAGCCUUUGUGGUACACCGGUUCAACAAGUAGACAGCACAAUCGACAGCUUCUGCCCAAAAGUCUUUUAGCAUUUUCUUUGUCUUCAUCAUACUCCUUGCCGUAUUAAAGAAUGUUCGAUUCUUUCGUUCAACAACACCGUUCUGCUGUGGAGAUCCUGGAGCGGUUAGGAUGAAUUCCGUUGGCAUAACAUAAGUCUUGAAAAUCUCUGGAAGUGAAUUCGCCUCCUCUAUCUGAUUUCACAGCCUGAAUUUUAAAUCCACUUUCUUUUUCUACAAGAGUUUUAAAAUUCUGAAAGCACUUAAAUACCUCCAAUUUUUCUUUAAGAAAAUACACCCAUGCUUUUCUGCUGAAAUCAUUACUAAACAAAAGAAAAUAUUUGUUCUUACCAAAAGAAAAUGGAGUGAUUGGCCCACAUACAUCAGUGUGUAUCAAUUGUAGUUGCCUUGAAACUCUUGAUUGAGAUUCCUUUGGAAAGACCUUUCUUGAAUGCUCACCAAAAAGACACCCUUCACAAAGCUGAUUAGGCUGAUGUAUUGGAGGCAAACCUUUCACCAUUCCAUUGCUAGCCAUUAUUUUGAGCCCUCCAAAAUUUAUGUGCCCAAAUCGUAAAUACCACAACCAUGACAAGUCUUUAUAACACGACGUCAAACACUUAGCCAUAUCAGUUUGUAUGGACAACACAAAUAAAUGAUUUUUUGCCAUAGAUACUUUAGCAAUCAAAUUUCCUGCAUUAUCCUUUAUGUGAACAAAACAUAACCUUUCUCCAAUAAUUGACCCACACUCAAAAUAUUGCUCUUCAUAGCUGAAGCAUAAUAAACAUUUGAAAUAAAUUGGUGAUUUUCAUCUUUCAUAUGUAUUAAGAUUUUACCUUUCCCCUUUACUGGAAUUUUGGAGGAAUCGUGAUAUUGCCACCAACCUUCUCAUCAAGCUCUAUGAACAAAUCUUUGUUCCCACACAUGUGAUUUCUAGCUCCAGUAUCAAGGAACCAAGAAUGUUUUUCUCUUUGCUGCAAGUCCUUGCAAGCUAUCAAAAGAGUAGACUCUGUCUCUUCAUUAUUUUCUAUAUCUUCUUCAUGAGAAAGGUUAGCUUUCGCACCAUCACCACUUUUACAUUUCCAUGAAUAAUGUCCAAAUUGAUAACAAUUGUAACAUUUAACUUGUGACUUGUCAUACCUCUUUUGAUAUGGUCUUGCUACUCCUCUGCCAUGUCCUCUUGUUGAGUUGGAUUGAUAAUUUCAUCUCUACGUUGAAAUGAAAAAUGGUAUCCUCUUCCAAAGCCUCGUCCACGUCCACAUUCUCGUCCUUUGAAACUUGUAUUUCCCUUUUCGUCCUUGUUUUUCAAUGUGAGCUUUGAUUGUAAAACUUGCUCCAAUGGCUCCUUCCUUCUUCGAUUAAGCUUCUCUUCAUAUGUUUCCAAUGAUCCGCAUAAUUCUUCAAUUGUCAUAUCUUCCAAGUCCUUCCGAUUCUUCAAUGGCAGUCACCACGUGAUCAAAUUUCUCACUAACUGAUCUAAGGAUUUUCUCAAUCACCCUUAAAUCAGUCACAUCUUCAUCAAGUCUCUUCAUUUGGUUUGCAACGGUCACCACUCUUGAAAUAAAAUCCGACACCUUUUCGAAUUCCUUCAUUUGAAUAGCUUCAAAUUCACCUCGUAGAUUUUGGAGGCGAACUUUCUUUGCCUUCUCCUUUCCUUUGCAGGCAACUUGAAGCAUAUCCCAUAAUUGAUUUGCUGUAUUAGCAUUAGAAACCUUCUCAAAAGUGGCCUCAUCCAAUGCUUGGUGAAUAAGAGAAACAACCUUUUGAUCCUUCCUCUUAGUACUUUGUAAAAGAUCCCUUUGUGCUUGGGUGAGAGCAGCUAGAUCGGUGGGAGCCUCAUAACCAUUCUCCACGAUGUCCCAUGCAUCAUGUGCACCAAGUAGUGCCUUCAUGCGGAUGCACAAAUUAUCAAAUUUCUCUUUGGACAAUUUUGAAACUUUGAAGGGGAUCAUGUUGGUAUUUUCCAUUGUUUCUAGUAUUGUGGCUCUGAUAUCACUUUGUAGGAAAUAGAAGUGGACUUAGGAAGAGGAAAUGAUUUUCAAUUCAAUUGUGGACUUGCCUUCAACUCAAGAUUACAUAGGUAUUUAUAGGACUUCCUAUCAUAUAAGUUCAUCCCCUCAAUUUAAUUUUACCACAUGCACCACAGUUUACUAGAUACACAUUAAUUAAUAAUACAUACAUACAUGAACCACAAUUAACUAGGUAUAUAUUAAUUAAUAAUACAUGUAUUUCAAACUCCUAAAUUCAUGAAACUAAAUUAAAUAGGCUAAAUGCAUGUUUAUUUUUCUAACAGUGGUCGACAAUGUUGCCACAUUUUUUUUUCGUGCUGAUUGGCUUUGUAGGUAGGGAUGAACUGGUUGCACCUCGUAUUUUCUGUCAUCACUUAUUUAGUACAAUAUGAUUUAGUUCCUGUUUGACAGAAUUUUUUUAAAAGAAUGGGUAUUUGAAUAGUAAAUUUUUGGAGAAUGUAUAGUUGAAAAAUAGAAAAAAAUGUUGGAUUUACGUAAAUAGUAUUUUAUUGUAAGAAUACAUAGAUUGAAAAUGGGUAUUAAAAAAAGAAAUUUUGAAAGAAUAAAUGCGACUUAUAAUUGCUUCAAGCUUCAAAAAAAAUAUUUUGUGUUAUUAAUCAAGAAAUUUUAAUUUAAUUUAACUCAUGGUCCCAAUCCCAUCACAUAGUAUUCUUGACUCCAAGCUGUGGUCAAGUAACCAUAUAAUAUUUUGACUAAAGAAACCAAACUGAAACGUAGAACGUAGACCAGGGUCACAAUAUAUGUAUAUAUAUAUAUAUAUAUUUGAUAGGAAUUAAAAUCUAUAUUUUAAUUUAAAUUAAAGUUAGUAAUGAAUUUUAAUUAUAUAUUUCAUGGGUCCUAUCAAUUUUUAUCAAACUCAACUAAAAAUUUGAUUUUAAUCACUCCCAAACAGGGACUUAAUAAAUGUCACUGUGAAAUAUCUAUAUCAUUAUCAAAACAAUUAGAACAAGUAAUCUCUCAUAAUUAGUUACAUAAAUUGUAAUACAAACUAACCAAAUAUCAAAAUAAUUACUGAAAGAAACUCGUACGUAUUGUUUAGCCCCGUUUAAUAAAAGUCAAACUCAAUAAUUAUUUUUAAAUAUAUAUAGAAUCCAUAAUUUUUCAAACACACAUUUCAUCAACUUUUAUCAAAAUUAACUAAAAAUCUUAUUUUAAUCUCCACCAAACAGGGGCUCAAUUUCCUUUUGUAUGAACUAAGCUUUUUAGCAAGAAAGAAAAUAGUUGAACAUUUAUUAAGGAAUGCCAUAUUGUUCUAUGGCUCAUAAAAGAGAUGAAAAUCAAAGGAUUUAAAUGUAUUAUAACAUUGAAAACUAAAGCAAGCAUGUCUACGUAUCUCGAAUUUGCUGUCAUAGAUGUCAAGUGUAGAUGAUCGAUAUUUGUGUUCACAUCUUGAUGAUCAAGUCAAUAAAAUACUUAUUAAAGCAGUGUUUAAGCAAUGUUGGAUCCAUCCACUGCAACAUUGACAAUUUAAUUUUUUUAUAUAACAUUCCGUACUUAUUAGUAAGUUUACUUAUUAUUACUCUUUUGAUUUACAAGAUUAGAUAACAUAUAAUCCUCGUAAUAAAGAAACGUAAGCGUGGUGAUGACGAAAUAAGUGAUGGAAUGGUUGAGUAAGAUUAAAAUAACACGAUCCAAUCAAAUUGUCUAGGAAAAUGAUAACAAAUAUUAAUAUACAAAUUAGCAAGUGUUAAUGUUCAACUGACUUAAACAAUCCUGAAAUUUGAUUAAAGGUAGCACCUUGGUACCUACAUCAACAGGAUUAAAAUAAGUAGAAAUCUUUUCAAGUUUCACAAUUCCUUGUGAAACUGCAUCUCUAAUAAAAUGAAUCUAACAUCAACAUGUUUAGAUCUAUUAUGCAAAAUAGGAUUUCUACUCAAGUAAAUGGCAGAUUGACUAUCUGAAUAAAGAACAACUUCAUUAAAAAAACCAAAUUCAUUUAGUAAUAUUAAAGGUAGCACCUUGGUACCUACAUCAACAGGAUUAAAAUAAGUAGAAAUCUUUUCAAGUUUCACAAUUCCUUGUGAAACUACAUCUCUAAUAAAAUGAAUCUAACAUCAACAUGUUUAGAUCUAUUAUGCAAAAUAGGAUUUCUACUCAAGUAAAUGGCAGAUUGACUAUCUGAAUAAAGAACAACUUCAUUAAAAAAACCAAAUUCAUUUAGUAAUCCUUUUAACCAUAGCUCCUCUUUAAUAGCAUCCGUGGCAACUACAUAUUCAGCCUCAUUGAUGAUAAUGCAACAAUCUUUUAAAGAUGGGAUUUCUAGCUUAUACAAAAAUUACACGGAGUAUACAUAUAAGCUGAAGUGAAUUUUUUAUUAUUCAUGUCACCUUCAUAGUCAGAAUCAGUAUGUCCUCUUAAAACAAAACCCUCAAGCUGUUUCCUGAGCUGAAUUCCUAAAUCAGAAGUGCCUUUAAUGUAUCUAAGAAGCAAUUUCAUUCUUCCCAGUGAGCUUCUCCAGAGUUGGACAUAUAUCUACUUAGAACACUUAUAGAAUAUGCCAAAUUAGGUCUGGAAUAGACCAUUAAGUACAUAACAAACCCAACUGCAUUGGAGUAAGGCACUUUUUCUAUUCUCUUAAAUUCUUCUAUGGAUUUAGGACAUUGUUCAUUGGAAAGUUUGAAAUGAUUUGGCAAAGGUAAACUUACACUUCUAGAAUCAAACAUAGCAAAGUUUUUAAACAAUUUAAGUAUGUAUAAUUUCUGACUAAGGCUUAGCAUGCUUUCUCUCCUAUUUCUCUUAAUUUCAAUACCAAAAAUCUUUCUGAAAAGACCCAAGUCCUUCAUUUCAUAUCUGACUUUAGUUUAUUUUUUAUUUCUUCUCUCUUUCUCUUAUGUCAUGACAUGCCAACAGCAAGUCAUUCACAAAAAGGAGUAGAUAAAGAGAAUUUUCUCCACCAUUUCGUUUGUAGUAAAAAUAGGUAUAAAAGAUACUUCUCUUAAAACCAAGUCCAAGUACAAAAGUAUCAAAUCUUUUGUACCAUUCCCUUGGAGCUUGUUUUAAGCAAUAUAGGGAUUUUUUAAGAACGCAUAUUAAGUCAGCUUUCUGGUUUAUUUCAAAGCCUUUAGGUCGUUUCAUGUAAGUGGAUUCAUCAAGAUCAUGAUUUGAAAAGUUUGUUUUAACAUCCAUUGAUUUCGUUCUUAAUUAAAUUGUGUAGCCAAGGCAUUAUCCUAACAGUUGUAAAUUUUACAACUGGAGAAUAGAUUUCAUUGAAAUCAACUUCUUCUUUUUGAGUAAAGCUGUUCGCCACAAAUCUGGCUUUAUAUCUGAUGUUAUUUUCACUUUAUUCUCUUCUUUUAAUUUUGAAAAUUCAUUUACAAUCAACAACCCUUUUUCCCUCAAGUCUUUUAACUAGAACUCAUUAAGGGAUUGCAUUUCAUCUUGCAUUACUACAGGCCAAUGAUUAGAGUCGUUACUACUCAUGGGUUCUUCAUAGGACUCAGGCUCAUUUUUAACCAUACUUUGAUAAAAUAGCAAUGGGACAUCUUUAUCAAACCUUACAUGAGGUCUUAUUUGUCUUCUUUGCCUAUCUCUAGCAAGUUGAUAGUCAUCUAAAGAUUUAUUUAUUUCUGAAUCAACUUCUAGUUCAUCAAUAGGAGCUCCAUCAUCAGGAGUUUCCUCAUUUCUCUCAAUGGGGUGUGCAUCAGUCUAAUGAAUUUCAUCAUCAGCUCUACCUCAAUUUCAAUCCAUUUCUACACAUUUUCAGUCUAACUAAAGAGUUCUAUUUGUUUUUCAAUUUUAAGGUAGGGUAGAUCAUCUUAAUUAAAUACAACAUUUCUAAUAAUUAUGAUCUUAUAACCUUUGGUUUUCCUUACCUAUAAUCUAUACCCCUUAACUCUAUCUCCAUAAUCUAAGAAUACACACUUAAGGGCCCUACGUUCUCAUUUUCUUUUAGAUUGAUAUGCAAAGGCUGUACAUCCAAAACUCUCAAGUUAUUGAAGUCAACAGGUUUUCCAUUCCACACCUCUUCAAGAGUUUUAAAGUGUAUAGUAAUAGCAGGGCUUUUAUUAAUAAGACAUCUUGCAGUUUUAAUAGCUUUACCCCAAAAUAUCUUAGGCAGGAUAGAACUUAAAAGCAUGCAUCUCGCUUUUUUAAGAAUAGUUCUAUUCAUUCUUUCAGCCAAACCAUUUUGUUGUGGAGUGUGUGUCACAGUUCUGUGUCUUAAAAAUUAGAGGAUUUGCACAACUUAUCAAAUUCAAGAUUGUAGAAUUCCAAACCAUUAUCGGUUCUUAAAACUUUAAUCCUUUUAUCAGUUUGGUUUCAAUCAUAGUUUUCCAUUCUUUGAAAAAAUUGAAAGUCUCUGACUUUGAUUUUAGAAGAAAUGUCCAAUUUUUCUAGAAAAAUCAUCAAUAUUGACAAAAAGUAUUUAAAGCCGGUAUGAGUUGGGACAAUAACUGGUCUCCAAAGAUCAGUAUGCAAAUAUUCAAGUAUAGACACAGAUUUAUGCAUUCUAGGCCAGAAAUGUAAUCUAUUACGCUUUCCUAGAAUAUAAUAAUCAAUAAAACUAAGUUUCUAUAAGUAAUCUUUUCCAAAGGCACGCUAUAUUUUAAAAUCUAUAACCCUUUGUCACUAAUAUAACCCAAUCUUUUGUGCCAUAUUUGUGACUUAUCAUUCUGAGAUGAGAUUUCAGCUGAAGUAGAAUCACAAUGUAUAGUUUUAUCUCUUGGGGCUUCAACAACCAGUUUUGAGUCCUUCAAGAUUUUAGUGUAUCCCUUUUUAAUCUAUAUGUUAUGGUUUAGGUCAUCUAAAACCCCUAGGAAAAUAAGAUUUCUUUGUAAAUCAGGGGCAUAUCUAGUUUUCUCCAAAACAAGUCCAUUAUUAGCCUUUGCCUUUAAAGUGAUAGUUCCUAUUCCCUUUACCUGACAUGUCAUAUGAUUGCCCAUUAAAACUCGACCACCACAUUUUCAAACUCAGUAAACCACUCUCUAUUUGGACAUAUGUGAAAUAUGCAGCCUGAGUUAAGAAUCUAUUCUUGACUAGGUAGAUUGUUUAUAGCAACAUAAACUUCAUCAAUGUUGGCUUCAUUAUUCUAUGCCAAGGUCGCAACACCAUCAAUUUUGGACUUAUAACUCAUAUCAUUAAGACUUUUGGGACAAUCUUUGACAAAAUGGUCCUCUCCUUGACAGUAAGUACAUCUUUUCCUUUUGUUUUUCCUUUCAUUUUAUCUUUAAGAUUUCCCUUUUUCUUGUGUCAUAAUUUCUUAUUGAAGUUAAUACUCUUGGGAUUAAAUUUGGAUUUUUAGCCAUCAAGUUUUCCCCCACUAAUAGAUUCUUUCCAUUCAGACCUUACCUCUAAUUCUUUGUUUCUCAAGGCAUUGUUUAUCACAUUAGUAAUUAGAGUUUCCCUUCCAUAUUCAAUAGCAUUUUUAACAUCUUUAUAUUUAUUACCAAUUAAAUUCAAUAAAACCAGAACCAACUGAUCUUUUUAGAGUUUCUCAUCAUAUUUGCUAGGUCAUGGGUCAAUCUGUUGAAUCUAUCAAUAUUAACUUCAAGAUCAAGAGAUGGGUCUAGUUUAAAACCAAAAAAAAUAAAAAAUAAAACAAAUAAAAUAGAAUAAAUUGUUUUAGAAGAUACACUUUAUUUGGAAUGAUUUUAUUCAAGUAUGUAUUUUCUAAAUUUUUCCACAGUUUUGCAGCAGUCUUUGUUUCUCCAAUUUCUCAAACUACAUUGUUGGACAAAUGUUUAAAUAAUAAUAAUAAUAAUAAUAAUAAAUUGAGCUCCAUGCAGUUUCAUCAAGUUCAUUUUUCUUGUUUUCUUCUAAUUCAUCUAGCCAUGUCUCAUCAAUAGCCUUCGCACAUUUUUGUUGAAGUAAAAUUGUUCUCAUUUUCUGCCUCCGGAGGCUAAAAUUUCCCUUACCAUUAAAGAUAUCCAAUUCAAAUCAUUGAUACUACAAGAUUAUAUACAACUUGUAUAAACAAUGGUACAUUAAUGUCACGGCAAUUUAUUCCAAAAAAGAGUUCGGUCAGUAAAGAGUAUAUAUCACAAAGAACAAGUACAAGUCACUGUAUGUUAUACACAAUAAUCAAGAACACAUGUAGAGGAUUUAAGUCUAGAUCUUUGAUCAGGACAACCAUAAGAUUCCAGACAACUUGAGGGUUUCUAGACAAAGAAAUUGCCAAGAAUCUCUCAGAUCUAGCAUUUUAAACAUGUUUGCAAAGGGAUUCAAGUAUAAGCACGUCUUUUGUACUGUAAAUCUUAAAAUAAGAAUUCAAAGAACAAGUACAAGUCACUGUAUGUUAUACACAAUAAUCAAGAACACAUGUAGAGGAUUUAAGUCUAGAUCUUUGAUCAGGACAACCAUAAGAUUCCAGACAACUUGAGGGUUUCUAGACAAAGAAAUUGCCAAGAAUGUCUCAGAUCUAGCAUUUUAAACAUGUUUGCAAAGGGAUUCAAGUAUAAGCACGUCUUUUGUACUGUAAAUCUUAAAAUAAGAAUGCUCUCUCCAGAUCCCUUUAUUAGGGUUUCAGGAAAUAGCAGAAACACUAUUGAACAAGUAUCAAACUUUUAGAUCUAUCGUAAUCGGGACCAAGAACCACCGUCUAACUGCUCUGAUACCACUGUUAAGAUUAGUUUCAAUCAAUUAGCCAACUUUACCUACGAAUACAUAAAUUAAAACCUGCAAGAAAAUUAAAAAUUGAAAAAUAUAAAAGAUUUUUCACCCUAAGACAAAAGGUUCAGAACAAAUCGAAAGAAACCGUUGGAUUAAAAUGGAACCAAAGAAACAGUCCAAAGUUACACUUUUAGAGCACUUUAAAUGAAUCACUCAAGAUUACAUCACAUAAGUCCCUUGAUCUAUACAUUUGUUCACUCAAGAACACAUUAUUCUACUGAUCACUCAAGAUGUACAUUCAAUUGAGAACGGUUACAAAAAUUUUCUUUCCAGAAAAAAAGAAAAAGACGAGAGAACUUCAAGAGUCAAUCAAAAAAAUGAAAAAUGGAUUCAAAUAUUCAAGACCUUAGGCAAAUGAACGGUCAAAUAAGAAAUCACCAGAAUGUCAGCCAUCCAACUGUUGUUAGGGUUGACACUUGGCAUCAUCUUAUACAUCAAGCUCAUUAAGAAAAUCGCAAUUCAUAAAACACAUUUUUGUAAAGAUGUAAAUGUUGUCAACUACAAACCAACUAUUUGAUCAAAAUUUCAACCAACAAUCCAGUCGGCAGCCUAAUGAUCAUUGUGCACAUUUCUCCGCACUCUUGUAAUAGUUCCAACUUCCAAAUCGUUAAAGUGAAUAGUGACUCUUAGAUAAUCUCUAGCGAAUUCAAAUAUAUGACUAUUUUGUCUGAGGAAUUCAACAUUUUGUACAACAAGUCACAAGACACUGUGCCAAUCCCAAGUCAACACAAAUUAUGUACAAUAUACUUUGGUUAAAUAAUCAAACAACGUUGGGAUGCAGUGACAUCUUUCAAUUAUGUAUUGACGACUAGUUUGUAGGUUCAAGAGGCCAAAUUACACUGGAAGAAUGAUAGAUCAAUAUCAUUAGUAGUAUGUUAUCCCGCCUCAUUCAAAAAUAUUUAAUUUUAAAUUAAGUGUUGGUUCUAUCACAUUAAAGGCUUGUGGAAGCUUGUAUUUUAUUCCUCAUUCAUUACAAUCAAUAAACUAUAAAACAUAUACAUCUUACAAUGGUGAAUUACGAUAAUAAUCGCCAAAGGAAAGCAAAUAAAAUCUCAAUCAAAUCCUUUAUAUAAAGGGAUUAUAGAUUUGUAAAUAUACAGCAAGGAUUAUUUCUAAAGUUAAGUUGUUGUAAUCUUGGCCAAUCUUAACACUCCCCCUCAAGUUGGAACAUGUAUAUCCAACAUGUUCAACUUGCUUCUUAGUUCCUUAAAUGCAUUUCCUCCAAGGACUUUCGUAAAAACAUCCACCAACUGCAAGUAUGAUGGAACAAAUUAUGUGAUAAUUUGACCAUCUUGUAUCUUUUCUCUUACAACAUGAUAGUCGGGUUCUAUAUGCUUGGUGCGCUCAUGAUAUACUGGAUUUGCUGCUAUGUGAAGUGUGUUGGAUGGAAGAUGGGUUUACUAACUUGGAUUAGCUAAGGCUUUUAAGAGGACAACACUAAUAGGAAGAAGGAAGUGAAAAAAGGAAAGUUGUAUUUCUCAAAUUCAAGACUUUACACACUUUUUGGCUUGUUACAAAAUGGAGGGCACUACUCCUUUAUGUAGUGUUUACAAGAAGAUUCUAGUCCACACAUUUUCUAAAGAUACCUAGACCACAUAUCAAGAUAUUUUCCUAGAAUUCUCUAGAUAUUCUUUAUAAAACUACAUAUCUUACUUCGAUAUUUAUAUAGAUUUUUCUAGUAGAUAUUUAUAUAGAUUUUUCUAGAUAAUGCUUCUAGAAAUGCUAUGCAUGUUGGGCCUUUUAAUUGAUUUGGGCCUAUAAGCAAAAUCCUUAAGCCCAUAUUAUUUAGUCCAAAAAUCAAGUUUACUACUCAACAUCCCCCCUUAAACUUGAUUUUGCUACUCCAAGUAGAGUUCUUAACUUGCGGAACACAUCAUGCUUGAGUGGCUUAGUGAGAAUGCCGGCGAUCUGUUCCUGGGAGGUCACAUAUUUUAGCUGCACUUCUUUCUUUGCAAUGCUUUCUCUUAUGAAGUGAUAUCUUGUAUCAAUGUGCUUGCUUCUAUCAUGGAAUACUGGGUUCUUUGCCAAUGCCAAUGCCGAUUUGUUAUCAACAUGGAUUUCGAUUGGCUCUUCUUGUGAUACUCCAAGCGUCUUCAACAAGUUUCUAAGCCAAAUCGCAUGGCAGACACUUGAUGUAGCUUCAACAUAUUCAGCUUCACAUGUAGAUAGUGCUACGAUCGAUUGUUUCUUUGAGCUCCAAGUGAAAGCUGUGUCGCCCAAGUAAAACACGUACCCAGUCGUACUCUUUCUAUCAUCACUAUCUCCGCCCCAAUCGCUGUCACUAUAUCCAACAAGUUUGAACUCAUUAGAUGAUGAAUAGACUAAGCCAUAAUCAAGCGUACCUUUGAUGUAGCGAAGAAUUCUCUUUGCAGUUUUCAUAUGGGUCAUAGUAGGUGUCUCCAUAUAGUGACUGAUGAGCCCAACUCUAAAAAGGAUAUCGGGUCUUGUGCACGUCAAAUAUCUUAGACUUCCAACAAGACUCUUAAAAAGUGUUGGAUUUACUUUUUCACCUUCAUCAUUCUUCGACAACUUGAUUCCGCAUUCGACAGGGGUGCAUACGGGCUUACAGUCCUCCAUAUUGAAUUUCUUUAGAAUUUCUUUCGCAUAUCCUUCUUGUGAGAUGAAAAUGCAGUCCUCCAUUUGCUUUACCUCUAUCCCAAGAUAGUAGGCCAUAUGGCCGAUAUCCGUCAUCUCAAAUUCUUGAGCCAUGACCUUCUUAAACUCAUGAAGUCACAUAUGAACUUAAACUUUGUCUAUAAUGUGAAAAUAUAAUACAUCAUGAAUUGUGUUAAUUUAUUACACGAAAUUUAAGCUGGAAGAAAUCAAAAUAAACUUAUAAAAAUAGAUAAAUGCUAAAAAAUCCAUUUAACAAAAUGCGAAAAUGAAGGUUCUGCAGAUUUGAUGGUUCGUUGGAGAAACGAAAAUGAUUUUAAGUACAUAAGAAGCAAGUUCGAACAAUUCUGCAGCCAAAAAGUAAAACCGAAAAAGAAAACUUACUUUAAGUGUAGAAAAAAGGAAAAAAUACCGAAGUCUAUUCUUGUAAUGUAGUAUUUCUCAUGUUAAUGGAAAGUAUGACAACAUACAAAAGUAUAGAGAUGAAUCAUGAAAAAGAAGAAUGCAAAACUUCAUGAACAAAAAAGGAGUUAAAAAGAAAAAGAAAAAUGAUAUUAAAAAAAUGAGCAGAUCUAAAAAAAAUGACAAACAAGAAAUUUCAUAGCAUAGCUUUGGAAUUAAACGUCAAUCUAAACAAAAGAUGUAACUCAAAAUUACAGUAAUUUAGUUUGCCCUUACAUAAUAUUGUAGAAAACAUUAGGAAAAUCAUUAGUGAGAAAAUAAGUAAAAAACCAUCAUCUGUUGAGGUGCUGAUUGAUUCUAGAAAGUUUGUUUUGUCCUGUUAAAGAGGAUGUUAGAUAUAGUAAUGUAAAUGGAUUUAUAAAUAUAUGUUUGAUGUGGAUACCAAAGCUUUUCUUUCAUCAGUGUGAGUGCGGAGCAUUGUAAGAACUUCUCUGGGGUUUUCCUAUAAUUGUUGCAUCAAUAGAUGCUGAUGAAUCUUGCGAUCGGAUAGAAACUCUUGCUCUAUGGGAACAUAACAUACCAGUUUGUUGGAUGGAAGAUGAGUUUACUAACUUGGAUUAGCUAAGGCUUUUAAGAGGACAACACUAAUAGGAAGAAGGAAGUGAAAAAAGGAAAGUUGUAUUUCUCAAAUUCAAGACUUUACAAACUUUUUAGCUUGUUAUAAAAUGGAGGGCACUACCCCUUUAUAUAGUGUUUACAAGAAGAUUCUAGUCCACACAUUUUCUAGAGAUACCUAGACCACAUAUCAAGAUAUUUUCCUAGAAUUCUCUAGAUAUUCUUUAUAAAACUACAUAUCUUACUUAGAUAUUUAUAUAGAUUUUUCUAGUAGAUAUUUAUAUAGAUUUUUCUAGAUAAUGCUUCUAGAAAUGCUAUGCAUGUUGGGCCUUUUAAUUGAUUUGGGCCUAUAAGCAAAAUCCUUAAGCCCAUAUUAUUUAGUCCAAAAAUCAAGUUUACUACUCAACAAAGUGCAGCUUGAUUAUCACAGAGUAGCUUUGCUAGUCCUAUUGAAAUGUGCAUGUCAUUUAGCAAAAAUGGGAGCUAAGUUAGUUCACAAGUUGGGGCUGCCAUGGAGCUGUAUUCAGCUUCUGUUGAUGAUCUUGAGACUGUUUUCUAUUUCUUUGCUUUUCCAUGAGAUCAGUGAAUUUCCCAAGAAUGCAUAAUAACCUGUAGUUGAUCUUCUAGUCAUAAGACAGUUUGCCCAAUUUGCAUCGCAAUAAGCCUUCAAGUUGAAAGAAUUUCUUGAUGAAAACAAUAGGCCCAGACCUAGACUACCUUUAAGAUUUUUAAUGAUGUGAAGAACGGCAUCCCAAUGAGGCUUUCUUGGCGCAUGCAUAAAUUGACUUAGAAUGUUAAUUGAGUGUGUAGUAUCUGGUCUUGUGAUUGUAAGAUAGAUUAGCUAUCCAACUAAUCUCCUAUGGCGCUCCGGAUUAUGUAGAAAGCCACCUCGAUCAUUCUUGAGCUUCAGGUUCACUUCCAUUGGGAAAUUUGAAGGCUAAGCACCUAAGUAACCAACAUAAUUUAUAAUCUCUGAAGUGUAUUUUCUUUGAGAGAUAACAAUACCUGCUUUGGAUCUUGUAACUUCCAACCCAAGAAAGAAUUUUAGAGGGCCUAGAUCCUUGAUAUAAGAUUGUUUGUGUGGAAAAUGUUUCAAACUUUGUAUAGCAGCAUUAUCAUUGCCCGUUAUCACUAUGCCAUCUACAUAGAUAAGCACCAUAGUUGUGGAUGCACCUUUAGUCUUCACAAAUAAGGAAUAAUCUGAAUGUGAUUGAAUAAAGCCAGUCGUGAUAGCUUGAGAGAAUUUCGCAAACCAGUUUCAAUGGUCUUGUUUAAGUCCAUAGAGGGACUUAUGUAGUCUAUAUACAAGUCUCUCCCCGUGUUGACAAAGACUCGAUGAUGGAGUCAUGUAUACCUCUUCUUCUAAAUCACCAUGAAGAAAGGCAUUUGUUGCAUCCAUUUGAUGCAAUGGCCAUUAUUUGGCUGCAACAACAGCAAGAACACGUUGAAUUGUUGUCAACUUGGUAACAGGAGCAAAUGUUUCAGUAUAAUCUAGGCUUCUUGCUGAGAAAAUCCUUUAGCAACUAAUCGAGCUUUGUAACGUUCGAUCGUACCAUUAGAAUUGUACUUGAUAUGAUAUACCCAUAUCUAACCAAUGGGACGAUGACUAGAGGGUAAUGGAACCAAAGAGCAAGUCUUUUGAGCAUUAAAUGCAUCAAGUUCAAGCCGCAUGGCCUCUUGCCAUUUAGGAUCUGUGGCUGCCUAUGUAUAAGAAGUAGGUUCUAGAAUGCUGAAAAUAGUGUUAACGAAAUGUUUAUGUUGAGAUGACAAUGAAUCAUAGGAAAUGUAGUUACUUAAAGGAUACUGAGUACCUAACUUAGUUGAAGAAUCCUAGAUUAGAGAUGUAGUUAGUGGUGAUGUACUAGCAUGUCCACAGUGAAAAUCUUGAAGGCGAAUGGAUGCUUUUCUGGUGCAUUCACUUCUAUGAAGAGGAGCUGUUGCAGAUGUCAUUGGGGAAAGGAGAAUGAGAAAUAGGAGUGAUCUUAAGUAAUGGCGAUUUUGUUCCAUUGGGAAGAGGAGGUGAAUCGAUGUGGUAUUCAGUUAACUCAGGUUGUGAGAUAGUAUUUUUUGUUGAGAUUUUGGAAUCAUGGAAAGCAAAAACUUCCUCAUGAAAAAUGACAUCAUGGCUGGAAAAAAAAUUGGUAAUUGUUGAGGUCAUAUUAAUGGUAGGCUUUUUGUUCUAUGGGUAACCAACAAAGGUGCAUUUUCUUGCAUGAGAAUCAAAUUUAUGCGAUGGGUACAAAUUUGUUGCAUAACAAAGACAAUCAAAAACUCUUAAAUUAGAAUAAUUUGGUGGUUUGUUAUACAACAUUUCAUAUGGAGAUUUGUAGUGAAACACUGGAGUGGGAAGACAAUUAAUCAGGUAUGUAGCAAUAAGUAAAUUCUCUCCCCAAAAUUGUAAGGAAAGAUUAGCAUGAAGUCUUAAGGCCUUGCCAAUGUUUAAAAGUUGCCGAUGUUUUCGUUCAACCACACCAUUUUCUUGAGGUGUAGAUGGACAAAAACUUUGGAAUAAAAUACCAAAACUAGAAAAAUAUGACUUCAUCGAUGUGAAUUUUGAGCCAUUAGCACUUCGAAUGCAUUUAAUUUGGCAAUUAACUGAGCGUUAAAAAAAGAGAUAAAGGUUUUUAGCAACCCUUACGUUUCAGAUUUGAACUUCAUUAAAAAUAUCCAAGUGUAGUGGGUAUAAUCAUCAACGAAAGUUUAAAAAUAAUGAAUGGCAAGUUUCGCAAGAAUACUUAGGAUCAAAUACAAUAGAUGGAACAACAUGACUUAAAAAGUGUAAACGUCUCCUUGAUGGAUUUCCUAACAGUCGGUGCCAUGGAAUUUCAGUGGUAGAGUCCACGUGGUAAGUGUUUGGAGGACAAUGUAGAUGUUACUGGAGGCACAAAAUAGUACAAGCCAUUAACUUGCUUCCCCAAACCAAUCAUCUUCUCCAAGGUUAGGUCUUGCAAUAGACAAAAAGUAUGAUAGAAGUGGAUUGAACAAUUCAUGGUAGCUGUGAGUUGACUAACAGACAACAAAUUGACAUUGAAGGAAGGAGCACAGAGGAUGUUUUUAACAUGUAUGUGAUCUGAAAGCUGUGUAAAACCAAUGCCAAUUAUUUUAGAGUGAGCGCCAUUAGGCAAGGUCACUUAAUAAGAGAAGGAAGAGGUAAUAGAGAGAAAUGUGGCUAUGUGAUUAGUGUCACCACUAUCCAUAAUCCAGCGUUCAAAGUUGUCUUUUGUAUGAUAAAGGAGGAGCAGAAAGGAAAAAGGAUACCUGCAUAAUUUGCUUGAGAAGAGUUUUUACCAUUGAGAAGGGCUUUGAUUUGAGUGAGUUUUUCACUAGUAAAUUGAGGAGCAACAUUAAUGGAAGCCUUGUAGGGUUCGUAACUGAUCUGAGAGCUUGCUUGUUGUGUAGCAAGUCUUCUGCUCUGAUCCAACGGCUAAACUUUUUUUUCCAUGAAGUUUAUGACUAGGUGGAAAACCAUUCAGAUAAUAGCAACGGUCCAUAAUAUGGAUAGUGCCUUUAUAGUAAGAGAACAAUUGUGAUUUUCGAUCCCUUUGUGACCUUGAAUGAGAGGCUGACCAUUGUUUCUGUUGGCAUGAAGAAGCAGAUUGUUUUUCCUUAGAAUUAUCAUAAGUAUUGAUAUUCAUGGCAUGAAUAAGAUCGCUGCUCUUUGUUUCAACGAGACCUCGCUGCUUUUCUUCUUCACAUAGGAGAGAGUAUGCUUUUUUUUUUUUUUUUUUUUUUUUUUUUUUACAGUUGGUAAAGGUUGCAUGAGCAUGAUUUGUCCCCGAAUAGCAAAGUAUGUUUCAUUUAAUCCCAUAAGGAAUUGUCCAAGUCGAAUUCUCUCUUCUUCGCCUUUUAAAUCUUUUUGUGCUCCAUAGGUACAAUUAAUUGAGGGACUGCAAGUGGCAAGUUCAUCCCACAACAUUUUCAUCUUUGUGUAAUAAGAGGAAAUUAAUUUUUGGUCUUGUUCAGUUCAACAAUGGAUCUUUGAAUUUGAUAAUUGUGAGAAGAAGAGAAGCUGGGAAGAAAGGGAGGAGAAGGGGCUGGUUCUGCCGGGCGCCCCGACUGUGGAGCCAAGGCAGAAUGUUGGCGCCUAGGCGCCACACCCGGCGUGUAUAUAUAUAUUGCCAUUUUUCCCUCUUUCAUAAUACAAGACCUAGAGAGAAAAUUAGAGAGAAAACUUGGUGAGAAUUUUACAAGUUGAAGGUUGUUCAUCUUGGGUACACAUUCUAAGUUAUUUUCUUUCUUGGGAAUUAACUUGAGGCUUGUUCAAGUAAUCCAAACACAUUGAUCUUCAUAUAUUCCAUUGGAAAUCAUUUCUUCCUCAUUUUCUUGUUCUUCAAGUGGAUUGGAAAUUUUCACAUUGUCAACUUGUUUGAUCUUUUGGGCUAUCUUUGGGAGGUGUUUUCCCAACAAUAAUGAUAAGAAAAAUCACCUUGAGAGAAUCGCUCUUGAAGUCCAGACUUCUGAAGGCAUUUCAGCAUAUAGCACACUGCUUGUUAGCUCCGGACUUAGAGAGUUGAAUAUCCAAUACAACAUAUCAUUGUAGUGUUGCCAUAGAGGAUAUUUUGGAUCUUUUUCAUCUGGGAUGGGUACAAUUCCAUUGAUGAAUCCUAACUUGUUCUUGGCGCUGAGACUUCUCAGCAUGGAUCUUUUCCACAUGGCAUAAUUUGUUCCAUCCAAUACUUUGGAAUGAGGAUCAUGCCGAGAUGAUCAUAAGGGUGAAGGAAUAAUGGAUCUCUGGGAUCAGUUGUUGGGAUAGACAUGAUCAGAAAGGGCGAAAAUUUUCAGCAGUAAUGGAUCAAUGCUUUGAUACCAUAUCAGAUUAAAGGCUUGUGGAAGCUUGUAUUUUAUUCCUCAUUCAUUACAAUCAAUAAACUGCAAAAUAUAUACAUCUUACAAUGGUGAAUUACGAUAAUAAUCACCAAAGGAAACAAAUAAGAUCUCAAUCAAUUCUCUUAAAUAAAGAGAAUACAGAUUCCUAAAUAUACAACAAUGAUUAUUUCGAAAGUUGAGUCGCUGUAAUCUUGGCAAAUCUUAACAUGUUCAUCCUUGAAGUCAUCAUUUCGGAUUUUGAUUUUAUUUCUUAAAGAAUGAUGAACUUGUGAAUUAUAUAGAUUGUCAUGAUAAACUGGCUUAAAUACUGUUGAAUAAACUCUUAAACUUUAAAUUCUUUUCAUUCAAAUUCCUGAGAUCGAUUUUGAAUUUUUCUGUAAUUCAACAGUGCAAUAUAUUAGUUGUACUUUUGAUGUUGGAUUUCACUUGCUGAAAUUAGAAUCAACUGGGAAUGGAAUAUUUUGACCUAUAUUGGUGUCUAAUCAUAAUCAUUAUUUCCCUGGCUUAUGCAUAUUUCCUGAUUAACAUAGAUAUGUUUAUUAUGUUGAAUUUAACAUAUUUAAGUAUGGGGAAAAACUUAUGACAGAUUCAAUAAUUGUUGCAUUUAAUCAAAGUAGUCGAGCAUAUCAAUUUUUUUCGUCAUUCUUUCUACCCAAGUGCUUCACUUUUAAUUACAUAGUAGAAUUGAGACUUGAUUGGCCAUUUGGAAAAGAAGAGUUUUCUAUGUACUUUUUACAUUUGUUUGAAAAAGUAGACACUGUGGCUUAGUUAGUUGUGUACCAAUUUUUUAAUAUACCCUAAGUUCUUUGUUCUAUGUUAUUUUUAGUAUAAAAUUCUAACAUUGAUCUUUUGACCUAGGGACAUGAUUUUAUAUUAUUUUUUAAUUUUUUCUGAACUCUAAUUAGAUGAGAAAAGCUUUGAUAUGAUAGUCAUAUAUGCACAUGUUGUACAUUUCUCUUUGUAAACUCGACAUUUUUCAAAGUACAACAUUUAUACUAGUGAGUAACGUACAAUAUUUUUUCAAAGUUUAGUGACCAAAACUCGACAUUUUAAACGUUUAUGAAUAAUCAAAGAGACGAAGACAUGGAUCUAAAUUCAGUAAUCAAAAUUCAAUAUUUUAAAUUUUAAUGACCAAUCAUAGACAUGGACAUAAAUUGUGUGACCAUUGGAACAACUAAUUCCCAUUAUAAUGAUGACAAGUAUUUUUGUGUUGUAAUUAAAUUUUAUUUUAUUUUCUCUUUUUCAUAAACCUUCCAUUCAAGUUUUUUCUCUUAAAAUUCAACUAGCAUAUCAAAUCACAAUAAAUGAUAGCCAUAUGUGUGUGUGUAGAAUCGAUUUUGGAUAGCCAAACAUGUUCUUGUUCUGCACCCAAAGACCAAUUGAAGGCAAUAAACACAACUUUCUGCAUGUAACGAACAUUUUAAAUUACAGCUCAUUUCCUUACUGACCUCCAGCUUUUGGUGUCUUUUCAAUCAAAGGAACAAUGUAUCUACAUAUAUUUUGUUAACAAAGGUCCGUUGAUUAUGGAGUUGAUUUCUAACAUUGGUUUAGUUUCUACUUGAAAGCUAACGAGCCUAAGGUCUUCGGUCAGACCAUAAAUAUCUGUCUAGAAACUUCAUAAGUUAGAGAAGAUGAUAAUAUAUCCUUUAAGUGCGACUUGAGUUCGAUUUUUGUAAAUAAUUUUAUAAGUGAAAUUUUCAGAUGAAGGAGGAUAUUGAGACUUCAACUCGAAAUAUUUGUGCGUCCUAAUAAAAUGUCAAACAACUUCAUCUAAAAAAAUUAAUUUAUUUUUUUAUAUAUUUUAUACGUAGACAAUCUAGAUUCACUCAUAUUAAACCUAUGAUCCUUGUCCAAUAUAUAACAAGUAUAACGAAGAAUUAAAAAUAGAAAAUAAUAUCGUGGAUAUGAGCACUGUAUUACAACCUAAAAGCAUCAAAAGCAAGCAUGAAUACAACCAAGAAGACUUUUAACUGAAACCUCAUCAAUUUUAACUCCAAUAUCGUCCAAUUAAGAAAUGAUCCAUUAAGAACACAAAAAUGCUUUAAUGUUUUCAUGUAUAUAUUCAUAAAAAAUCAAAUUAUUCCCUCAAGUACAAUAGAUUUGAUAUAUUAUUUGUCUGGUACUAUAGUUUUUUCGAAAGCUCUUGCAGAUGUUGUGAAUGAAACAUCUAGACGAUUUUUAAAUAUAAUCUAAUCUUCAUUGCACAUACCAAACUUGCUAAUCACUCGAAUAUUUGUUUAAAAAAUAUGGCUAUUAAUAUUCCCAUUCAAUGUUUGGCAUAAAUCAAAACGGAUCAACAAAUUCUUGACUAAUAUUUAUCACAAACUUAAAUUAUGAAACAUAAAAUUUCUCCGCAUCGAAUUUCGUGUAUGUUUUGUGUUCUUCUACCUUGGCAAAUAUGCUUGUGAAUAGUACCCACCGAGUUUCGAAUAAAGAUCUGAGGACUCACAGUAAUGUCACUUAAAAUCCAACCUUAGACAGAUCCAUCCUUAAAACCAAUCAUGAUUUAUAUACAAUGAUAAUUGACAAUGUUUGUUGACAGUUAUUAUCACAUUCAUCAAUUUCAAAAAAUUUUAAAAACAAUUUUAAAAAUCAUUCAUCCAGAUUUUACCACAUCAACAUUGUCAAGAAAAAUAUUGUCGACUGUGACUGUACAAGCAGAUUCGUACCAAAUUCCAAUGCACUUUGGGUUUUUCUAUCUGUACACCUAGGUGUUAGUUGACAGAUAGAAAAAAUCCAUGCACUUAUAUGGAAUCUGGGCAUGUUUCACUCCAAUGCUCCCUCAAGGAUCCUCUUGCAAAAAAUUUCAACAAUAACUGAGAACUAAAAACAGCAAAAAAAUAAGACAAAUGACAACACAAGAAUUUACCUAAAAAUUUUAUGUAAAACCAAGAACAUUCUCAUGUCCCACGCCUAUACGUAAAGUUUAAUAUUGUAAUCUAAUCAUUCUUUAUACUUUUUAGAACAUUGCUCAUGUCAUGUCCCACAAACAAUAGAUAGUUCGAGAAAUAGGCAAAAAAAUAUCCUAUUUACUAUCUCUUUCUCCCUUAUUCUUGAUGCCUCUAUUGUUUAGUACACUUUUCAAUAGUACAAACACUCUUUAUAUGGCCCUCUUGUUUUGAACAAUGCUAGGUGUAUAGAAUUUUUACAGAUAUAUACUCGGCAAUUUUUUAUUUGUUCAUGGCAAAAAAAAAAAAAAAAAAAAAAAAAAAAAAAAAAAGCAAAAAAAUAUCCUAUUUACUAUCUCUUUCUCCCUUAUUCUUGAUGCCUCUAUUGUUUAGUACACUUUUCAAUAGUACAAACACUCUUUAUAUGGCCCUCUUGUUUUGAACAAUGCUAGGUGUAUAGAAUUUUUACAGAUAUAUACUCGGCAAUUUUUUAUUUGUUCAUGGCAAAAAAAAAAAAAAAAAAAAAAAAAAAAAAAAAAAAAACAAAAAAAAAAACUAGGUCAAAAUACGUGUGAAAUUGACAUAAAGAGAAAAUACCGAACAACACUGUCACUUGAGCGGCUUCUAGUGCCAAGCGAGUGAUCGUCCUGUCGCUCAAGCGAGAGCUUGGCGACAAGCGGACAACAGCUCUCUACUCCCAAAGAUCGCUUACUACUCAAGCGAUAGGCUAGCGAAAAUGCUGCAACUUUUCUUUCCAGUCCAAAAUUUUGAUCUCUUUAAUAUCACUUCAACUAAAACUCCAAUAUUCAAAAGAUUUACAUCAAACUGCAACAAAAUUUCACCUUGAACCAAAUUUCGAUGCAAUGAAUGAAGUUCCAAAAUUUCUCCACCUGAAAAAAAAAGUUUGACCGAGAUGAAACAAUUGAACUUUUCAACUUGAACCAAACUUCUCCAAUCACACAAAAAAUACUCUUUCUCUUCCACAUUAUCCAAUACAGAUACACGAACCCAAACAUCGGGUUCAAAAAAAUUCACAAAGAACUAGAAAUUACCAAACAGGAUUGAAACAUACCCUAUAGUAGAAUCAAAUCUCAAUGCUUUCACUGUAAACUCUUUGCUAGUUUUGACGCCUUCAAAAAUCCCAAAAGCAUUUGCAACAAAAUUGGCAUUCUCGUACCUAUCUCCAAUGUGUCUAUUCCUAGUAGUUGAAUACGAUGGAACCGCUGAUAAUGGUGGCAAAGCGAAAUUAUCUAUAUCCUCUAAACCCAUCUUAGUAGUAUUCUUCAAUAUAGACCUAGAGCCAAAUCCCAAAGGUACUAUACCAAAUUGAAUAUCCACCACGACACUAAACAUGUGUUGACUUUUCUUCUCCAAUUCUGUUCGACCUUGCAAAAUGUAUGACCAGGACCUCUUCCGCCCUUCUAGUACAACACGGAUACCCUUCCAGAGCUUCAAGACUCAAUCUGCGCUAGAGAACAUGUACUCCUUCAAAUCAAAAGUACUCAACAAAAUGAGAUUCGUCUUCAAAACUAGAAUAUGUCAAAUGUGAUCAAGUGUUCUACUUGUUCAAUCUACCAGCUUCAAUCUAACUCUCCCACUACUAGUUACCUGACUAGAUUCGUUGUUACCCAUGAUAAGGACACCUUGCAUCACCAUUUUAUAUGUUUCAAACAAACACUGAUUGGGACACAAAUGAACAUAUAAGCUGUAUCAAAGAUCCACUCCUCAUCGGGUUUGGAUUCCAUGUUAGAAAUCGUAAAGAGAUUUCCAUCAUUGAAAAUAGUCCUAAGCUAUGUUGGCCUCAUCCAAAGUGUUUGAUUGCUUCCCAUAAUUUGCCGUCGAAUUACCCUUGGUCCGCAACUUCUCGCAAUCUUUCUUGAAGUAUCAUUUCUUCAUGCAAUAAAAAAAACCUGAAUCCUAAAACUCGACCUCGGCUUAUCCCUUCGCUAAUCAUCAUGAACUACAAGACCUUCUUCAUCUUUGGACUCUGAUCCAACCAGAUGUUUCAUCUUUUCCUCCGAGAAAUGGGCAUCAUACACGUCUUUAAUGGUGAGGGCAUCACGAUUAUGCAUAAUUGUGUCCCUAAAUAAAGCAGGCAGCAACACAACACGAUUAAGGCCAAAUCUUCUUCAUCAUACUUUACCUCUAAUGUCUCCAAAUUAGCGACGAUCAACUUGUGAAUUACCCUUGGUCCGCAACUUCUCGCAAUCUUUCUUGAAGUAUCAUUUCUUCAUGCAAUAAAAAAAACCUGAAUCCUAAAACUCGACCUCGGCUUAUCCCUUCGCUAAUCAUCAUGAACUACAAGACCUUUUUCAUCUUUGGACUCUGAUCCAACCAGAUGUUUCAUCUUUUCCUCCGAGAAAUGGGCAUCAUACACGUCUUUAAUGGUGAGGGCAUCACGAUUAUGCAUAAUUGUGUCCCUAAAUAAAGCAGGCAGCAACACAACACGAUUAAGGCCAAAUCUUCUUCAUCAUACUUUACCUCUAAUGUCUCCAAAUUAGCGACGAUCAACUUGAACAUAGCCAGAUGAUUUUCCAAAGAUCCAUCCUUUUACCAUACGAUGAGAAUACAACAUUUGCUUCAGAUGCAAUUUACUUGUCAGACUUUUAGUCAUGCAUAAUUACACCAGCUUCAACCAUGACAAAGCUUCUGUCUUCUCUUUCAAAACAUCUUUCAGAAUAUUGUUAGAGAGAUGAAGAUAAAUCUGUAAAAGUGUAUUCCAAUGCUUCCAUUAUUUCUCCUUUGUUCUCUACAUUGUGGGCAUCUUGUCAAAUCCAAACAACGCACCAUUCAAAUCCAUCAGCACCAAUACAACUAGCAUCUUCACUCGCCAUAAUGACAAUCGAGUAUUGCAAUCCAAAAGCGAAAUUUUAUACUUCAGGGCUAUCAUCGAUAACACGAAAUCUCAAACAAAAUCACAACUUGUUUUGAUACAAUUGUUAGACAUAAACAAGUUACUAGAAUAGCUUGGAUACCACUUGUUACGAAAUGGGGAGGCGAAUAUGAUACAAUAUGAAGUAUAUGAUCGCACACAGAAAAUAGGAUUGAAAACAAGAAAUAGAUUGGCAGAGGUACCGAGUAUUUUAUCUGACAAUCAAUGGAGAAAAUAAUAUUGUUACAGCAAUCUCAACAAUUCUUAAAUUGAAUGAAGAGUUUAUUAUUUAUAGAGGACAUGUCAAAUCCCUAGAAGUAACCUGUCAAAUCACCAGAAGUAAACAAAAAAUAGAAACUAUAUCAAAAUACUCGUGAAAUCGACAUAAAGAGAAAAUCCCGGACAGCGCUGUCGCUUGAGCGACAUCUAGUGCCAGGCAAGCAAUCGUCCUGUCACUUGAGUUAGAGGUUGGCGACAGGCAGACAACACAUCUCUGCUCCUAAUGUUCGCCUACUACUCAAGCAAUAGGCUAGCAAAAAUGCGGCGAUUUUUCUUUCCGAUUCAUAAUUUUGAGUUCUUUAAGACCACUUUAGCUAAAAGUCCAAUACUCACUAGAUUUGGAUCAAACUACAACAGCUAGAUACAAGUGCAAUUGGUAAACUUAACGAAGAGGUCGACCUAAAAAUUACAACCGACGUAAUUGAUCAUUGGUCUGAAACUUCAUGGGUAAUUUGGAAAUGAUCUUUUACAGAGUGAGGAUUAAACAGAUCCGAUUUAACCGAUUCUAGACAAGUAUAAGAUAAAGAUAUGCUAAAUAUGAGUUACUUUAUUUAAGCUCAAGAAAAGUUUAUAUUGUUAGGAAAAUUUUGGCCUGGGUUCCCAAAUUAUAAACCCUUCACAUUCGAAUUUUCAUAAUUUUUAAAUCCUAAAAUUUUGAUUUAUGGGGAGGUUUUCGAUGAAACUGUUAAAAAUACGUUACCUAUCAUGUGAAAUGUACAUUUAAAGGAUAUUAGUUCAUCACCUCUAUUUCUUUGGAGGAGGAGGAGAAGACAAAGACAACAAUAAAAGAAAGGAGAAUGAAAACAGGAAAAAUAAUAAUAAGAAAAACAGAAAAAUAAAAUAAAAUUCUCCUGACAAAUAAAUAUUUAUUUAAGAUCGCUGGUAAAAAAGGAUGUUUAACCAAAUAAAAAAUUGUUAUAACAAAGUAGUGUCAAGGUUCCUUGGAAUCGAUAUUUAGUUGGCAUAUCUCUAGGAAAAGAAUACAUUUGUCUCAUGAAAAAUUAAAAAUUAAAAAGAACUCGCAUUUUGGCCUUGCAUUAAACUGAGGUUCCUUAGCAAUGAUAUUCAAGAAGUUACAAUUGCUAUUUAGUUGAUUAAUCUAUUCAACUUUUAUUUUUAUUUUUAAUUUCAUAUGAGUGAAUAUCAUUUUCCACAGUUUCAAAGUUAUUAACAAAAAUAAAGAGUAAAUAAGAAAAUUAAUUUUUCUAAUGGAUAUGAAUUAAAGAUAAUUAACACUUAGGCAAACAGUUGGAUCGUUAGAAAAUUUUUGAAAAAUUAUAUUAACAUAAUUUAAUCUCUAAUUGCCAGUUAAUAAGUAUUAUUAAAGUUAAUCCUGAAAUUAAGUUAACUUUUACUUAGAAAAAUAUAAUUAUGUUAAUUUUUAAUUGAAAACCCACAACAAAGAUCGCGGAUCAAGUGUAAUUCUUAAUCAUAAUUUUUUAAAAUAUUAUGGUGGACUUUUUGAAAGGUAUUCCAGAGUUUUUUCAAAGUUUCUUAAUUUUAUUAAAAGUCAAAUUAAAAAAACAUUUUUUUGAGUUUCCAAAAUGUUUCCUUUCAAUUUAGAGACACGUUUUAAACGAAAACAUUAGCAUUCUAGAAGUCUUUUUAAACAGUCUAGUUUAGGGUUUAGGGAGUGGGAGGGUUGGCAGCCAAACUUUAGCUUAUUAACAUUCUAAUUUAAAUGUUUAGGCUUUUUCUCCUCUAUAAAUUGAGACCAAGCCCCAGCAACGCAUCAAGCAUCUCCGACAAUCUCUUCCUUUUAAAGGUGAAGACAUCAGGUAUUGCACUGUACGUUGUUCUUCUACUAGCCGUAGCCGAGCCACUUUUUUUCGCGGCAGAAGGAUGUGUUAUUAGUGAACUGCAACCUUGCGCAUCUGCCAUCGCGUCCGGUACUCCACCUUCUGUAGAGUGCUGCACUAAUUUAAAGCAACAGCAGCCUUGCUUUUGCGAGUACCUCAAAGACCCAAGCGUAGGAGGGUAUGUUAAAUCUCCCAACGCCAAGAAGGUUGCUCGUGCUUGUGGAGUGUCCAUUCCCACUAAUUGUUAACUAUCUAUGCUUCUGUAGACUACUUAGGGAGUACUAUUCCCAGUAAAAGUAAUAUGGUAGCUAGCUUUAAUCAGAAUAAUGAUGCACUUGUGUCCAUCUUUUUAAUAAUGGAAAAUAAAUAACUCUUGGACCACCUAUCUUUUUAACCUAUUAGCAUGGGAUGUGUAAAGGUUGUUGGACAGGUCCACAAGUAUUAUUUAUAAUUGUUUCUCACUAUAUGAAUAUGUAUUUAUAAUAGAGAUAAUCGGAAAACUAUAUGUGAGAAUGAUGUGUUGGAAUUCUGAAACCACCUAUUAUUAUCUUAUUUCAAAUCUCUAUCCACGUUAUCUAGUGUAAUUUGUGUAUCAUUGACAACCGUUACUUCAAUUAUAUUUAACUCUAUCUCCCAAUGUGAAGUAACCAAACCUAUUUCUAAGAAUGACACGAGAAUAUCCCUGUAUUGAAUUCAUAUUAAAAAUAAUCCAUUCAUCUACACAAUUACCUCUCAUUAACAAAUCAAGCAACUAAUAAUCUAUAUGGUAAUUAAACAUUUAAAUAAUAAAUUAAGCAUGAAGUAUCAAUCAAGAACAGAAAUGAACUAAAUAACUAAUUUUGAAUUAAAAAUAAUCAAGCAAUAAGUUUCACCUUCAUCCCGACAUUAAAUAAUUUAUCCUAGCAUAAUCAUAAUAAAAUUACUGCAAGAAGUUUGGAAAUUCAUAAAAUACAAGAUAAAGAUGUAAAAUCAAUUUCUCGAGUCUUCAAUUCCAAGCCUCGAAUCUUAAAUUUCUUGAUGUUAAUUGCCUUCAAUUGUUUGCUAGAUUUGUUCUCCACAAUAGAUUACAAUAGAAUGUUGAAAGUAUAAGCUUGAGGUAGGUUAAAUCGCGAAAGCUACUAGUUCAACUUAUACUAUAAGUUAAAGUAGCUUACCUCUAGCUUAUUCCAGUGUGUAAAAGCAGAUUCUUAUGCUCGUGUGAAAAGCCCUGAAGAAAAAUUUGCGCCAUGCUAUAGCACAGUGGACAUCACUUAGCAUCAGUUCCUUUUAAAUGGGCAUUGCGAUCAAAUGCCUUCUACUUUUAGCCUUGAUCAAUUCAGUCCCUGGUCUUCUUCUUUUAAUUGGCUAAAGUUCAAGUAAUUUGCAAUUAAAUCCUUGAUUUCCAAUUCAUAUCCAAUUGGUCCUCAUCUCCAAAUUAAGUAAAUAUAACUCAUUUUAUCUCGAUUUCAUUCUUUUUUACCCAAGAUCAUCUAUAACAUCGAGAGUUUCACCUAAACAAACAAUAUUUACAUGAGAUUAAACUAUAAUUCCCUUAAAGUACUCCUAGAUAUCCAUGUGUUUACCUCUAAAUGAUGAUCAAACAAAUUACUCUCAACUAUCAAAUAUUUUUUGCUCAUAAACUUACUAUUCUACUAUUCAAUAGGGAGUAAGAAGAGAAAUGAAUAUUUGAGAAAAACUAUUUCAAAUUCAACAUAUCAUUCUUCAUCCCAAGCAUGCCUAUUUAUAGAUUUAUAUUUAGUCGUUGGAGCUAAAUGAGUAUUUUUAAUAGGCGAGAUGUGGUAGUUGUUGGUUAAGUGACUUCUAACUAAUUUUGUUUUCUUUUCACAUUCACCCACUAGCUUAAUCCUUAAGAUUUUGCUUAAGUAUAUUGGCUCGCAUCAUGUGAUUAAGGUCGCAUAUGAUAUUUCUCCCUCAUAAGUGCUUUUAGCUCAUUUUGAGUUUGCAUAUUUUUUUACCACUUCAGAGUAUUCACUUAGAUACUCUGGAUGAAUAUUUCAUAUAUAAGACUAUGUUUAAGCAUAUUAAUCCUUGAGGACUUCAUAAUGGUAUUAAGAUCUCGAUAUGGUUACUCUCGUUGACCCUCUGAAGUUAUAAUAUCUUUCACUAUUGAUUGUGAAGCAAUUCUAUCCACCUCAUACAGCAAUACAGACAGACCUGAUAAGUUAAUAUGAAACCUAGAGGCAAAUGCCUAGACAAAAGCGUGAACAAAUGAUAGAAAACUAGAUGUCUGAUGAGUUCACUAGCAGAAUUAGCUUAAACUCUUGGUAAAUAAAUGGCGAAAAGUUUCAACUCCUCCUAAGAUUGGAAUCUAUUUUUGCAGCACAUACAAUGAUGCGCUCAUAUUAGCAAUGCUAAAUGGGAAGUGGGAUAGAAUUGGAGCAUGCCACAUGCUAUUUUAGUGUGAUGCAUUUAAGUACGUAUAGAAAUAUUUGAAAAUUUUGGAGUGAGUGAGACGUAAAGAAUAUGCGAUGAACUAUUUAAGGGCUACAAUGAAGCCGAUUUGGGGCCAUUCUGAUGCAUCAUGCAUCCUAUGGAUAGUGUGUGGGUAAACAUAGCAUAGUAAUACAUGGAUCAAGCCUAUGAGAUGUGCAUGCAAUAUAAGGUUCAAUUAAUGUCUUGUUGGAAAAUGAAUGAAAGGUACGAUGAACCAAAAACUAGAUUCAAACUAUCAAGUAACUAGAUUGGAACCACGUCAUAGCAGGAGAUUGAAGUUUAAUAUUGUCGUUGAGGUUCAAAAACACUAGGGCGUUGUUAAUUUAUGGGAUGUGAUGCAAGUCAAGAAUUGGGUGGUGGCGGGCAUCCAAUCCAAGAGGAUAUCAGGGUUUCUGCAGCUACUGAUGGUGAGGCCAUUGCAUUUCAAGAAUGGCUAUUUUUGCAUGAGAUUAGGGCUACCAAUGACCUAUAACAGUGUAUGAAUCCUUUCAUGUCAUCACCAAGCUUCAGUCCGAGUUUGAUUGUGAUCCCUAUCAUGGAUAGUCCCUAACGAGCAACCAAUUUGGAACUAUUUUUUCCCACCCCAUCAACACCCCUGAUUCCUCCCCAAUCAUAGCCACCCUCUCCAACUGAUAAACACUUAAUUGUCCUCAGCAUUUCUGCUCAAAUUAAUGAAAAGCUAACACCCUUUUCCACAAUGGCGUGCCCAAUUUGAAGCCCUUUUUAUUCAGUAUGACCUCCUUGACUAUAUCACCGGAGACCAUCCACGCCCCAUUCCUAAUGGUUCCACUGCUUUUACUCUCCAAAAGACACACUAGGUUCGUCAAGAUAAGCUCAUCCUUGAUGCUGUUCUGGCCUCUACCACUAUGGCCAUUACCUUCCUUACCUUUGCUACCAAAGGUCCCAAGAGGCAUGGAAGAAAUUAAAUACCAUGUAUGCGAGUAAAUCAUGAACCUAAUCGAUGUAACUAAAUGAGAAACUUACCUUGAUUCAUCGGGACAAUCAUUCCAUACCCGAUUAUCUACAUACGUUGAAAGGCCUUGCAGAUGAUAUUUCCCUCAUUGAUCAUCCCGUAUAUAGUGAUGAUCUUAGCUUUUACAUUCUUCACAGUUUGGUCUCGAUUUCAGGAGAUUUUCAUCUCUAUUCGUGCUCGAGCGAACUCGCUGACCUUUGAAGAACGCUAUAAUCUCCUUGUUAACCAUGAAAGCUAGUUUUGUCACCUUGAAGCAAUCGUUCAGCACCUAGUUGCCACAGCCAAUUCCACCUAUUGAUACUCUAAUUUGCAUGAUGCAACUAGAAGUGAAAGCCCCUAGCAAUGUGGGUCUUAUAAGGCCAAUGGAUCUUUAGAGUCUUCAGCCUAUCUCACCCCUAACAACAUCGUGACAAUAGGAGGCCCCAAAACUCCACCUGUCGAUUUAAUUCAGGCAAGAGCCAUUAUCAGUCGAAAUGCCAGUUUCGUAAUCUAUUGUGAUUACUGCUCAAAAAAAUGUCCACCAUUACAUUCUUUCGAUAUCACCGUGAAUUGUUCCUCCAUUUCUCAACUAAAGAAAAUAAAUGGCUCAUUGAUUCUGGGGCAUCUCACAACAUUACUGAUGAUUUAGCAAAUUUGUCCAUCCAUUUUGAAUAUUAUUAAACAUAUGAGUUCGUAAUUGAUGAUGAAUCAAGUUUGUAUGUCACCCGUGUUGGCUCUUCGGAAUUUCAAACACCCAUCAUACUUCCCAUUUGGAUAAAGAACCUUGAGUUCCUAGCAUCUGCAAAAAAUUGAUAUCUAUCAAUACUAUCACCUAUCUUAUAAAUCAUCGACCCACACCCUUGUUAAGGAACAAAUCUCUCUAUGAAAUCUUACUUGGCCAACUUUCUAUUCACUAGGCCUUACGACACCCAUAAACUUCAGUUAAAAUUCAUUCUGUGCUUAUUCGUUGGCUAUUCUCAAACCUAAAAUGUAUACAAGUGUCUCAAUCUUAAAUCUAACAGCUUGUAUAUCUCUUGACAUGUUCUAUUUGAUGAGAGCCAAAGCCCAAUCUAAUUGCAAAUCACACAGAGUAAGUGCCACUCAUCUAUUCGGAUUGCAUCACAUUCGUUACCGUGUCAUAGCUUCAGACUAUGUUGAUAUUGCUUCCACAUCACCUUUGGGUAACUCUCGCCUUCCUUUUUAAGUCAAUCUACCUCACAUACACCCUAUACUAAUUUAACCAGCACCACCGUAAGGUCAUCUAUCAGGUUUAUCACCUGCACCGCUUUUUCUUAUCCUCAUCCCAUUGAUCACUCGCACUCCUAUCUAGAUAAAGCUAUCCCUGCCCCACCAUGAAGAACUCACGUAAUAGUUACUCGAUCCCAAAACCAUAUAUAUAAACCCAAACAAUUUAGUUCAAUCACAAAACAUCCUUUCCAACCCACCAAGGCACCAAUUGUGUAAGUCAACCAUGUUGUGAUCCCCCCAAUGGAGCUUUGCUAUGUCGGAUGAGCUCACUUCCAUCAUGAGGAAUUUUAUAUUAGAGUUCGUUCCAUUUUCUAAAGAAUGUAAUCCAAUAGAUGUUUCAGGAUAAGAGAAAGGUGGAUAGGUCUAGUGAUCAAUUUAAUUCUCGACUUGUGAAACUAGCUACUAUCAGAACUAUUUUGACAAUUGCUAUGAUAUAAGGGUGGUUAUUAAGAUAUCUUGAUGUGAAUAAUACAUUUUUGCAAGGUGAGUUGACUGGGAAUGUGUAUAUGGUUCAGCCUCCAGGAUUUAAGGAUACGUCCAACCCCGAUCACAUUUGUAGAUUGAGCAAUGCCAUUUAUGAUCACAAACAGGCUUCUCGAGUGUGGUACUCGACUCUAAAAUGUGCCUUGAUUAAGCUUGGUUUUCAAAAUUUAAAACUGAUUCAUCCUUGUUUAUCUAUUGAAAUAGUUCCAUUAUAUGAUAUUUUGUGGUUUACGUGGAGAGUCAUGCUACUUGUACAAAAUUAGUUGACAAAGUUGGUUUACAAAACGACAUUUACACCAAUCAUUUAAAAAACUCUUUUUAAAAUCAUUUCAAAUCAAAGGCCAAGUUUUGCCAACACUUGUUUUGUCAACCAUUUUCGUCAACUUGUUUUUGUACAACUAGAUUAAUUGUUACGUGGAUGACCUUGUUAUCGCAAUUGGUGACCCUAAGUUUGUCACUUCACCUAUUUAUGGUCUUGGUACACAAUUUUUUCUCAAAGACAUAGGAGACCUCCAUUUUUUAGGUGUGGAGGUCAUCUACACCACAGCAAGCUUAUUCUUGUCUCAGUACAAAUACAUCUAUAAUCUACCAUCUAAUACCAAUAUGCUUGGUGUCAAAGAUGUCUAUACUCCAUUGUCCACCGGAAUUUCUCUGAAAUUAAUUAAUGGUACCUCAAUUGUUAAGAGCACAUAAUUUCAUCGUGUGAUCGGGGCUCUUUAAUACCUCUCUCUCACACAGCCCGAUAUCUUCUUUGUCAACAACAAAAUGUCGUUGUUUAUACAUAAGCCAAAUAUCGCCCACUAGGCCACCACAAAGCGACUCUUUCACUACCUGAAGCAAACAAUCUUCCAUGGCAUUCAGUUCCUCAAGAAUGUAAACUCUGUUCUCACCACAUACUCAAAUGCUAAUUGGAUGAGCAAUCUUGAUGACCAUACAUCUAUCGUAGCUUAUAUAUCAGUUUUCUUAGCUCCAAUCCCAUCUCUUGGAGCUCCAAAAGAUUGCGGUUGGUCACCUGCUUAUCUACUGAGAUCGAAUAUAUGGCCUUUACCAAUGCUGCCUCUGACAUAUUGUGGUUGCUUGUGUUGUUCAAUGAGUUAGGAUUUCCACUCAAGAAUUUGCCAGCAUUGUUAUGUGAUAAUCUUUGUACAACGCAUUUAAGCUUUAAUCUGGUGCUACACUCAUUGAUGAAGUACAUGUAGAUUGACUUACACUUUGUUCAAAUAUUGUUCAGCGAAGUAUAAUCCAUGUUUGACAUGUCAACACCUGAGAUCCAUUGGCGAUCUUCUAAACAAACCGUUGUCGAGACGACGUACGGAAGUUCUUUGGAACAAGUUGGUCUAGCCGAUAGCCACUCCAUCUUGUGAGAUUGUAUUAAGGAUAAUCCCUCAAAUCAAACCAAAAACGAAAAUGAUUAUUCUUAGGCUUAAAUCAAGGAUAAUCAUAGAAUGUAAAUGUUAGGAAAUUGUAGUCACAGAAUUAGUCUAGUUGUUUAAAAUAGAUUUUGUAUGAUGUGUAUAAAGGUUGUACGAUCAUGUAAAUCAAAAGCGUGGAAAAAUCUUAUUGAUCAAGUAUUACAAAAACUAAUUCUACCCUAUAAUUUCUAUCAAUCCCAUAGCUGGAAUAUAUUCUGAUAUUUCAUCUUUGCUUUCCAUGUAAAUUAUGGGUCUUGUCAUUUAACCUUCCUUGAAGGAAAUGAAGUGGUCGACAGUGUUGCUACAUUUUUUUUUAUGCUGAUUGGCUUUGUAGGCAGGGAUGAACUGGUUGCACCUCAUAUUUUCUAUCAUCACCUAUUUAGGACAAUAUGAUUUAGUUCCUGUUUGACAGAAUUUUUUUAAAAGAAUGGGUGUUUGAAUAGUAAAUUUUUGGAGAAUGUAUGCUUAAAAAUUAAAAAAAAAACGUUGAAUUUAAGUAAAUAAUAUUUUAUUGUGAGAAUGCAUGGGUUAAAAAAGGUAUUAAAAAAAAAAUUUGAAAGAACUGCUUCAAGCUUCAAAAAAAUAUUUUGUGUUAUUAAUCAAGAAAUUUUAAUUUAAUUUAAGUCAUGGUCCCAGUCCCAUCACAUAGUAUUCUUGACUUCAAGCUGUGGUCAAGUAACCAUAUAAUAUUUUGACUGAAGAAACCAAACUGAAACGUAGAACAUAGACCAGGGUCACUACAUAUACAAUGAAACUAUCUAAUGGGCAUAGGUGUUUAGAUUAUAUUAAGUAUCGAUAAUAUGACAUAUCAAUAGGUUGGUGAAUAUGUUAAUGGUAGGUCCCAUGAAUUUAAUGAUUCACCAAUUCAUAUAUAUAUGCCUUAUUCGAAAGGGAUUAAAAUCUAGAUUUUAAUUUAAAUUGAAGUUAAUAAUGAAUUUUAAUUAUAUAUUUCAUGGGUCCUAUAAAUUUUUAAUCAAAUAUUUUACCAAUUUUUAUCAAAAUCAACUAAAAAUUUGAUUUUAAUCACUACCAAACAGAGAUUUAAUAAUUUUCACUGUGAAAUAUCUAUAUCAUUAUCAAAACAAUUAGAACAAGUAAUCUCUCAUACUUAGUUACUUAUCUUGUAACACAAACUAACCAAAUAUCAAAAUAAUUACUGAAAGAAACUCGCACAUAUUGUUUAGCCUGUAUAAUCUAACUCAAAGUCAAUAAUUGUUUUUAACUAUAUAUAGAAUUUACAAUUUUUCAACCACAUGUUUCAUCAUCUUUUAUCAAAAAUUGUUAAUCAGAAUUCGAAAUGAAGAGGAGAAGGAUGAUAAUAUUCUGAAGUGAAUAGGUCUUUCAACCAUUAGUAAGAAACUGAUUUACAAGAGAUAUAAAAAAGAUGUUCUAGCACAUCUUUCUACCAACUACCUGCUACAUCCUUAUUUAAGGACACAUUACAUUAUUACAUAAAGACAUGCUGGUGCAGGCUAUACAUCAGAAAAAAUGUAAAGGACUGCUCCCUAUAAUCAUUACAAAAUACAUAGGGCUUGACAACAAAAUAAACAUAGCUUAGCCUUAUACUUGAUACUUAAGGACUCGACAAUUGUGACAACAAAAGUGGCAACAACAUCAAUACUCCUCCUUGACACUUUUGUUGGAAACACCAAGACUCUUUCUAAGUGUUUCAAAUCUUCCCUUGGACAAGGACUUGGUUAGAAUGUCGGCAUAUUGAUCUUCACCUUUGCAAUGUACCAGCUUUACCUCACAAUUUUCUUGUGCUUCUCUAAUUGCAUGGUACUUGAUUUUAAUGUGUUUCGAUCUUCCAUGGAACACUGGAUUUUUUACCAUAGCUAUAGCUGAUUGAUUAUCACAAAAAAUUAUAGUUGCCUCAGUUUGUUUAACAUCCAAAUCCUCCAGCAUUUUCCUCAGCCAAUGUGCCUGAUUUGUUGCUUCUACUACUGCUACAUACUCUGCUUCUGCUGUUGAUUGAGCAAUAGUUUUCUGCUUCAUUGAGUUCCAGCAAACAAUGUUUGUUCCAAGAUAAAAUGCAUAUCCAGAUGUGCUCUUCAUAUCAUCAAGAGAUCCAGCCCAGUCACUGUCUGUGUAUCCAAUUAAAUUCUAGGAUUUUGACCUCUUAAACCAGAUUCCCAAAUCAACACUUCCUUUGAUAUAUCUCAAAACUCUUUUGGCCGCCUAGAAAUGCAAUUCACUUGGUUCCUCCAUGAACCUCGAAAGCAAAUUAGUAGCAUAAGUGAGGUCAGGUCUUGUGAUUGUCAAAUAUAAUAAACAACCAACCAAGCUCCUAUACAACUUCCCAUCAAUCUUCUUACUACCAUCGUCUUUCACCAUUUUCACAUUUUGAACCAAAUGAGUUACUACUGGUUUACAGUUGUCCAUGUUGAAUUUCUUUAAUAUCUCAAUGGCAUAUCUUCUUUGACACACAAAAAUGCCUUCUUGUGUCUAGUAGAUUUCCAUUCCAAGGAAGUACUUCAUCUUUCCUAAAUCAGUCAUUUCAAAUGACUUCAUCAUUUCUGCCUUAGUUCUGUCUAUCAGUUCCUUAUUGCUGCUGGUUAUUAGAAGAUCAUCAACAUAUAAGGAAAAUGAUGAUUGACUCUUCUUCAAUUUUCUUCAUGUACAAGGUCUGUUCAUUGACACUUCUCACAAACCCAAGGCUGCUCAUGUGUUCAUCAAUUCGGCUGUACCAGGCUCUUGGAGCUUGCUUCAGCCCAUACAAUGCCUUCUUCAGCUGAUACAUUUGUCCUCUUCUCUAGCUACUUGAAAGCCAUCAGGUUGAUCGACAUAAAUCUCCUCAUUUAACCAGCCAUGUAGGAAAGCUGAUUUAACAUCCAGCUGAUGAAUUUCCCAGCCUCUUUGAGCAGCUAUAGCCAGCAACAAUCUUAUAGUUUCAUACCUUACCACUGGUGCAAACCUGUUUGAGUAAUCAAUACCAUAUUGCUGUGCAUACCCUUUCACAACAAGUCUGGCCUUAAGCUUGUUAAUAGAUCCAUCUGAGUUCAUCUUGGUCUUGAACACCCAUUUGACUCCAAUAACAUUUUUGUUCAUUGGCCUAUCUACCAGCUUCCAAGUUCCAUUCUUUUCAAUCAUCUUAAGUUCCUCCUCCAUUGCUGCCAACCAUUCAGAUGAAUUUACAGCUUCAGCAGCAUUUGUUGGCUCUAAUAUUACUGAAUUGCACCUUGCAUAUACAUCAGCCAAUGACCUGGUUUUUAGUAUUGGAUUCUCAGUAUCUGAUCCACUAUCAGCUUCCAAAGGAUCAGCUUCCAAUACUUCAAGUUGGUUUUCAUCAGGAUCUUCUUCUUCAUUGAUUACAGCCUCAUCUCUUUGUGGAACUAUUCCUUGAUCAUGUGAUCGAAUUAAUGUGUUUGACUCCCUAUUCUAUGAGGAUUCUUCAUCUAUCUUGAUAUCCCUGCUGGAUAUUAUCUUCUUGGUUCGAGGAUUGAAAACCUUAUAUCCUUUAGCAUUGCUGCAAUACCCAAUCAAGAUGCCAGAUUUAGCCUUUUGACUUAGCUUAUCUCUUUUAGGGUCUGGAAUGUUGAGUAACAAAUACUACCAAACACCCUUAGAUGAGCAACAUCAGACUUGAUUCCAUACCAAGCCUCAUAUGGUGUUUUCAUAUUCAAAGCUUUUAUGGGGAGUCUAUUAAGAAGAUAUGAGGCAGUACUCACAGCUGCUGCCCAGAACUCUUUUGGAAUUGAUUUCUCAAUCAUCAAACACCUUGCCAUCUCCAUCACGGUCUUAUUCUUUCUUUCACACACUCCAUUUUGCUGGCGUGUGUAUGGAAUGGUCAACUGAUGUUUAAUUCCAGCUGUCUCACAGAAUUUAUCAAGCUAAUUACACUUGUAUUCAAUUCCAUUGUCUGUUCUGAUGGUCUUAAUUCUGGAAUUGUACUCAUUUUCCACCUAUGUUUUGUACUUCUGAAACACCCCUGCAACUUCAGACUUCAACCUCAGGAAGUAUACCUAACUUAUCCUUGUUAGAUCAUCAAUGAAGAGUACAAAAUACCUGCUGCCAUUCAAUGUCUGAGUUCUCAUAGGACCACAUACAUCUGAGUGGAUUAACUCAAGUUUUGUUGCAGCUCUUCUGGAUUGACCUUUUGAAAAUGGAAGUUUGGUUUGCUUCCCACGUUGACAUACCUCACACACACAGGUAUCAACACAUACAUCAGGCAUAUUUUCAGCAAGCUUAUGCAGGUGCUUAAGUGAUGUAUAGUUUAUGUGUCCAAACCUCCUAUACCAAAGUGUGGACUCAUCAACUGAGCUUGUGAAUGCAUGUGAAGUUACCUUUUUCCACUCUAAAGGAAAACUUCUUUGUUUCAUCUCCACAGACAUCAGUUCAUUAUUACUUAGAUCUAAUAUAGUACAGUCAUUGCCUUUGAAAAUCAGUGUGAAUUUCUUCUCAAUCAACUGGCCUACACUAAUUAGAUUUUGAUCUAUAUUAGGCACAUAAAGGACAUCAGAAAUAAGCUUGGUACCUGUUGGAGUUUGUACAGAAACUACUCCAAUUCCUUUCACCUCCACUUGAUCUCCAUUGCCAACUUUAACUCUUGAUCUGUAGUUGUCACUCAAUUCAACAAAGAUGCUGAGGUCCGAAGUUAUGUGAUGGGUGCAUCCACUAUCCAGUAACCAGCCUCCAAUAUUGCUAGACAUUUUGUAGUUUGCAACAGCAAAGAGAUGCUCUUCCAGCUGAUCUAGUUGCUGACUUUCAACAAUUUUAGCUUGCUGCUCAAUCUGCUUCCCUUUCUUAUUUCUACAAACCCUUUGAACAUGUCCAAACUCCUUACAUGACUUGUAUUGCGCCCCUGGUUUGAACCAGCACCAAUUUGGAGAAUGUACAAUCUUUUGAUAAUGUGGACAUGGAGGAUUAGCAGAGUUUUUAUCAGCACCCUUGCUGCCUUCGAAUCUUCUCUUGUCUUGCUGAUUUUUCCUUGGCCUAAAGCUAGUCUGUGCCUUAUGCUUUCCUUUAACAAACAAGGCACCUUCUACUUGAUCUUCUUGCCUCAUUAACCUCCUUUGCUCAGUGGUUUGCAAGGCAUUAACCAGCUCAGAUAAGGUGAUGGAUGAUAGAUCUAGAGUCUUCAAGAGUUGAGAUUUUAGCUUCAAACUUUUCUGGUAAGCUAAUCAGCACCUUUUCAAUGACCCUUCUAUCAGGUAAAUCAUCUCCCAAAAGCCUUAUCUUGUUCACUACCUUAAUCAACCUAUCAGCAUAAUCUUUGACAGAUUCAGAAUCCUUCAUCUUCAGGCCCUUAUAUUUUCUUCUCAAGUUCAAGACUUGCAUUUGUCUUGUUCUUGCAUUGCCUCUGAACUCCUCUUGCAACCUGUCCUAGGCCUCCUUUGCAAUUUCACAGGUUAUUAUUCUGGUAAAAAUUGCAUCAGUCACAGCUGACUGGAUGUAAAACAAGGCUUUAAACUUUUUUGCAACCUCCUCACUAUGUUGCUUCAAUUGAGCAAUUGUAGGAUUUGCUCUUAAGGCUGGUGGUUCAACACUUGAUUCUGUGAUUUCCCACUGAUCAUAAGCCUUUAAAUAAGCCUUCAUCUUUGCUGUUCAGAAGUCGUAAUUCUCACCUGUGAAAGCAGAAGGUAAAGGUGCUGAGAAUCCAGCUGAAGCCAUUGGAUUUUGAUCCUAUGUCUCGACUAAUAUGGUGAAGGUUUUUAGUGUAGGUUCCUUGUUUUCUCUCUUUUUUGGUCUCACAGAUCCCUCCUUCAAAGAUCAUUCAAGCUCUGAUACCACUGUCAAUCAGAAUUCAAAAUGAAGAGGAGAAGGAUGAUAAUUUUCUGAAGUGAAUAGGUUUUUCAACCAUUAGUAAGAAACUGAUUUACAAGAGAUAUAAAAAAGAUGUUCUAGCACAUCUUUCUACCAACUACCUACUACAUCCUUAUUUAAGGACACACAUUACAUCAUUACAUAAAGAUAUGCUGGUGCAGGCUAUACAUCAGAAAAAAUGCAAAGGAUUGCUCGCUAUAAUCAUUACAAAAUACAUAGGGCUUGACAACAAAAUAAACAUAGCUCAGCCUUAUACUCGAUACUUAAGGACUCGACAAUUGUGACAACAAAAGUGGCAACGAACAUCAAUAAAAAUAACAAAAUCUUAUUUUAAUUGCCACCAAAUAGGGACUCAAUUUCCUUCCGUAUGAACUAAGCCUUUUAGCGAGAAAGAAAAUAGUUGAACAUUUAUUAAGGAAUACCAUAUUGUUAUAUGGCUCAUAAAAGAGAAGAAAAUCAAAGGAUAAAUGUACUAUAACAUUGAAAACUAAAGCAAGCAUGUCUACAUAUCUCGAAUUUGCUGUCAAAGAUAUCAAGUGUAGAUGAUCAAUAUUUGUGUUCACAUCUUGAUGAUCAAGUUUAAGCAUUGUUGGAUACAUCCACUGCAAUAUUGACAAUUUGAUUUUUUUAUAACAUUCCAUACUUAUUAGUAAGUUUACUUAUUGUUACUUUUUUUAUUUACAAGAUUAGAUAAUAUAUAAUCCUCAUUAUAAAGAAACGUAAGUGUGGUGAUGACGAAAUAAGUGAUGGAAUGGUUGAGUAAGAUUAAAAUAACAUGAUCCAAUCAAAUUGUCUAGGAAAAUGAGAACAAAUAUUUUAAGGAUUCUUACAUUGUAGCUUGGUCUUCACUUCGCGGAAUCGAUAACAAUACGAUAGGCAUUGCAGUUCGUCUGUAACUUCAUAACCCAAUGGUGGGACCUUGACUAUCACAUAGUCCACCAUAUUAUAAUUUCAAGAAAAAGAGGUAAAAAUAUUGGAUAUUUAAUCCCGUCCAAAAGUUUAAAUUUUAAGUAAGAGGACACUAGGACACUAUAUAAUGCAAUUAAAUAUUAUUUUUAACACAAAAGAUUAAUUUUUUAUUUUAAAUGAUUGACGAUUAACUUAUACUUAAAUAUUCACCUUAAGUAUUUAGAGAACAAAGAAAUUGAUAAUUUAAAUAUGGGCUAAAACAAUGUUAAUAAUCAACUUAUGGCGAAGUUUUACACUAGUUAUAUACCUUUAUUUUGUUUCAAAGUUAUUAUUGAAGUUUAUUUUUGUUUCAGUUUAUUUGGUCUAUUAACAUAUGUUAGCUUUUCUAGUAGGAUGUAUGACUUUACUGAUGAUAAGCUGAUGUAUUGUCGACAUGGACGUCUUCCACGUCACACGUUCUAUUAGAAAAACCGACGAAAUUUUACUAAAAUAAGUAGUGAAGUUGUGACUAUUUCGAAACAAAAGAAACUCAGUGGCUAAAAUGACACUUAACUGCAAGUUGAGUGACUAUCUGGGUUUUCCCCCAUUUAAAUAUUGUUUUAAAAAAGUUGAAAACCUUUUUUAACGUGGGUUGGUACUUCGUAGAAUUUAAAGAUGGUUUGGGGAGGACUUCAGAGUUUUAGCAAGUUUUAUUGGAGACUUGUAAUAGUGGUGCUAGUGAUGGGCAGACAACCUUGUUGUAGUGACAACCUUGAAGUAUAAAAAGGGGGCCGUGGACGACAGACAAAGACAAGAAACUCAUUAGUUUUAUACUCAGCAACGGCCCAUGUUGUUGGCGGGCCGUGCCAAAGCUGGUGGGGCUGUGGCGGUGCAGCAAGAGCUGCCGGCUGUGGUGGACCAAUUAUCUCCGCCCUGAUUUGAAGAGAGGCCUUCUUAAUGAAGCUAAGGAGCAAUUGGUUAUUGAUCUUCAAGCCAGUCCUGGCAACAGGUAUAUCAAAUUUGUGUAAUAUAUUUGAAUUAUUCGAGUAUUGUUAAGACUAGCUUUCUUUCGUUCUUCCGGUGCACUCGAUGCACAUUAGCCUUUAACUCAGAACAAUUUUCAAAGGUACGAAGUCAUUUUUGAAGGAAAAAUUAUGCAUUUCCAGAGGUGUUAUAUGUUGAGUUUUAGCAUACCUAUUAUUGAUCAGUGGCUUUGCUUGUUUUUCCAUUUUUCUUUGUGUUUUGUAUACAAGAACCACCUCGAUCAAUAAUUUUAAUUAUUUAAAUUUGAUUUCCAAUAUUUAUGUGAUCAUAUGUGCAAAAGUUUCAUAAAUAGAGGGAGAAAACUUGAAUUCAAGAUGUUUGCUUUAUAUAUUGUUGAACUAUUUUAUCUAAAUAUAUAUUUAAGAGGUGUCACAUUUAUCUAGUUUUCGAAAGAUAUAUAAUGUUAUAUUCAGUAUGUUGAAUCUACGCAAACAAAUAUGAAAAUUAGCAAACUUUAUUUUUCACAUGUCUUUUUUAAAUAUUAUUUAAUCAUGUUCAAUCAAGCGUCGCAAAUUCAAUCAAGCGUCAUUCUGGAAAGAAAGGUUUAUUUAAUCUAUGUGUUCUCAAUUAUUUAAUCUAUUUGAUAACUUUUGCAAACUAGAAGGUAUCAAGAGACAGUUCACAAUGACAUACACUACAUAGCAAAAUGAAGUGGCAGAGCAUUGCUAGAAAGAACAAGAGCAAUGUUGAGAUCUGUGGGGGCAAGCCAAAUCAUUCUGGGCAGAAGCUAUCAAAACUCCCUAUUUUGUGAUCAAUCGGUCACCACCAACCAUAAAUGAUUUGAAGACGCCUAUGGAAAUAUGAACUGGUAAGCCAGUUUGUUAUUCUCACUUACAUGUAUUUGAAAAUCCUGUGCAAGUUAUGUACAACACUUAAGAAUUAUCAAAGCUGAAUCCAAAAUCCAAAAAUGUAUUUAUUUGAAGUUUGACCAUCGAAAUUCGUGUACAUAUUGCUUAGUAUAGUGCACAUAUUUGAUUCGACAAAUCUGAACCAAGCAAUAAAUGACACACCCCGCCUCGUGUAACACCACUAGAUCCGGACGUGGCAUGCGCCGAAUGAUAGAUACCAACUAAAAGUCGGACCCACCAUCAAGGCUAUUACAAAUACAAUAUAUCACUUUUUAUACAUCAUUUUUUUAACAGAAUUUCGGUAUUAUCUCCUCUGUAAACAAGACUAACCAACCUGUGAUCAAUUUCACACAAAUCCCAAACUAUAGCACAGCACAAUAAAGAUAAGCCGAAAUCUUACUUUUACCAAGAAAUAAACAUAUGGAUACAUAAUGCAUAGUGAGUCUCAUAACUAUUUACAAGUGAUGCAAAAUCACAUCUAGACAUGAACAUGCAUCCCAAAACACUUACUACAUGUUCUAUGAAAUGAGUCAUACUAACAAACUCUGUCAUGUGGCUUUGAUUCCAAAAUCAAGGCUCAACUCCAAAAGAUACCCAGAUUCUCAACUAGUGCCUCAUAAGGAAAAACGUGAAAAAAUAUAGGAGUUGAUAGGUCAGUGAGUGGAAUUAUAGCCAAAAAGUGAAAUAUUCACAUAAGGUUAUAAAAAUAUCAUCUUAAAAUCACGAUAUAACAUCAGCUGAUAACCAUGCUAUGAUCUCAUCACAUCAAACAUGUUGAAAAAUUCACCAAAAAUGUAUUCUCUAACUGAAAUAUGUAAUCCGCCUCUCGUGUUAAGAACUUUCGCAACGAGCCUUUGGCCCCCUCCGUGAACGAAAGUCGGUCUCAAAGACCUCUCAUAAUCAAUUCUAGAACACAGCUAAGGCCCCUUUGUGAACUAUAGGUACACGAUCAAGACCAAUGUCAGGUCAAGACCCUCCGUGUAGAAUAGAACACGACCAAUGCCUCUCUGUGAACUAGAAGAAGUAUAUAAUCAUGGAUAUUUUUCUGGCCGAUCUCAAUAUUGCAUGUCUCACAUACCAAACAAAUCUCAAUAUCACAUGUCUUACAUAACAAGUCACAAAUAUGUCAUAAAUUAUCUUUGAUAUUUCACAUGUAUAAUAAUAAAAGAGAUUUCCAUCAUAACCAUAUAAUUCGAACACAUAAUUGCACACACUUUGACAAUAUACUUAAUUUAUAAAUAUUUUUAAAAUAUUUAUAUUUUUCCACUCACAGAACUAAUUACGCUAAAAUCAACUCGAUUGGUACGCUGUCUCGAUAUCUGUAUCGCCGCCUGAAAUAUGAUAUCAUUUUUAAAUCAAUAAUUAACUAAUUUAAGUAAUUUCAAUAAUUAAACAGGCAAUACCCGAACAUAAUUAUUUCACAUUUAGGCAAUUUCUAAAGUCUCUUUAAUUACUAAAAUUAAAUUUUCUUUCAUUUUACUCAAUUUCAUAGUUUAUUACACUUAAUCCCUUCAAUAAAAUUAAAUUUAAUCUAACAAUCUAACAACUAUAAAAUCAAACAUAACUUAACAGUAAGUAACUUUUUACUUACCUUUCAAAAUUGAGAAAUUCAAGCCUAACAGAAUAGAUCACUUAAUUCCUAAUAUAUUGGCAAAUUUUUCCCUUUUUUUUUUCUUCUUUUUCUUCCUCUUUUCCCUUUUUUCCCCCCUCUUUUUUUCCUUUCUCUUUUUCUAUCUUCUUCUUCUCUGCACCAUUGUUCUUGAGUGUGUAUUAUGUCUGUGUGUUAUUAAUUAAUGGUUUGGAUAGAUUUAUAAGGGAUUGUGCCCCCUUUUUUUUGUUUGAUGUUUGACUUUUAAAAAAAAAAAGUUAAUGUAUUAUAAAAACCACAGGAAAAAUGAAUGCAGAGACCCUUCUUUUGAGAAGGAACGAAUUAAAUGGGCAGUAAUGGAAAUUAUAAGGUAGAAAAUUGUAGCUCGGAUAUGGAUGCAAAGUAAUCUACAAGUGUGACAUAAAGAAUUGAACAAAACUAGGGGUGAAGGGUACACUGAUAUAUAUUACAUGUUUUUCUCCUGUAUAUGUUUCUAAACUAGCUUUUGGUGAAGGUGAUGGGGGCAAGGGAGAAUGUAGAAUUGAAACAAUAAUGAUAAUAUAAGGAAAAUGUGAACAUAAGGACAGUACAAAAUCAUAAGUAUUCUAGUAUCUCGUGGUGUUUCCAACAAAUCUUUUGAUCAUUAAUAGUGCGCGAAUGCCAUUGGACAUGUUCAUUUGAAAGUCAAUGUGGGACUGUGGGCAGUACUAUUCACGAGUGCAAUAGUGCCCUCAAUGUGAGAUGGCUUGAUCUUUGUGUUUCUAUGUCUAAGGUUUAUGCUUUGUACCUUAGACUACACAUAAUUACAGAUAAAAAAAUAAUGUGAGAAAUUAGUUAUUUUUCUAUCCCAUCUUGUCUUAUCGAGAAUAUACUCCUCUUCGAUAUAUCUUAAGCUUUAAAAUAAUGUGGUGUAAAAUGUUAAAUCUUCUUUUAAAGUUGUUCUAUUCGAGAUCUAAACUUUACAAUAUAAGAGUAGGACAACUUAGUUUGUUGGCGAAUGUAGUGCAUUGAUCUUAAGAAGUUUUGAUUCGUAAGAGGACGUUAUUAUAAUAAUGGGUGAAAGAAUAGCGAUACAAACUAGCUGAAAAUGAUUCCAUGUGAAUAAAAUGGAUUGAAUUUUAUUGUAUCUUCUAUUAAAUGUAGCAAUGCACCAUAGAAGAGGUAGAAAAGAGAUCUCAAAUAUAAUUAAGUAAAGAAAAAAAAUUAAAGAAAGAUAUUCACAUCACAAAUCCUAAAUUGCGAUGAAAUUCAACAGACAUAAAUGUUACCUAUGUUUGUAUCAAAAUUUCUUUGAAAAGUUAGUAAUGGUAGUAAUGGAUAUUGAUACAGGUUUUGCGAGGGAACAAACAAGUUCUUCGCAAAACCCUAUCCUAAAAUUCUUCAAACUUUAUUAGAAAAUUCUUUGAAAUUAGUGAUUGAUUUUAGCAACAUAGUGAUUUCUUCAUAAAUUUGGCAUCUUUCAUUUUAUAUCAUUCUUUACUUUCGGAUGUCCUUGGAAAAUCUAUUGCCUACAAUCACAAUUUGGUCAUAUUUUACUUUUUCUUUAAAAUUUCGUGAUCCAUAUUGCGGCAGAGCAAGACAAUUGCAAAUUCUGUUCAUGAAAAUCUCAAUUUUGGCAUUUUUAUUUCUACUUUUUAGAUUUUGUGGCAGACUUUGGUAUAUAAUUUUGAAAAUCGGAAUUAUUUUUUUACUAACAAUCUAAAUUCUUUUUCAUAUUUUUUAACUUUGUGAAGAAUUUUGCGAACAUAUUUCAGGAGGGAAUGAUUCAAAUGGCUUUGAUUAAUCCAACCAAUUUUUAGUGGGAAUAAACUACUAAUGACAAGACUUUUAUGGAAACAUAGAACUAAACAAAUGGCUAUAAUUGAAUCGAAGAACUUUCAAAGUUUUGGAGCCUUUUGUCAUUUGAAAUAAUAUUAAUAUUUUGUACUAUUGAGUUAAGAUGAGGUUCCAAAAACUGCUAAUUCAUACAGAGCCAUUAAACCUGCCCAAAUAACAACCAACAGAUUAGACAACUUUACCAACAAAUGUAGAAAUUAAAACGUGCAAGAAAAUAAAAAAUUGAAGAACACAAAAGAUUUUUUGCCCUAAGGCAAGAGGUUUAGAACUAAGUUUCUAAUCCCCUUUUGUGCUUCUACCACCGGAAAAAAUCACUGGAUUAAAAUGGAACGAAAGAAACCAUCCUAAGUUGCACUUCCAGAGCACUCAGAAUGAAUCACUCAAGAUUACAUCACAUAAGCCCCUCGAUUUGUACAUUUGCUCACUCAAGAUAUACAUUCGAUUGAGAAGGAUUGCAAGAUUUUUCUCUCCAGAGAAAAAGAAGAAGAUGAGAGAACUUCAAGAGUCAGUAAAAAAAAAUGAAAAAUGGAUUCCAAUCGUCAAAACCCUAGGCAAAUGAACGAUCAAAUAAGAAGUCAUCAGAAGGUUAGCCAACCGACAAUUGUUAGGGUUGAUACUUGGCAUCAUCUUAUAAAUCAAGCCUACUAAGGAAAUCGCAUUUCAUAAAACAUGUUUUUGUAAAGAUGUAAAUGAUGUCAACUAUAAACCAUCUAUCCGAACAAAGUUUCAACCAACAAUCCAAUCAAUAGCCUAAUCAUAAUUGUGCCACAUUUUCCACGAUCUCUACAUUGGUACAAUGAUUUCAGUUUAAACUCACGGUGGUUCCUCCAAGACAUGACAUCAUUUGUUCGGUUACCUGAUACACAAAUUAGCAAGCGUUAGUAUUCAGCUGACUUAAACAAUCCUGAAAUUUGUUUAAAGGCAACACCUUGGUACCUAUAUCAACAGGAUUAAAAUAAGUAGAAAUAUUUUCAAGUUUCACAAUUCCUUGUAAAACUACAUCUGUAGUAAAAUGAAUCUAACAUCAAAAUGUUUAGAUCUAUUAUACAAAACAUGAUUUCUACUCAAGUAAAUGGCAAAUUAACUAUCUGAAUAAAGAACAACUUCAUUAACAAAACUAAAUUCAUUUAGUAAGCCUUUUAACCAUAUCUCGUCUUUAAUAGCAUCUGCAGCAACUAUAUAUUCAGCCUUAGUGAUGAUAAUGCAACAAUCUUUUAAAGCUGGGAUUUUCAGCUUAUACAGGAAUUACACAGAGUAUACAUAUAAGCCGAAGUGAAUUUUCUAUUAUCCAUGUCACCUUCAUAGUCAAAAUCAGUAUAUCCUCUUAAAACAAAACCAUAAAGUUGUUUCUUGAACUAAAUUCCUAAAUGAAAAGUGCCUUUAAUAUAUCUAAGAAGCCAUUUCAUUUCCUCCUAGUGAGCUUCUCCAGGGUUGCACAUAUAUCUACUUAGAACACUUAUAGAAUAUGCCAAAUUAGGUUUGGAACAGACCAUUAAGUACAUAACAAACCCAACUGCAUUGGAGUAAGGCACUUUUUCCAUUCUCUUAAAUUCUUCUAUGGAUUUAGGACAUUGUUCAUUUGAAAGUUUGAAAUGCUUUGGAAAAGGUAAACUUACACUUCUAGAAUCAAACAUAGCAAACGUUUUAUACAAUUUCAGUAUGUAUAAUUUCUGCCUAAAGUUUAGUGUGCUUUCUCUCCUAUUUUUCUUAACUUCAAUACCAAAAAUCUUUCUGAAAAGACCUAAGUCCUUCAUUUCAAAUCUGAUUUUAGUUUAUUUUUUAUUUCCUCUCUCUCUCUCUCUCUCUCAUGUCAUGACUUGCCAGCAGCAUGUCAUUCACAAAAAGGAGUAGAUAAAGAGAAAUUUCUCCACCAUUUCCUUUGUAGUAAAAACAGGUAUAAAAGUUACUUCUCUUAAAACCAAGUCCAAGUACAAAAGUAUCAAACCUUUUGUAUCAUUGCCUUGGAGCUUGUUUUAAGCCAUAUAGAGAUUUUUUAAGAAGGCAUAUUAAGUCAGCUUUCUGGUUUAUUUCAAAGCCUUUAGGCUUUUUCAUGUAAGUAGAUUCAUCAAGAUCACGAUUUAAAAAAGCUAUUUUUAACAUCCAAUUGAUCCCAUUCUCAAUUAAAUUGUGUAGCCAAGGCAUUAUCCUAAUAGUUGUAAAUUUUACAAUUGGUGAAUAGUUUUCAUUGAAAUCAACUUCUUCUUUUUGAGUAAAGCCCUUCUCCACAAAUCUGGCUUUACAUCUGAUGUCAUUUUCACUUUAUUCUUCUCUUUUAAUUUUGAAAAUUCAUUUACAAUCAACAACCCUUUUUUCCCUCAAGUCUUUUAACUAAAAUCCAUUAAAGGAUUGCAUUUUAUCUUGCACUACUGCAAGCCAAUGGUUAGAGUCAUUACUACUCAUAGGUUCUUCAAAGGACUCGAGCUCAUUUUUAAUCAUACUUUGAUAAGAUAGCAAUGAGGCAUCUUUAUCAAACCUAGCAGGAGAUCUUAUUUAUCUUCUUUGCCUAUCUCUAGCAAGUUGAUAGUCAUCUAAAGAUUGAUUUAUUUCUGAAUCAACCUUUAGUUCAUCAAUAGGAGCUCCAUCAUCAAGAGUUUCCUCAUUUCUCUCGAUGGGGUGUGCAUCAGUCCGAUGAGUUUCAUCAUCAGAAUGCUCCACCUCAUUGUCAAUCCCUUUUUCCACAUUUUUAGUCUAACUAAAGAGUUCUAUUUGUUUUUCAAUUUCAAGGCAGGGCAGAUCAUCUUCAUUAAAUAAAACAUUUCUAAUAAUCAUGAUCUUAUAAACUUUGGUUUUCCUUACCUAUAAUCUAUACCCCUUAACUCCAUCUCCAUAGCAUAAAAAUACACACUUAAGGGCCCUGGGUUCUAAUUUUCCUUCAGAUUGAUAUGCAAAAGAUACACAUCCAAAACUUUCCAGUUACUGAAGUCAACAGGUUUCCUAUUUCACACCUCUUCAGGAGUUUUAAAGUGUAUGGCACUAGCAAGGCUUCUACUAAUAAGAUAACUUGUAGUUUUAACAGCUUUACCCAAAAAUAUCUUAGGCAGUACAGAACUUAAAAGCGUCCAUCUCACUUUUUCAAGAGUAGUUAUAUUCUUUCUUUCAACCAAACCAUUUUGUUGUGAAGUGCGUGUCACAGUCUGUGACUUACUAUACUAGAGGAUUUGCACAACUCAUCAAAUUCAAGAUUACAGAAUUCCAAACCAUUAUCGGUUCUUAAACCUUUAAUCCUUUUAUCAGUUUGGUUUCAAUCCUAUUCCAUUCUUUAAAAACAUUGAAAGUGUCUGACUUUGAUUUUAAAAGAAAUGUCCAAUUUUUCUAGAAAAAUCAACAAUAAUUGACAAAAACUAUUUAAAGCCAGUAUGAGUUGGGACAAUAGCUGAUCCCUAAAGAUCAGCAUGCAAAUAUUCAAGCAUAGACACAGAUUUAUGCAUUCCAGGCCAGAAAUGUAACCUAUAACACUUUCCUAGAAUAUAAUAACCACAAAAACUAAGUUUCUCUAUUUAAUGCCCCGAAAAUUUUAGAAUAAAAAUAUAUUUGUCUUAUAUGUUUUAAUUUUAUAUUUUGAAAAUUUGAGGACUAAAAUGAAAUAGCUUCUAGUUUCAUAUUUUAUUUGGGUCAAAAAAUUAAGUACCGAUAGAAAGAGAUUUUAUAUAUAUUGAUAUUAUAUGCAAGUUGUCCCGUCCUUUCAAUAUUGUAAUUUUUGUUACAUGAUUUAUUUCAUGAAAUGCUAAUUGACCUGCGGGUCCCUAUGAAAUGAAAUGUGAGAUCGCCUUCGGGUCUUCUCAAAUGUGCUAGAGCUUUCGAUUGAUCACUGAUUGCUCUUGUUGAAAUAAUGGUAUGAAAUGUUAUAGAUUCAUGCUUUAAAAGUUAUCGUAUUGUUUGGACGUACGUAUCCUACUAAGUAUAAAUUACUCAUUCCUUCAAAAUUUAACAUUUCAGAUUAGGUCGGCCGACAUGGAUGGUGGUUGAGCGGUGCGCGGAUUGCCAAGCAAAGAAAAUAAACAUUUUAAAAUAACUCUAUUAGGAUAAUAUGUGUUUCAAUUUAAUUCCACUUAAUGUUCUAUGUUUACAUGACAUUAUGUUUACUUAAUUUGGGGCAUUACAGAAUAGCAUCAGAGCCCAGAGUUUUAAAAUCGAUUUUGCAAACUCAAAAAAAUUUGAUUUAAAAGUUACUGUUCACGUGAUUUUUUCCCUAUUUUAAAUGAUUGAGAUUUAAUGCAUUUGUUUAAUGUUAUGGUUUAAUUAGUCUUCAUUUCGUAUUGUUCAUGGUACAGUCUAUAUCAUUGGUUUCUUUUCCAUAUAAGUCAAGUUAUUAGUUAAAAUGACAAUUAAACAUUAAAGUAGUAAUUUAAUACACUAAUGGAAACCAAACGUGAUUUUCUACAUACUUUUAUACACUUAAUGUAAAUUAAAACCUCUUAGCUAUCAAUACAAGAGGCAUUGUUUUCAAACCAAAAUCGAUCAUACCUUACAUGAUUAAAAUAGUUUCCGUGCCUUGCAUAAAGUCAAGCAUGUGUUCUAAAUCCUAAAGUUUGCCGUUUAUUUGUACGUUUCAUAAUUCAAUUCUUACUUAUGGUGAUAAGGUAUGAGGUACCUUUUUAUAUUGUUGUAUUCUUGUUUUAAUGAUUUAAUUUAGAAUUCAUGUCAUGAUUUUGUCAUUCCUGCCUUCGGCUGGAAAUGUUAAUCAAUAGAAAUGUUAGGAAUUUUAAUCUACGUUCACGUCCUGUGAUUAAAUGUAUACAUAAAUAUGUUUAUAUUGUUCCUUCACUUGUUCAAAGCCAAGGACUCAUAUUUCCAAAUCAAGUACUAUGCUUUAAUGGUUUGUUAAUUUUCAAUUAAACCAUGUUUUGAAUGUCAGCUUUUUCUUUUUUAAAUAGUAAAAAAGCGGGUAGCUACACACUGCAUUAGUUGACUGAAUGACGAUGUGCCAAUUUAGGUGUAUAUGCAUUGAUUUCCUAUUUCAACUCUGCACCAAAAAUAAAAAAUAAAAAAAAGUGAUGAACAGUGACGGGUCAUUGUUCACCCCCAUGAACAGUUGACAAUAAUUUUUUUUUUUUAAUUGUUAUGUGUAUUAAAUGCGUAUGUAGCUAACCUUAACUUUACAUGCUAUUUAUUAUUACUUUCUUUAAGGUAUAAUUUAAAAGAUGUAAUGUAAAGUUUUUAUUAAAAUUCUUAAAUAUGUAAGAAUUUGAAAGAUUCAUGUCACUUGGCACUCACCAUUCAACCACCCUCCAAUUAAUCUAAAGUAUGAAAUGAAAUGUUAUUCUUUUAACAUGGUCAUGAAUUUUCUUACUCCAUUCUAUUAUGAGUACGUUAAUCAAAUAUUUUUAAAAUUUUCAAAUAGUUAAAGCAAUUUCGAGGACGAAAUUAUUUAAGGGGGGUGGGAUUGUAAUGCCCCGAAAAUUUUAAAAUAAAAAUAUAUUUGUCUUAUAUGUUAUAGUUUUAUAUUUUGAAAAUUUGAGGACUAAAAUGAAAUAGUUUCUAGUUUAAUAUUUUAUUUGGGCCAAAUAAUUAAGUACCAAUAGAAAGAGAUUUUAUAUAUCGAUAUUGGGCUCGUUUAAUAGCUCUUAUUUAAUCUUGUAUUUUAGGCUCAAGAAAAAGUUGAUUCGGAUAAGCUAAACUUAAGAUAUUGACGUUUAAAGAAAUUGGUAUUUAUUAGUAUUUUAUUGGUUUUUAACACUUAGCCGUGUCCACAUGAAUGGAGCUUUUUUCUUUUACAAUAGAUGUUUUUACUUUUCACCAAAUAAUAAAAUAUGUUCAACAUGGCACUAUGCAAAAAUAAUCUUGAACGUGAUUUUGGAUUCGGCCUUUCAAAAAGUGUUUUAUCUAACGAGGUAGGAUACUAUGUGCAAGUUGUCCCGUCCUUUCAAUAUUGUAAUUUUUGUUUAGUGAUUUAUUUCAUGAAAUGCUAAUUGACCUGCGAGUCCCUAUGAAAUGAAAUGUGAGAUCUCCUUCGGGUCUUCUCAAAUGUGCUAGAGCUUUCGAUUGAUCACCAAUUGCUCUUGAGGAAAUAAUGGUAUGGAAUGUUAUAAAUUCAUGUUUUAAAAGUUAUCGUAUUGUUUGGACGUACGUAUCCUACUGAGUAUAAAUUACUCAUUUCUUCAAAUUUUAACAUUUCAGGUUAGGUCGAUCGAUGUGAAUGGUGGCUGAGCGGUGCGCGGGUUGCCAAGUAAAGGAAUUUUUCUAGAAAACAUUUUAAAAUAAUUCUAUUAGGAUAUUAUCUGUUUCAGUUUAAUUCCGUUUAAUAUUCUAUGUUUACAUGAUGUUAUGUUUACUUAAUUUGGGACGUUACACUCUAAGUUAUCUUUUCGAAAGGCACAGUGUUUUUUCAAAAUCUGUAACCCUUUUGUCACAAAUAUGACCCAAUAUUUUGUGUCAUAUUUGUGACUUAUCAUUCUGUGAUGAGAUUUCUACUGAAGUAGAAUCACAAACAUUUUAAGUAUGUAGAAUGUAUAGUUUUAUCUCUUUGGGCUUCAACAAUCAGUUGUGAGUCCUUCAAGAUUUUAGUGUAUCCCUUUUUAAUCUAUAUGUUAUGUACUCUAAGUUAUCUUUUCAAAAGGCACAGUGUUUUUUCAAAAUCUGUAACCCUUUUGUCACAAAUAUGACCCAAUAUUUUGUGUCAUAUUUGUGACUUAUCAUUCUGUGAUGAGAUUUCUACUGAAGUAGAAUCACAAACAUUUUAAGUAUGUAGAAUUUAUAGUUUUAUCUCUUUGGGCUUCAACAAUCAGUUGUGAGUCCUUCAAGAUUUUAGUGUAUCCCUUUUUAAUCUAUAUGUUAUGGUUUAGGUCAUCUAAAACCUCUAGGGAAAUGAGAUUUCUUUGUAAAUCAGGAACAUAUCUAGUUUUCUCUCAAACUAGUUCAUUAUUAUCCUUUGCCUUUAAAGUGAUGGUUCUUAUUCCCUUUGCCUCACAUGUUAUAUGAUUGCCAAUUAAAACUUGACCACCACAAUUUCAAACUCCGUAAACUACUCUCUAUUUGGACACAUAAGAAAUGUGUAGCCUGAGUCAAGAAUCUUGUCUUGACUAGAUGGACUGUUUAUAGCAACAUAAACUUCAUUGUUAUAUGCCAAGGCCACAACACCAUCAAUUUUGGACUUAUUUCUCAUAUCAUUAAGACUGUUAGGACAAUCUUUGAUAAAAUGGUCCCCUCCUUGAUAGUAAAUACAUUUUUUCCUUUCAUUUUAUUUUUAAGAUUUCCCUUCUUCUCGUGUCCUGAUUUCUUAUUGAAGCUAACAUUCUUAGGAUUAAAUUUGGAUUUUUAGCCAUCAAGUCUUCCCCACUAAUAGAUUCUUUCCAUUCAGACCUUAACUCUAAUUCUUUGUUUCUCAAGGCAUUGAUUAUCACAUCAGUAAUUAGAGUUUCCCUCCCAUAUUCAAUAGCAUUCUUAACAUUUUUAUAUUUAUCACCAAUUAAGUUCAAUAAAACCAUGACCAACUGAUCUUUUUAGAGUUUCUUAUCAUAUUUGCUAGGUCAUGGGAUAAUCUGUUGAAUCUAUCAAUGUUAACCUCAAGAUCAAGAUAUGUAUCUAGUUUAAAACCAAAAAAUAUGUUUUAGAAUAUACACUUUAUUUGGAAUGGUUUUAUUCAACUAUGUAUUUUCUAACUUUUUCCACAGUUUUGCAGUAGUCUUUGUUUAUCCAAUUUCUCAAACUACAUUGCUGGACAAAUGUAAAAAAAUUGAGCUCCAUGCAGUUUCAUCAAGUUCAUUUUUUCUUAUUUUCUUCUAAAUCAUCUAGCCAUGUCUCAUCAAUAGCAUUCACACAUUUUGUUGAAGUAAAAUUGCUCUCAUUUUCGGCCAUCAGAGACUAAAGUUUCCCUUACCAUUAAAGAUAUUCAAUUCAAAUUUUGAAGAAAUCAUGAUCAAAAAAUUUGAGUGUCAACAAUGUAAGCAAAUCACCCUGACACUUUAAGAGUAUAUACAACUUGUAUAAACAAUAGUACAUUAAUGUCACAGCAAUUUAUUCCAAAAAAAGUUCGGUUAGCAAAGAGUGCUAUAUUACAAAGAACAAGUACAAGUCACAGUAUGCUAUACACAAUAAUCAAGAACACAUGCACAGGAUUUAAAUCUAGAUCUUUAAUUAGGGCAACUCUUAGAUUCCAGACAACUCGAAGGGUUUCUAGACAAAGGAAUUGCCAAAAAUGUCUCAGAUAUAGCAUUUUAAACAUGUCUGCAAAGGGACUUCAAGUAUAAGCAAGUGUUUUGUACCGUAAAUCUUAAAAUAAGAAUGAUCUCACCAGAUCCCUUUAUUAGGGUUUCAGGAAAUAGCAGAAACUCUAUUGAACAAGUAUCAUACUUUUAGAUCUAUGGUGAACCACCAUCUAACUGCUCUGAUACCACUGUUAAGAUUAGGUUCAAUCGAUUUAGCCCACUUUACACAAAUACGUAAAUUAAAACGUGCACGAAAAUAAAAAAUUGAAGAAUACAAAAGAUUUUCCCCCUAAGGCAAAAGGUUUGAACAAAUCGAAAGAAAUCGCUGGAUUAAAAUGGAACCAAAGAAACCGUCCAAAGUUACACUUUCAGAGCAUUCAGAAUGAAUCACCCAAGAUUACAUCAUAUAAGUUCCUUGAUCUAUACAUUUGUUCACUCAAGAACUCAUUACUCAACCAAUAUACUGAUCACUCAAGAUCUACAUUCGAUUGAGAGCGGUUACACGAUUUUUCUUUACAGAGAAUAAGAAGAAGACGGGAGAACUUCAAGAGUCAGUAAAAAAAAUGAAAAAUGAUUCAAAUCUUCAAGACCCUAGGAAAAUGAAUGAUCAAAUAAGAAAUCACCAGAAUGUCAGCCAUCCAACUAUUGUUAAGGUUGACAUUUGGCAUCAUCUUAUGCAUCAAGCUCACUAAGGAAAUCGCAUUUCAUAAAACACAUUUUUGUAAAGAUAUAAAUGAUGUCAACUAUAAACCAUCUAUCUGGUCAAAGUUUCAACCAACAAUCCAAUUAGUAGCCUAAUCAUCAUUGUGCCUCAUUUCUCUGCACUCUUGUAAUAUUUCCAACUUCCAAAUCAUUAAAGUGAAUAGUGGCUCUUAAAUGAUCUCUAGCGAAUUCAAAUAUAUGACUAUUUUGUCUGAGGAAUUCAACAUUUUGUAAAACAAGUCCCAAGACACUGUGCCAAUCCCAAGUCAACACAAAUUAUGUACAAUGUACUUUGGUUAAAUAAUUGAACAACAUUGGGAGGCAGUGACAUCUUGCAAUUAUUUAUUGAUGACUAGUCUGUAGGUUCAAUAGGCCAAAUUACAGUGCAAGAAUGAUAGAUCAAUAUCGUAAGUAGUAUGUUAUCCUACCUUAUUCAGAAAAUGUUUAAUUUUAAAUUAGGUGUUGGUUCUAUUAGAUUAAAGGCUUGUGGAAGCUUGUAUUUUAUUCCUCAUUCAUUACAAUCAAUAAAAUGCAAAAUAUAUACAUCUUACAAUGGUGAAUUAUGGUAAUAAUCACCAAAGGAAAGCAAACAAAAUCUCAAUCAAUUCCCUUAUAUAAAGGGAUUACAGAUUCCUAAAUAUACAGCAAGGAUUAUUUCCAAAGUUGAGUUGCUGUAAUCUUGGCCAAUUUUAACACUCCCCCCCCCCCAAGUUGAAGCAUGUAUAUCCAACAUGUUCAACUUGCUUCUUAGUUCCUUAAAUGCAUUUCCUCCUAGAGCUUUCGUAAAAACAUCUACCAACUGCAAGUAUGAUAGAACAAAUUUUGUUAUAAUCUGACCACCUUGUAUCUUUUCUCUUACAACAUGAUAGUCGAGUUCUAUAUGCUUGGUACACUCAUGAUAUACUAGAUUUACUACUAUGUGAAGUACAGCUUGAUUAGCACACAGUAGCUUUGCUGGUCCUGUUGACAUGUGUAUGUCAUUUAGCAAAAAUUUGAGCCAAGUUAGUCCACAAGUUGCGGCUGCAAUGGACCCAUAUUUAGCUUCUGAGGAUGAUCUUGAAACUAUUUUUUGUUUCUUUGUUUUCCAUGAGAUCAGUGAAUUUUCCAAGAAUACACAAUAACCUGUAGUUGAUCUUCUAGUCAUAGGAGAGUUUGCCCAAUUUGCAUCGCAAUAAGCCUUCAAGUUGAAAUAAUUUCUUGAUGAAAACAAUAGGCCCAGACCUAGACAACCUUUAAGAUAUUUAAUGGCAGUCGAGUUCUAUAUGCUUGGUACACUCAUGAUAAACUAGAUUUACUACUAUGUGAAGUACAGCUUGAUUAGCACACAGUAGCUUUGCUGGUCCUGUUGACAUGUGUAUGUCAUUUAGCAAAAAUUUGAGCCAAGUUAGUCCACAAGUUGCGGCUGCAAUGGACCCGUAUUUAGCUUCUGAUGAUGAUCUUGAAACUAUUUUUUGUUUCUUUGUUUUCCAUGAGAUCAGUGAAUUUUCCAAGAAUACACAAUAACCUGUAGUUGAUCUUCUAGUCAUAGGAGAGUUUGCCCAAUUUACAUCGCAAUAAGCCUUCAAGUUGAAAUAAUUUCUUGAUGAAAACAAUAGGCCCAGACCUAGACAACCUUUAAGAUAUUUAAUGGUGUGAAGAAUGGCAUCCCAAUGAGGCUUUCUUGGCACAUGCAUAAAUUGACUUAGAAUGUUAACUGAGUAUGCAAUAUCUGGUCUUGUGAUUGUGAGAUAGAUUAGCUGUCCAACUAAUCUCAUAUGGUGCUCUGGAUCAUGUAGCAAGUCACCUUGAUCAUUCGUGAGCUUCAGGUUCAUUUCCACUGGGAAAUUUGAAGGCUGAGCACCUAAGUAACCAAUAUAAUUUAUAAUCUCUAAAGUGUAUUUUUUAUUAGAGAUAACAAUACCUACUUUGGAUCUUGCAACUUCCUACCCAAGAAAGAAUUUUAGAGGGCCUAGAUCCUUUAUGUAAAAUUGUUUGUUAGAAAAUGUUUCAGACUUUGUAUAGUAGCAUUAUUAUUGCUCGUUAUCACUAUGUCAUCUAUAUAGAUAAGCACCAUAGUUGUGGAUGCACCUUUAGUCUUCACAAAUAAGGAAUAGUUUGAAUGUGAUUGAAUAAAGCCAGUUUUGAUAGCUUGAUAGAAUUUGCAAACCAGUUUCGAUGGGCUCAUUUAAGUCCAUAGAGGGACUUAUAGAGUCAUGUAUACAUCUUCUUCUAAAUCACCAUGGAGAAAGGCAUUUGUUACAUCCAUUUGAUACAAUGGCCAUUGUGUGGCUACAACAACGGCAAGAACAUAUUGAAUUGUUGUCAACUUGGCAAUAGGAGCAGAUGUUUUAUAAUCCAAGCCUUCUUGCUGAGAAAAUCCUUUAGCAACUAAUUGAGCUUUGUAGCCUUUGAUCAUACCUUUGGAAUUGUACUUGAUAUGAUAUACCCAUUUACAACCAAUGGGAUGAUGACCAGAGGAUAAUGGAACCAGAGACCAUGUCUUUUGAGCAUUAAGUACAUCAAGUUCAAGCCGUAUGGCCUCUUGCCAUUUAGGAUCUGUGGCUGUCUAUGUAUAAGAAGUGGGUUCUAGAAUGCUGUAAAUAGUGUUAACGAAAUGUUUAUGUUGAGAUGACAAGGAAUCAUAGGAAAUCUAGUUACUUAAAGGAUAUCAAGUACCUAACUUAGUUGAAGAAUCUUGGAUUAGAGAUGCAGUUAGUGGUGAUGUACUAGCAUGUCCACAGUGAAAAUCUUGAAGGUGAAUGGAUAGUUUUUUGGUGCGUUCACUUCUACGAAGAAAAGGUGUUGCAGAUGUCAUUGGCGAAGGAGAAUGAGGGAUAGGAGUGAUCUCAAGUAAUGGCGAUUCUGUUGCAUUGGGAAGAGGAAGUGAAUUGAUAUGGUAUUCAGUUAACUUAGGUUGUGAGACAGAAUUUUCUAUUGAGAUUUCGGAAUCAUGGAAAGUGAAAACUUCCUCAUGAAAAAUGACAUCACGGCCGGAGAAAAAUUGGUGAUUGUUGUGGUCAUAUAAACGAUAGGCUUUUUUUCUAUGGGUAACCAACAAAGGUGCAUUUUCUUGCAGGAGAAUCAAAUUUAUGCGAUGGGUGCAAAUUUGUUGCAUAACAAGGACAUCCAAAAACUCUUAAAUUAGAAUAAUUUGGUGGCUUGUUAUACAACAUUUCAUAUGGAGAUUUGUAGUGAAGUACUGGAGUGGGAAGAUGAUUAAUCAGGUAUGUGGCAGUAAGUAAACUCUCUCCCCAAAAUUUUAAGGGGAGAUUAGCAUGAAGUCUUAAGGCCUUGCCAAUGUUUAAAAGGUGCUGAUGUUUUCAUUCAACCACACCAUUUUGUUGAGAUAUAGAUGGACAAAAACUUUGGAAUAAAAUACCAAGACUGGAAAAUAUGACUUCAUGGAUGUGAAUUACGAGUCAUUAUCACUUCGAAUACAUUUAAUUUGGCAAUUAAACUGAGCUUUAACAAAAGAGACAAGUUUUUAGCAACCGUUACGUUUCAGAUUUGAACUUUAUUAAAAAUAUCUCAGUGUAGUGAGUAUAAUCAUCAACGAGAGUUAAAAAAUAAUGAGCUCCUAUAUGAGUUGCAAUACAAAGAGGUCCCCAAAUGUUACAAUGAAUAAGAUCGAAUGAAUGUGAAGUUUGAAUUAAACUAGAAUGAAAAGGAAAUCUUGUUUGCUUAGCUAAAUGACAAGUUUCGCAAAAGUACUUAGGAUCAAAUACUAUAGAUGGAAAAACAUGACUUAAAAACUGUAAAGGUCUCCUUGAUGGAUGUCCUAACCACUGGUGCCAUGGAAUUUUAGUUGUGGAGUCCACGUGGAGUCCACGAAAUAGUAAAAGCCAUUAAGUUGGUUCCCCAAGGCAAUCAUUUUCUUCGAAGUUAUGUCCUACAAUACACAAAAAGUAGGAUAGAAGUAGAUUGAACAAUUCAUGGUAGUUGUGAGUUGACUAACUGACAACAAAUUGACAUUGAAAGAAGGAGCACAGAGGUUGUUUUUAACAUGUAUGUGAUCUGAAAGUUGUGUAGAACCAACGAUAAUUAUUUCAGAGUGAGCACCAUUAGGCAAGGUCACUUGAGAAGAGAAGUGAGAGGUAAUAGAGACAGAUGUGGCUAUGUGAUUAGUAUCACCACUAUCGAUAAUCCAGUGGUUCAAAGUUGUCUUUUGUGUGAUAAAGGAGAAGCGGAAAGGAAAAGGGAUACCUGCAUAAUUUGCUUGAGAAAAGUUUUUACCAUUGAGAAGGGCUUUAAUUUGAGUGAGUUCUUCAGGAGUGAAUUGAAAAGCAGCAUUCAUGGAAGCCAUGUGGGGUUGGUGACUGAUCUGAUUGCUUGCUUGGUGAGCAGUAGGUUUUCUGCUCCAAUUCGACGGCUGAACUUCUUUUCCAUGAAGUUUAUGACCAGGUGGAAAACCAUUUAGAUAAUAGCAACGGUCCAGAGUAUGGGUAGUGCCUUCAUAGUAAGAACACAAUUGUGAUUUUCGAUCCCUUUGUGACCUUGAAUGAGAGGCUGACCAUUGUUUCUUUUGGCGUGAAGAAGCAGAUUGUGUUUCCCUAGAAUUGUCAUAAGUAUUGAUAUUCAUGACAUGAAUAAGAUCACUACUCUUUGUUUCAAUGAGACCUUGCUGCUUUUCUUCUUCACAUAGGAGGGAGUAUGCUUUUUUUUACAGUUGGUAAAGGCUACAUGAGCAUGAUUUUUCCCUGAACAACAUAGUAUGUUUCAUUUAAUCCCAUAAGGAAUUGUUGAAGUCGAAUUCUUUCUUCUUUGCCUUUUAAAUCUUUUAGUGCUCCAUAGGUAUAAUUGAUUAAGGGACUGCAAGUGGCAAGUUCAUCCCACAGCAUUUUCAUCUUUGUGUAAUAAGAGAAAAUUGAUUCUUGGUCUUGUUUUAGUUCAACAAUGGAUUUCUGAAUUUGAUAAUGAUGAGAAAAAUCACCGUGAGAGAAUUGCUCUUGAAGAUCUGUCCAGACUUCUGAAGGCAUUUCAGCAUAUAGUACAUUAUUUGUUAGCUUUAAACUUAGAGAAAUGAAUAUCCAAUAAGCACCAUAUCAUUGCAUCGUUGCCAUAGAGGAUAUUUUGGAUCUUUUUCAUCUGAGAUAUAUACAAUUCCUUUGAUGAAUCCUAACUUGUUCUUGGCACUAAGACUUAUCAGCAUGAAUCUUUUCCACAUGGCAUAAUUUGUUCCAUCCAAUACCUUUGGAAUGAAGAUCAUGCCAGGAUGAUUGGAAGGGUGAAGGAAUAAUAGAUCUAUGGGAUCAAUUGUUGGGAUAGACAUGAUCAGAAAGGUCGAAAAUUUUCAAUAGUAAUGGAUCAAUGCUCUGAUACCAUAAUAGAUUAAAGGCUUGUGGAAGCUUGUUUUUUAUUCCUCAUUCAUUACAAUCAAUAAACUGCAAAAUAUAUACAUCUUACAAUGGUGAAUAACAGUAAUAAUCACCAAAGGAAAGCAAAUAAAAUCUGAUUCAAUUCUCUUAUAUAAAGGGACUACAGAUUCCUAAAUAUAUAGUAAGGAUUAUUUCCAAAGUUGAGUUGCUAUAAUCGUGGCAAAUCUUAAUAGGUUCAUCCUUGAAGUCAUCAUUUCGAAUUUUGAUUUUAAUUCUUAAAGAAUGAUAAACUUGUGAAUUAUACAUAUUGUGAUGAUAAACUGGCUUUAAUACUGGUUGAGUAAACUCUUAAACUUAAAAAUUUUUUUUUUCAUUCAAAUUCUUGAGAUGGAUUUUGAAUUUUUCUGUAAUUCAACAUUGCAAUAAAUUAGUUGUACUUUUGAUGUUGGAUUUCACUUGCUGAACUUAGAAGCAACCAGGAAAGAAAUAUUUUGACCUAUAUUGGUGUCUAAUCAUAAUCAGUACUUCGUAAGCUUAUUAAUAUUUCAUGAUUAACAUAGAUAUGUUAAUUAUGUUGAAUUUAACAUAUUUAAGAAUGGGGAAAAACAUAUGAUAGAUUCAAUAAUUGUUGUAACACAGCCAGAUAAUUUUCCAAAGAUGCACCCUUAUACCAUGCGAUGAGAAUACAACCUUUGCUUCAGAUGCAAUUUACUCGUCGAACUUUUAGUCAUGCAUAAUUGCACCAGCUUCAACCACAACAAAGCUUCUGUCUUCUCUUUUAAAACAUCCUUAAGAAUAUUGUUACAGAGGUGAAGAUAAAUCUGUGAAAGUGCAUUCCAAUCCUUCCAUCAUUUCUCCUCUAUUGUCUAAAUUGUGGGCAUCUUGUUAAAUCCAAACAGCGCAUCAUCCAAAUCCAUCUGCACCAAUACAAUUAGCACCUUCACUUGCCACAAUGAAAAUCAAGUAUUACAAUCCAAAAGCGAAAUUUUAUAUUUCAGGGCUGUCAUCGAUAACAGAAAAUCUCAAACAAAAUCACAACUUUGCUCUGAUACAAUUGUUAGAAAUAAACAAGUUAUCAGAAUAGCUCUAAUACCACUUGUUAUGAUAUACAAUAUGAAGUAUAUGAUCGCACACAGAAAAUAAGACAUAGAUUGGCAGAGGUACCGAGUAUUUUAUCUGACAAUCAAUGGAGAAAAUAAUAUUGUUGCAGCAAUCUCAACAAUUUUUAAACUAAAUGAAGAGUCUAUUAUUUAUAGAGUACAUGUCAAAUCCCUAUAGGUAACCUGUCAAAUCACCAGAAGUAACCAAAAAAUGGAAACUAGAUCAAAAUACGCGUGAAACCAACAUAAAGAGAAAAUCCUGGACAGUGUUGUCACUUGAGCGACAUCUAGUGCCAAGUGAGUGAUUGUCCUUUCACUCGAGUGAGAGGUCGGCGAUAGGCAAACAACAGGUCUCUGCUCCUAAUGUUCGUAGUAAAAAUGCGGCGAUUUUUCUUUCCGAUUCACAAUUUUGAGUUCUUUAAGACCACUUUAACAAAAAGUCCAAUAAUCACUAGAUUUGGAUCAAACUACAACAGCUAAGUGCAAUUGGUAAAUUUUUAACAAAGAGAUCGACCUAAAAAUCACAACGAGGUAAUUGAACAUCAGUCUUAAACUUCAUGGGUAAUUUGGAAAUGAUCUUUUACGGAGUGAGGAUUAAACAGAUCCGAUUUAAUCGAUUCUAGACAAGUAUAAGAUAAAGAUAUGCUAAAUAUGAGUUACUUUACAUUUAUUGUUAAGCUCAAGAAAAGUUUAUAUUGUCAGGAAAAUUUUGGCCUGGAUUCCCAAACUAUAACCCCUUCACAUUCGAAUUUUCAUAGUUUUUAAAUCCUAAAAUUUUGAUUUAUUUGGGGGUGGGGGGUUUCGAUGAAACUGUUAAAAAUAUGUUACCAAUCAUUUGAAAUAUUCAUUUAAAGGAAUUUUAGUUCAUCACCUCUAUUUCUUUGGAGGAGGAGGAGGAGGAGAAAGAUGACGAGGAUGACGACGACAAACAAUAAAAGAAAGGAGAAUGAAAACAGGAAAAAAAAUAUGAAAAACGGAAAAAUAAAAUAAAAUUCUCCUGACAGAUAAAUAUUUAUUUAAGAUCACUAGUAUAAAAGGAUGUUUAACUAAAUAAAAAAUUGUUAUAACAAAGUAGUGUCAAGGUUCCUUGGAAUCGAUAUUUAGUUGGCAUCUCUCUAGGAAAAGAAUAGUACAUUAGUCUAAUUAAAAAAUAAAUAAAUAAAUAAACUCGCAUUUUGGCCUUGCAUUAAACCGAGGUUCCUUAGCAAUGAUAUUCAAGAAGUUACAAUUGCUAUUUAGUUGAGUAAUCUAUUCAACUUUUAUUUUUAUUUUUAAUUUCAUAUGAGUGAAUAUCAUUUUUCACAGUUUCAAAGUUAUUAACAAAAAUAACGAGUAAAUAAUACAAUUAAUUUUUCUAAUGGAUAUGAAUUAAAGAUAAUUAACACUUUGGCAAACAGUUGGAUCAUUAGAAAAAAUUUGAAAAAUUAUAUUAACAUAAUUUAAUCUCUAAUUGCCAGUUAAUAAAUAUUAUGGUGGACUUUUUGAAAGGUAUUCCACGGAGUUUUCUUCAAAGUUGCUUAAUUUUAUUAAAAAUCUAAUUUAAAAAAAAAAAAAAAAAAUUUUGAGCUUCCAAAAUGUUUCCUUUCAAUUUUAGAGACACGUUUUAAACGAAAGCAUUAGCAUUCUAGACGUCUUUAAACAGUCUAGUAUAGGGUUCAGGGAGUGGGAGGGUUGGCAGCCGAACUUUGGCUUAUUAACAUACUAAUUUAAAUGCUUAGGCAUUUUCUCCUCUAUAAAUUGAGACCAAGCCCCAGCAAUGCAUCAAGCAUCUCCGACAAUCUCUUCCUUUUAAAGAUGAAGGCAUCAGGUAUUGCACUCUACGUUGUUCUCCUACUAGCCGUAGCCGAGCCACUUGUUUUCGCGGCAGGAGGAUGUGUUAUGAGUGAACUGCUACCUUGCGCAUCUGCCAUCGCGUCUGGUACUCCACCUUCAGUAGAGUGCUGCACUAAUUUAAAGCAACAGCAGCCUUGCUUUUGCCAGUACCUCAAAGACCCAAGCUCAAAACAGUAUGUUAACUCUCCCAACGCCAUGAAGGUUGCUCGUGCUUGUGGAGUGUCUAUUCCCACUAAUUGUUAACUAUCUAUGCUUAUGCCAAGAGAGUACUUAGGAAGUACUAUUCCUAGUAAAAGUAAUAUGGUAGCUAGCUUUAAUCAGAAUAAUGAUGCACUUGUAUCCAUCUUUUUAAUAAUGGAAAAUAAAUAACUCUUGGACCGACUAUCUUGUUAACUUAUUAGCAUGGGAUGUGUAAAGGUUGUUGAACAGGUCCACAUGUACUAUUUAUAAGAGAGAUAAUCGGAAUUGUAUCUCACUAUAUGAAUAUAUAUUUCAUAUGUAAUAUUUAUAAUUGUAUCUCACUAUAUGAAUAUGUAUUUAUAAUAGAGAUUACCAGAAAACUAUAUGUGAGAAUGAUGUGUUGGAAUUCUGAAACCACCUAUUAUUAUCUUAUUUCAAAUCUCUAUCCACGUCAUCUAAUGUAAUUUGUGUAUCAUUGACCACCGUUACUUCAAUUAUAUUUAACUAUGUCUCCCAAGAUAAAGUAACCAAACCUAUUUCUAAGAAUGACCCGAGAAUAUCCCUAUCUUAAAUUCAUAUGCAAGAUAAUCCAUUCAUCUUCACAAUUACCUCUCAUAAAGAAAUAAAGCAACUAAUAAUCUAUAUGAUAAUCAAACAUUUAAAUAAUAAAUUAAGCGUGAAAUAUCAAUCAAGAACAGAAAUGAACUAAAAUAACUAAUUUUGAAUUAAAAAUAAUCAAACAAUAAGUUUUUUCUUCAUCCCAGCAUUAAAUAAUUUAUCAUAGCAUAAUUAUAAUAAAAUUAUUACAAGAAGUUUGGAAAUUCAUAACCCCAAAUGUAUAAAUACAAGAUAAAGACGUAAAAUCAAUUUAUCGAGUCUUCAAUUCCAAGCCUCGAAUCUUAAAUUUCUUGAUGUUAAUUGCCUUCAAUUGUUUGCUAGAUUUGUUCCCCCACAAUAGAUUACAAUAGAAUGUUGAAAGUAUAAGCUCAAGGUAGAUUAAAUCGCAAAAGCUACUAGUUCAACUUAUAUUAUAAGUUAAAGUAGCUUACCUCUAGCUUAUUCCAGUGUGUAAAAGCAGAUAUUUCUGCUGCGAAAAGCCCAGAAGAAAUCAAAUGCCUUCUAGUUUUAGCCUUGAUCAAUUCAGCCCCUGGUCUUUUUCUUUUAAUUGGCUGAAGUUCAAGUAAUUUGCAGUUAAAGCCCUUGACUUCCAAUUCAGAUCCAAUUGGUCCUCAUCUCAAAAUUAAGUAAAUAUACCUCAUUUUAGCUCGAUUUUCAUUCUUUUUAUCCAAUAUCAUCCAUAACAUCGAGAGUUUCACCUAAAUAAACAAUAUUUACAUGAGUUUAAACUAUAAUUCCCUUAAAUUACUUCUAGAUAUCCAUGUUUUUACCUCUAGAUGAUGAUCGACAAAUUACUCUCAACUAUCAAGUAUUUUUUACUCAUAAACUUACUAUUCUACUAUUCAAUAGGGAGUAAGAAAAGAAAUGAAUAUUUGAGAGAAAACUAUUUCAAAUUCAACAUGUCAUUCUUCAUCCCAAGCAUGCCUAUUUAUAGAUUUAUAUUUAGUCAUUGGAGCUAAAUGAGUAUUUUUAGUUGAGGAGAUGUGGUACUCGCUGGUUAAGUGACUUCUAGCUAAUUCUGUUUUCUUUUCACAUUUAUUCACUAGCUUAAUCCUUAAGAUUUUGUUUUAAGUAUAUUGGCUCGCAUCAUGUGAUUAAGCGCAUAUGAUAUUUCUCCUUUUUAAGUGCUUUUAGCUCAUUUUGAGUUUGCAUAUUUUUUGACCACUUCAGAGUAUUCACUUAGAUACUCUGGAUGAAUAUUUCAUAUAUAACACCAUGUUUAAGCAUAUUAAUCCUUGAGAACUUCGUAAUGGUAUUAAGAUCUCAAUAUGGCAACUCUUCUUGACCAUUUGAAGUUAUAAUUUCUUUCACUAUAGAUUGUGCAGCAAUUCUAUCCAUCUCACAAAGCAAUACAGACAGACCUUGUAAGUUAAUCUGAAACCUAGAGGCAAAUGCCUAGACAAAAGUGAGCACAAAUGAUUGACAGAAAACUAAAUGUAUGAUGAGUUCGCCAGCAGAACUAGCUUAAACUCUUGGUGAAUAAAUUGUGUAAAAUUUGGACUCCUCCUAAGAUGGGAAUCUUCUUCUGGAGAACAUACAAUGAUGCGCUCAUAUUAGCAAUGCUAAAAAAGGUGUGGAAUAGAAUGGGAGAGCAUGCCACAAGUUAUUUUAGUGUGAUGCAUCUAAGUACGUAUAGAAAUAUUUGAAAAUUUUGGAGUGAGUGGGAUGUAAAGAAUAUGCGAUGAACUAUUUAAGGGCUACAAUGAAGUAGAUUUGGGGCUAUUCUGAUGCAUCAUGCAUCCUAUGGAUAUUGUGUGGGCGAACGUAGCAUAGUAAUACACGAAUCAAGCCUAUGAGAUGUGCAUUCAAAAUCAAGCUCGAUUAAUGUCUUGUUGGAAAAUUAAUGAAAGGUAUGAUUAACCAAAAACUAGAUUAAAACUACCAAGUAACUAUAUUGGAACCAACUCUUAGCAGGAGACUAAAGUUUAAUAUUGACGUUGAGGUUCAAAAACAUCAAGGCUUUGUUAAUUUAGAGGAUGUGAUACGAGUCAAUAAUUGGGUGGUGGUGGGCAUACAAUCCAAGAGGCUAUAAAGGUACCCGCAACUGGUGAUGGCGAGGCCAUUGCAUUUCAAGAAGGGCUAUUUAUGCACAAGAUUAGGGCUACUAACGAGCUGUUACCACGUAUGAUUCCUUCCAUGUCAUCACCAAGCUUCAAUCCAAGUCUGAUUGUGCCUAUUACAGAUAGUCCCUAAUGAGCAACCAAUCUCCUCCCUAGAACUAAUUUUUCCUACGCCAUCAACACUCCUAAUUCCUCCCCAAUCAUAGUGAUGCAGGAGGAUCCGAGUCAAGUGAUGCUGAUGUGUCAGAUAGCACGAUGAUGGCGCUGAGAUACCAUGAGAUGGCGGAUCGGCGCAAAGAUGGAAAGUGAAUCACCAUUAUUUCCUUAAUUGGGGGAAUUUGACGCGUAUUUGGUAAUUUGGCCAUAACUUUGGCUACGAUUAUCGGAAUCGCUAUUAUGACCCCAAUUCGGAAAGCUCUCUUCGGCGCGCACGUCGUGGCCACCCAGUUAUGCUUGGUGGACGUCAAUUUCAAGCCCAAAAUCCACUGUUUUCCUUUUCAAAAUUCAAUUUUAAGUUAUUUUUUACUAUUUAUGGUAAUAUUUUGUUUCCUUUUUUCCAUAUGAUAGGAAACUCGAAUUGAGCCAAAUUUUUGGAAACUUACUUCUUUUACUUAAUAUUUUAUUUUGGUAUAAUUUUGGAAUUUUGUCAUUUUUGGUAAUUUUCCUAUCAUUUCGUAUUUCGCAGCUAUUUAACCCGACUUGUGGGUUAGUUUUCAUCAUUCUGCGUUAUUAAUAAUAUUGAGUGCAUCACAUAGCCACCAUCUCCAGCUGAUAAUCACUUAAUUACCCUCAACAUUUCUGCUCAAAAGAAAAAAGCUAAAACCCUCAAUCUUUCCACAAUGGCGUGCCCAAUUUGAAGCUCUCUUUAUUUGCUAUGACCUCCUUGACUAUAUCAUCAGAGACCAUCCAUGCCCCGUUUCUAUUGGUUCCAUUGCCUUCACUAUCCAAAAGACACACUAGGUUCGCCACGAUAAGCUCACCUUUGAUGCUAUUCUGGCCUCCACCACUACAACCAUUACUUCCCUCACUUCUGCUACCAAAACAUCCCAAGAGGCACGGAAGAAAUUAAACACCAUGUAUGUCAGUAAAUCAUGAACCUGUUCAAUGUAACUAAAUGAUAAGCUUAUAUUGAUUCAGCGGGGCAAUCAUUCCAUACCCGAUUAUUUGCAUACGUUGAAAGGCCUUGUAGAUGAUAUUGCCCUCAUCGAUCAUCCCGUAUAUAGUGAUGCUCUUAGCUUUUACAUUCUUCAUGGUUUGAUCCCGAUUUCAGGAGAUUUUCAUCUCUAUUCAUGCUCGAGCAAACUCGCUGAACUUUGAAGAAUUCUAUAAACUCCUUGUCAACCAUGAAAGCUAGUUUUGUCACCUUGAAGCCAUCGUUCAAUAGCUAGUUGCCACAACCAAUUCCACCUACAGAUACUCUAAUUUGCAUGAUGUAACUAGAAGUGAAAGGCCCUAGCAAUGUGGGUCUUAUAAGGCCAAUGGGUCUUUACAGUCUUUAGGACCAUCUCACCCCUAGCAACAUCGUGACAAUAGGAGGCCCCAAAACUCCAUAUGUUGAUUUAAUUUAGGCAUGAGCCAUUAUCAGCCCAAAUGCUAGUUUUGUGAUCAAUUGGGGUUUUGCUUCAAAAAAAUGCCCAUCAUUGCAUUUUUUUGAUAUCAUAGUGAAUUGUUUCUCCAUUUGUCAACUAAAGAAAAUAAAUGGCUCAUUGAUUCUAGGGCAUCUACAUUACUGCUGAUUUGGCAAAUUGUCCAUCCAUUUUUAAUAUUAUUAGACAGAUAAGGUUGUAAUUGACGAUGAAUCAAGUUUGUAUGUCUCCCGUGUUGGUUCUUUGGAAUUUCAAACACCCAUCGUACUUUCCAUUUGGAUAAAAAAAAUAUUGUGUUCCUAGCAUCCGUAAAAAUUUGAUAUCUAUCCAUACUAUUACCAAUCUCAUCGACCCACAUCUUUCUUAAGGAACAAAUUUCUCUAUGAAAUCUUACGGGGCAAACUUCCUAACUAUCUCAAAUUAAAAAAUUUGGUUCCAUUUGCUUUCUGUUCACUAGGCCUUACAAUACCCAUAAACUUCCGUCAAAAUUCAUUCCGUGCUUAUUCAAUGUCUAUUCUCAAACCUAAAAUGCAUACAAGUGUCUCAAUCUUAAAUCCAACAGCUUGUAUAUCUCUUGACAUGUUCUAUUUGAUGAGAGCUAAAACCCGAUCAAAUUGCACAUCACACAGAUUAACUGCCACUCAUCUAUUCAAGUUGCUUUACAUGCAUCACCAUGUCAUAGCUUCGGAAUAUGUUGCUAUUGCUUCCACAUCACCUUCGGUAACUCUUAUAUCCCUUUUUAAGUCAAUCUAUCUCACAUAUACCCUAUACUAAUUUACCCAGCACCACUGCAAGGUCAUCUAUCAGAUGUAACUCUUGCACCACUUUUUCUUAUCUCCAUCCCAACUGAUUGUUCCCACUCCUAUCCAGACAACGCUAUCCUAUCCCCACCAUAAAGAACUCACAUAAUGAUUACUCGAUCCCAAAACCAUAUAUAUAAACCCAAAAAAUUUAAUGCAAUCUCAAAACAUCCUCUCCAACUCACCAUAGAAACAAUUGUGUAAGUCAACCAUUUUGUGAUCCCCAAUGGAGCUAUGCUAUGUUGGAUGAGCUCACUACCCUUAUGAGGCAUUUUACAUAAGAGUUUAUUCCAUCUUCUAAAGAAUGUAAUACAAUAGGUAUUUCAAGAUAAGAGAAAGGUGGAUAGGUCUGUUGAUCAAUUUAAUGCUCGACUUGUUUCCAAGAGCUAUAUUUAACGACUCAAGUUAGAUUACAUAGAGAAAUUUAGUCCUAUUGUAAAACUAGCUACUAUCAAAACUAUUUUGACAAUUGCCAUGAUAUAAGGAUGGUUAUUAAGAUAGCUUGAUGUGAAUAAUAAUUUUUGCAAGGUGAGUUGAUUGAGAACGUGUGUGUGGUUCAACCUCCAGGAUUUAAGGAUAUACCCAAUGCCGAUCACAUUCGUAGAUUGCGCAAUGCCAUUUAUGAUCUCAAACGGGCUUCUCGUGUGUGGUACUCCACUCUAAAACAUGCCUUGAGUGAGCUUGAUUUUCAAAAUUAAAAACAAAUUCAUCCUUGCUUAUCUAUUAGAAUAGUUCUAUUAUAUGCUAUUUUGUGUUUUAUAUGGAGAGUCAUGCUACUUGUAUAAAAUUAGUUGACAAAAUUGGUUUACUAAACAACAUCUACACCAAUCAUUUCAAAAAUAUUUUUUUAAAUCAUUUGAAAUCAAAGGCCAAGAUUUUGCCAACACUUAUUUUGUCAACCAUUUUCGUCAACUUGUUUUGUACAACUAAAUUAAUUGUUACAUGGAUGACCUUGUUAUCACAAGUAGUGAUCCUAAGUUUUCUACAACGAUGGCAUACACUCCAUAGGAAAAUGAAGUGGCAGAGCAGCUGAAUGGAGCAUUGCUAUAAAGAGCAAGAGCAAUGUUGAGAUAUGUGGAGGCUAGUCAAGUCAUUUUGGGCAAAAGCUAUCAAAACUGCCUAUUUUGUGAUCAAUCGUGUAGGGUUGAUUUCCACCAAACUUCAAGUACAAAACCGGGCUCAGUUUACCAAUUUCAUCGACACCACAAAGGUUGAGACAACUCCAAGAACCACCACUGCCGCCACCCCACUCCGAUUGCUAUAGGUUGGAAAGUGAAGUCCAAUGAUGUGCCCACAAAGGAUUAACCACAAAGGUCACAGUGAAGUAUAUCAAGAAGCCGAGAAAGGAGUCUCACAAAGAGAAGGGAAAAAUAGUCACACUCCAUGGAGGCCGAGAGGAAGGUAGGAUUAUAUGCCAAGUAAAUGUCCAAAAUAGGUUAGUUAGGUUAGGGUUAAAUUGUGGACCAAAACAAGGCUCAACUCAAUUAAAGUGGGCUUCAAAAAUAAUAAUAUAGCCUUCCAUGGAAACGGGGCGAACCGUGAGCAACACUAUUUAAAAUAGGUUGCUUCGAAUGGUCCAUAAAAAUGUGGAUUGUGUUGUCUCGAUAAUUAUGUCAAUGUACUAGUCAAUCAUAUGGCCAAGGCCGAUUGAUAAUAAAAAUCGAGGUUACAUCAUCGCCCGGGGAGGUCGUUUGACAACAAAUUGCCUAACAAUCUCCACCUUGGUGUCAAAGGACCUGCAAAAGAAAAUUGUCUCCCAUUAGUGACACCUCUAAUAAAAAAUAAUAAAAUUGAAAAUCAUUUACCUGUACCAAUGUUUAGAAGUUCCUUGCAACUCCUAAACUUUGCCAGUGGUAGUACCUUCAUUCCCAUAUCAGAUGGGUUGUAGUGGGUAUGGACUUUCUCAAGUCUUACCAGAGAUACUAUAUCUCUAAUGAAGUGGAAUCUAACAUCAAUGUGUUUAGUGCGCUCGUGAAAAACAGGAUUCUUGCAUAAAUGUAUAGAUGACUGACUAUCAGAAUACAUUAUCACAUAAUCAUUUAGGACACACAGUUUAUGAAGUAGACCUCUAAGCCAUAGAACUUUUUUAAUAGCUUCAGUGGUAGCAAUAUAUUCUGAUUCUGCAGUGGAUAGUGCAACAAUAUGUUGUAACUGUGAUUUCCAACUUACACAUGAAUUAGAUAAGGUAAACAUGUAAGAUAAAGUAGAUUUCCUACCAUCCCGAUCUCCCGCAUAGUCAGCAUCUACAAAACCCUUUAAUUUUAUGCCUUCUUUAUUAGCACUAAACUUUAAGCCCACGUUACUAGUACCCUUCAAGUACUUUAACAGCCACUUUAGCGCUUCCCAAUGUUCAGGGCCCAGAUUAGCCAUAUAUCUACUGAGAGUACUAACAGCAAAACCUAAAUCAGGUCUAGUGCAAACCAUCAAAUACAUUAUGGAACCAAUCACAUUAGAGUAAGGUACUCUGCUCAUGUAUUCAACUUCACGCUCAUUGCAAGGUGAUUGUUCAUUCGAUAAAACAAAAUGAUUAGCAAGAGGCAAUGUGACAGGUUUCCAGUCACUCAUAUUGAAUUUCUUCAGUACUUUAGAUAUGUAUGGAGACUGAUGCAAAAAUAAAACAAAAUUUGACCUAUCUCUUUCGAUUUCAAUACCCAAGAUUCUCUUAGCCUUACCUAGGUAUUUUAUGUCAAAUUCACUACUUAGUUUUGUUUUUAUGUUAUUUAUCCACUUAGAGGAUGAUCCAAUCAAAAGCAUGUCAUCCACAUGGAGCAACAAAAACAGAUAAUUAUCAUCAGUCUCAUUGUGUUGAAAAUACAGGCAGUGAUCAAAUUUACUUCUUUGGAACCCUAUAGUGAGUAUAAAGGAAUCAAACCUCUUGUACCACUAUCUAGGAGAUUAUUUUAAUCCAUACAACGAUCUUCUCAGAAAACACACAUAAUCAGGUUUUAACUUAUCCUUAAAACCUUUAGGUUGAUUCAUGAAAAUUUGUUCAUCAAGCUGACCAUGUAAGAAAGCAGUUUUUAUGUCAAGUUGUUCAAGUUCCCAGUCAAAAUGUGCAACUAAUGCAAGCAUGACCCUAAUAGUGGUGUACUUAACAACUGGUGAGAAAAUUUCAUUAUAAUCAACGCUCUCCUUCUGUGUGUAGCCUUUAGCCACUAACCUAGCUUUAAUCCUUAUGGGUUCCAAGCUGCUAGUUCCUUCCUUAACCUUAAAAACCCAUUUACAAUCAACAAUUGAUUUAUUCUUAGGCAUAGGUACUAGCUCCCAAGUAUGAUUCUUUUCUAGAGAACUCAUCUCUUCUUUCAUUGCCUUAAGCCAUUCAUUAGAUUUAUCACUGCCUAUCGCUUCUUCAAAGGUCUUUAGCUCUUUAUCAGCUAGUUCUUCAUAACUAGCCUGGGCAAAAGCUAAUUCAGAUUUAAAACCAAACCUUCUUGGUUCUCUUGUCUAGCUCCUCUCUCUAUCCCUAACUAAGUUAUAGUUAGCUAAAGGAUUUUCUUCCUCAUAGUGUUCUUCUGUCACUAUUUCGUCACUAUUCUCCACUUCGGGUUCCUGAGUUUGAGUCUCCACCUCAUUUGAAACAGUAGGGGCAGGUGGACUGAGUUUUCCUAACUCCACCUUAAACUGGUCUCUCUCUUCACGAGAUUGUACUUCACUCUCAGGUUCAGUUUUCCCUUUAAUACACGACAUCUCAUUUUCGUUAAACGUAACAUCUCUACUUAUGAUGAUUUUAACCCCUUUUGAGCUUCUAUCCCAUAACCUAUAACCCUUAAUACCCUCGGGGUAUCCUAAUAAAACAUACUUCCUAGCUCUAGGUUCCAACUUACCCUCACUUUGAUGUGAAAAAGUUGUACAGCCAAAAGUUCUAAGUAUCGAGUAAUCACUCAGUUUACCCGACCAUCUCUCAUGCGAAGUGUCACCAUUCAAUGCAGCAGAAGGAGUCAGAUUAAUCAAAUAGCAAGCGGUCAUAACAGCCUCACCCCAAAAUGACUUGGGAACACCCGAACUAAUCAUCAUGCAAUGUACUUUAUCAAGUAUGGUUCUAUUCAUCCUUUCUACUACCCCAUUUUGCUGAGGGGUGUAGGGAACGGUUUUAUGUCUAGUUAUGCCGCUUUCUUUACACAUACUAUCAAAUUCUUUAUUGCAGAAUUCUAGGCCAUUAUCUGUCCUUAAAAAUUUGAUUUUCUUGCCAGUUUGGUUUUCCACUUGUCUCUUCCAAUUAUUAAAACUAUUGAAGGUCUCAGAUUUAUCGUUCAAAAGAUAGACCCAUACUUUCCUAGUGUAGUCAUCAAUAAUAGAUAGGAAAUACCUAUUACCACCCGAUGUGGGGUUACUAGUAGGACCCCAUAGAUCAGAGUGCACAUAUUCGAGCAUGCCUUUAGCUCUAUUAACACUCGUGGAGAAAGAAGUUUUGAGAUGCUUACCAAAUACACAAUGAUCACAAAAUAGCAAAUCUGACAUACAGUCAUUACCAAAAGCACCAUUUUCAUUAAGUAGCUUAAAUCUCUUGACCCCUAUAUGAGCAAGUCUAUUAUGCCAUGUAUGUGAGUGAUCAAUCUUGGCAAAGGAGAUAGAGGAAUUCACAUCUCUAAUCACUUCCCCAGUAGUAAUGUAUAUAUCGUUUUUCUUAAUUUCCUUAAUGGAAACUAAAGCAUCCUUGAUCAUUUUUAGCAUACCAUUUCCAAUUUUACCAGUAAAGUCAUUCUUCUCAAGUCUCCCUACUGAAAUCAGAUUCCUAGACAAUUCAGGAAUAUAUCUAACAUCAUUUAACGUAUACACAAAAUCUGUGUCAAAUUUUACGUUUAUGUCACCAAUUCCAGCAAUAGUAUAGGCAAAGUUAUCACACAGUACAACAUGCCCAACGUUAGAUUCAUGCAACUUAUAAAACCAGUUCUUUUCAGACGUCACAUGAAAAGAUACACCAGAAUCAAGUAUCCACUCAUGGAUGCGGGGAUUAGCAGUUAGAUUUAAUUCAGCAGUGUAUGCAACUAGACUUGUCAUCAUAUAGACCUCACCACCAUUUAUAUCGGAAGUAGAUGCUAACACAUUUACCUCAUCUCUCUCCUUAGCCUUUAGCUUACCCCUCUCCUUAUGACUAUCUUUUAUAAAAUGCCCUGUGUUUCCACAACCAUAACAUUUUCUCGCCUUACUCCUAGAUUUUGAUCUAGACCUACCUUUGCUCUUCUUUUUCCAUCCAUUACCACUUGACUCGCCACUAGUUUGAUAUCCUUCAUGACUAUUUUGCCUAAAUUGAGUUCUACCUCGCAUCAUAUGCACCUCACCGUUCCUCUUAUCAUGUUUUUCAGCCCUAAUUUCCAUUUCUUUACUUUUAAGGGAAUCUAUGACAAUUUCAGGUGUUAACGUGUCUCUACCAUACUUAAUGGCGUUCUUAACUUCCUUAUAGAAAUCAGGGAUUGCAUUGAGCAAAAUUAUAGCCUUAUAAGUUUCGAACACAGUCUCAUCACAAUUAACUAUGUCUUGCACCAAUUUGUUAAACACGUCUAGAUUGUUAUCAAGAUCCUUUGAAGAAUCCAUUUUGAAAUUGAAAAAACGUUCAAGCAGGUAAAGUUUAUUCGGUGUAGACUGAAGCAAAUACAAGUCUUCUAAUUUCUUCCAAAGUUCUUUAGUGGUUUUUAAUUUACCCACCUUUCUUAAAACGGCGUCAGACAAGUGUAAAAUAAUUGAGGUAUAAGUAAGCUCAUCGGCUUCAUCUCUUUGUUCUUGUGAAAAAUCAGUUGAAAAAUUGCCUUCAAUAGCUUUUGAAACCUUUUGUUGGACUAAAAUACCCUUCAUUUUUUGUUGCCAAAUAGCAAAGUCACCCUUUCCAUUAAAAAUUCCCAAAUCAAAACUUGAGUUGUCAUCUUCACACAAUAGUCAAAAAAUGCACAAACCACAAUCAAACCACACAAAAUAGUCCUAGGGUCACAGACAAUAUACACCGUUCUAGAUUCCCAGGGUUUCGUAAGACUUGUAGUCUUAGAUCAUGGAAAUGUUCGAACGGGUAAAGUCACGGUAUUUCUAACAGAAUAAGUAAGCAGCGGAAAUAAUAAUGCAACAAAAAAUACGUCUAGCAGAUAACUAGUCCCACAGUAAUUAGAUCACUAAGAAUUACAAAAUUGAUUUUCACCAAAAAAACAAAUACUCAAUCAAAAAAGGAUCAAUCAAGAGCACGUAACCCUAAUUCUAGCACAAGCAAUGGUUGCUAAGCAAUGACAACCCCCAACCUAUUGUCACCCCACACGGUGACGCGCUAAUGCUGAAAAAUUAAUGGGUUAAGCUAAUUUACCAGAGCGAAUGUGUUUGAGUCCGUAUAAUCGAGAGAGAUGCGAAUCUACUGCUUUAGAACCGCAAUCUUGGUCUAAAGUAAUUCAGUAGAUAUAUGCAGUUUCAAACGUCGAUCCACCGGGGGCAAAAUUGUCCAACUUUUUCUGUGUAACCUGAAACAGAAAAUAAACAGUGUCAGUGCAUUCAGGGGAUUAAAAUGAGCAAACUGCCCGAAGGAAGUUCGCCCGAAAUCGCCGCCAAGCACCGCCGUCGGAGUCCCACGCGCCACCAUUGUCGAUCGCUGUAGCCGCCGCCGCCACGUGCCACACAUGAAGGGGUGCCUCAGCCUGCUGGUUCUGAAUAUGGGAUCGGUUUCGCCAAAAAGUGACUGGAUUGGCCGGAAAAGAGGAUUGCAGUCACAGUUUUAUACCAAACUCGCGAUUCCACCGCCGAAUUUUUGGUGAUUUUCAGGCCGAGGAAAGUUACUUCGGCUCUGAUACCAGAUGUAGGGUUGAUUUCUACCAAACUCCAAGUACAAAACCAGGCUCAGUUUACAAAUUUCAUUGACACCACAAAGGUUAAGACAACUCCAAGAACCACCACUGUCGCCGCUCCACUCCGAUUGCUAUUGGUUGGAAAGUGAAGUCCAAUAAUGUGUCCACAAAGGAUUAACCACAAAAGUCACAGUAAAGUAUAUCAAGAAGCCGAGAAGAGAGUCUCACAAAGAGAAGGGAAAAAUAGGCACACUCCAUGGAGGCCGAGAGGAAGGUAGGAUUAUAUGCCGAGUAAAUGUCCAAAAUAGGUAAGUUAGGUUAGGGUUAAAUUGUGGACCAAAACAAGGCUCGACUCAAUUAAAGUGGGCUUCAAAAAUAAUAAUAUAGCCUUCCAAGGAAAUGGGGCGAACCGUGAGCAACAUUAUUUAAAAUAGGUUGUUUCGAACGGUCCAUAAAAAUGUGGAUUGUGUUGUCUCGAUAAUUGUGUCGAUGUACUAGUCAAUCAUAUGGCCAAGGCCGAUUGAUAAUAAAAAUCGAGGUUACAUCAUUGCCCGGGGAGGUCGUUUGACAACAAAUUGCCUAACAAAUCGGUCACCACCAACCAUAAAUGAUUUGAAGAUGCCUAUGGAAAUAUGGACUGGUAAGCUAGUUGAUUAUCCUCGCUUACAUGUCUUUGGAAAUCCUAUGCAAAUUAUGUACAACAUUCAAGAAAUAUCAAAGCUGAAUCCAAAAUCCGAAAAUAUAUUUAUUUGAGUUUGACCAUCGAAAUUCGUGUACAUAUUGCUUAGUACAGUGCACGCAUUUAAUUCAACAAAUCUGAACCAGGCAAUAAACUAGUCAAUAAUGUUAUCUAACAUAACUAAUGCUAUUGUUGGCUAAAGUAGCCCUUUUUGUUGAUUGAAGGUGCCUAAGUAAAAUCCCUUUUAUUUGUUAAACUAAUUCGUGCACGAAGAAAAUGCAUGCGUAGCAUUUAAUGCUAAUGUGGAAAAAUUCUUCUUUUACCUCGUAUAGUCGAAAUAUGUAUAGAAAAUGCACAGCCAACUUUGCAUGUUUUCAUUGAAAUUUUGGCACUGUAAUUAAUGAGGUAAGUGGCCAAAUUCACUAUAAAUACUGGAUAAAGCCAAAGAAAAGAAAUCCAGAGCAGUAGCAAAUUGAGAGGAAUUGAAAGCACAUAAUAGAGAGAGAAAAUGGUAGAGAGAUAGUUAAAAUUAUAGAGAGAAAAAUUUGUUUUCUAUUUAUUGUUUCCUACUUAGUUUCUCACAUUACAAGAGAGAUUAAUUGUAGUUAUCUCCUUAUAUUUAGAGAGUGUUAUUGUAAUCUUCUACUAUAGUGAAAUUCUCCUAUUCGUCCAUGGACGUAGUUUAAAUUGGAUGAACCACGUAAAUAUUUGUAUUUAUUUUUAACUUCAUUUUCUCAAUUCCACUUUACUUGCAAGCCAACCUUACCCACAUUUUCCCUAACAAUUACAACUUCUAUUUACAUGACAUUAUACGAUAUGCUCAAUUAAAUGUAGAAUUAAGUGAUUCAUUUAAUUGUAUAUCUUAUUUAGUGUCAGUUAUAAGUACCAUUCACCAUUGGUAUGCUUAAAAUCAAUUAAUUUAUUUCAUAAAAAAUUCCAAAACAAAGUAUAAAACUAGAAUAGGUAUACUGUGUCGAUAGUAUCCGAGUAGAUUAAGGUGAAUAAUAUUUUAAAAGUUUUUUAUUCAUAUUUGCACCAUUUCUCUUAAGCUAAAAGGAUUAAAUAAUGCAAGGUAAGGAUGUGAGUUGAGGUCGUAUAAGAGAGCGCAAAUAAUUUUCUUUGGAAUAAAAAACUUGUAAGAAAGAGAGUGCAAAUAAUUUCUUUUGAAUGAAAAACUCAUAAAUACGAUAUAAUUUAUACUGUCCUAAUACUAGUACCAUUUUCUCUAAUUUUUUGUAUAAUUUCAUAUUUUAAGCUGAUUUUCCAAACUUAGCCUAAAUGUUAACACACUGAACUUUCUUUGAUUUUUUUUAAUACAUGCAAACUUGAUUUUGCAAAUCAACAAAUUGACCCUUUGCUCAAUUAAUUUGGUAAUUUGAAAAUUAGUAAAGGAUGAAUUUAAUUUUAAGUUGAGUACUAUAGCUCUAGUCAUAAUGUUCCUUUGAAUGACCCCAAAAAAUUGGGUGAAAUUUAAUAUUUACUUUAAACGAGCUAUUCAAUUUCCUUUUAAAGUUGUUCUAUUCAAGAUCUAAACUUUACAAUAUAAGAGCAGGACAACUUAGUUUGUUGGAGAAUGUAGUGCCUUGAUCAUAAGUAGUUUUGAUUACUAUAAGGACGUUAUUAUAAUAAUGGGUUAAAGAAUAGCUAUACAAAAUAGCUGAAAAUGGUUCCAUGUGAAUAAAAUGGAUUGAAUUUUAUUGCACCUUCUAUUAAAUGUAGCAAUGCACCAUAGAAAAGGUAGAAAAAGAGUUCUCAAAUAAAAUGAAGUAAAGAAAAAAAAAUUAAAGAAAGGGAUUCACAUCACAAAUCCUAAAUUGCAAUAAAAUUCAACAAACAUAAACAUUACAUAUGUUUGUAUCAAAAUUUCUUUGAAAAGUUAGUAAUGGAUAUUGGUACAGGUUUUGCGAGGGAACAAACAAGUUCUUUGCAAAACCCGAUGCUAAAUUUCUUCAAACUUUAUUAGAAAAUUCUUUAAUAUUAAUGAAGGAUUUUAGCAACAUACUGAUUUCUUCAUAAAUUUGGCACCUUUCAUUUUAUAUCAUUCUUUACUUUUGGACGUCCUUGGAAAAUCUAUUGCCUACAAUCACAAUUUGGUCAUAUUUUACUUUUCUUUAAAAUUUCGUGAUCCACAAUGCGACCGAGCAAGACAAUUGCAAAUUCUGUUGAUGAAAAUCUCAAUUUUGGAAUUUUUAUUUCUACUUUUUAGAUUUUGUGGCAGACUUUGGUAUAAAUUUUGAAAAUCGAAAUUAUUUUUUACUAACAAUUUAAAUUCUUUUUCAUAUUUUUUUAACUUUGUGAAGAAUUUUGCGAACAUAUUUUCAAGAGGGAAUGAUUCAAAUGGCUUUAAUUAAUCCAACCAAUUUUUAGUGGGAAUAAACUACUAAUGACAAGACUUUAUAUAGAAACAUAGAACUAAACAAAUGGCUGUAAUUGAAUCGAAGAACUUUCAAAGUCUUGAGAGGUACAGAACUAAGUCCCAAAUCCUCUUUUGAUUUUGUGCCAACAAAAAAAAAAAAAAACACUAGAUUAAAAUGGAACGAAAGAAACCAUCCUAAGUUGCACUUCCAGAGCACUCAGAAUGAAUCACUCAAGAUUACAUCACAUAAGCCCCUCGAUCUAUACAUUUGUUCACUCAAGAACACAUGACUCAAACAAUAUAUUAAUCACUCAAGAAGUACAUUCAAUUGGAAAGAAUUACAAGAUUUUUCUCUCUAGAGAAAAAGAAGAUGAGAGAACUUCAAGAGUCAGUCAAAAAAAUGAAAAAUGGAUUCCAAGCUUCAAAACCCUAAGCAAAUGAACGAUCAAAUAAAAAGUCAUCAGAAGGUCAGCCAUCAAACCAUUUUUAGGGUUGACACUUGGCAUCAUCUUAUACAUCAAGCCUACUAUGGAAAUCACAUUUCAUAAAACAUGUUUUUUUAAAGAUGUAAAUGAUGUCAACUAUAACCAUCUAUCCGGACAAAGUUUCAACCAACAAUCCAAUCAGCAGCCUAAUCAUCAUUGUGCCACAUCUCUCCACGAUCUCUACAUUGGUACAAUGAUUUCAGUUUAAACUCACGGUGGUUCCUCCAAGACAUGACACCAUUUGUUCGGUUACCUGAUACACAAAUUAGCAAGCGUUAGUAUUCAGCUGACUUAAACAAUCCUAAAAUUUGUUUAAAGGCAGCACCUUGGUACCUAUAUCAACAGGAUUAAAAUAAGUAGAAAUAUUUUCAAGUUUCACAAUUCCUUGUAAAACUACAUCUGUAGUAAAAUGAAUCUAACAUCAAAAUGUUUAGAUCUAUUAUACAAAACAUGAUUUCUACUCAAGUAAAUGGCAAAUUAACUAUCUGAAUAAAGAACAACUUCAUUAACAAAACCAAAUUCAUUUAGUAAGCUUUUUUACAAUAUCCCCUCUUUAAUAGCAUUUGUGGCAACUAUAUAUUCAGCCUCAGUGAUGAUAAUGCAAUAAUCUUUUAAAGUUGGGAUUUCCAGCUUAAUAGGAAUUACACAUAGUAUACAUAUAAGCUGAAGUGGAUUUUCUAUUAUCCAUGUCACCUUCAUAGUCAGAAUCAGUAUAUCCUCUUAAAACAAAACCAUAAAGUUGUUUCUUGAACUAAAUUCCUAAAUGAAAAGUGCCUUUAAUAUAUCUAAGAAGCCAUUUCAUUUCCUCCUAGUGAGCUUCUCCAGGGUUGCACAUAUAUCUACUUAGAACACUUAUAGAAUAUGCCAAAUUAGGUUUGGAACAGACCAUUAAGUACAUAACAAACCCAACUGCAUUGGAGUAAGGCACUUUUUCCAUUCUCUCAAAUUCUUCUAUAGAUUUUGGACAUUGUUCAGUUGAAAGUUUGAAAUGAUUUGGCAAAGGUAAACUUACACUUCUAGAAUCAAAUAUAGCAAAGUCUUUAAACAAUUUCAGUAUGUAUAAUUUUUUACGAAGGCUUAGUGAGCCUUCUCUCCUAUAUCUCUUAACUUCAAUACCAAAAAUCUUUCUGAGAAGACCUAAGUCCUUCAUUUCAAAUCUGACUUUAGUUUAUUUUUGUUUUCUUCUCUCUCUUAUGUCAUGACUUGCCAACAACAUGUCAUUUACACAAAGAAGUAGAUAAAGAUAAUUUUCUCCACCAUUUCCUUUGUAGUAAAAACAGGUAUAAAAGUUACUUCUCUUAAAACCAAGUCCAAGUACAAAAUUAUCAAACCUUUUGUAUCAUUGCCUUCGAGCUUGUUUUAAGCCAUAUAGGGAUUUUUUAAGAAGGCAUAUUAAGUCAACUUUCUGGUUUAUUUAAAAUCCUUUAAGUUGUUUCAUGUAAGUAGAUUAAUCAAAAUCAUGAUUUAAAAAUCCGUUUUAACAUCCAAUUGAUCCAAUUCUCAAUUAAAUUGUGUAGCCCAAGGCAUUAUCCUAACAGUUGUAAAUUUUACAACUGAUGAAUAGAUUUCAUUGAAAUCAACUUCUUCUUUUUGAGUAAAGCCUUUCACCACAAAUCCAACUUUAUAUCUGAUGUUAUUUUCACUUUAUUCUCCUCUUUUAAUUUUGAAAAUUCAUUUACAAUCAACAACUCUUUUUCCCUCAAGUCUUUUAACUAGAACCCAUUAAGGGAUUGCAUUUCAUCUUGCAUUAUUACAAGCCAACUGUUAGAGUCAUUACUACUCAUAGGUUCUUCAAAGGACUCGGGCUCAUUUUUAGUCAUACUUUGAUAAGAUAGCAAUGAGACAUCUUUAUCAAACCUAGCAGAAGGUCUUAUUUGUCUUCUUUGCCUAUCUCUAGCAAGUUGAUAGUCAUCUAAAGAUUGAUUUAUUUCUGAAUCAACUUCUAGUUCAUCAAUAGAAGCUACAUCAUCAGGAGUUUCCUCAUUUCUCUCAAUGUGCAUCAGUCUGGUGAGUUUCAUCAUCAAAAUACUCCACCUCAAUUUCAAUCCCUUUCUCCACAUUAUUAGUCUAACUAAAGAGUUCUAUUUGUUUUUCAAUUUUAAGGUAGGGUAGAUCAUCUUCAUUUAAUACAACAUUUAUAACAAUUAUGAUCUUAUACCCUUUGGUGUUCCUUACCUAUAAUCUAUAUCCUUAACUCCAUCUCCAUAGCCUAAGAAUACACACUUAAGGGCCCUAGGUUCUAAUUUUCCUUCAGAUUGAUGUGCAAAGGCUGCACAUCCAAAACUCUCAAGUUACUAAAGUCAAUAGGUUUCCCAAUCUACAUCUCUUCAGGAGUUUUAAAGUGUAUAGCACUAGUAGGGCUUCUACGAAUAAGAUAACUUGCAAUUUUACCAGCUUUACCCCAAAAUAUCUUAGACAGGACAAAACUUAAAAGCAUGCAUCUCACUAUUUCAAGAAUAGUUCUAUUUGAUCACAAAUAUUUUAAGUUUGUAGAAUGUAUAAUUUUACCUCUUGGGGCUUCAACAAUCAGCUGUGAGUCCAUCAAGAUUUUAGUGUAUCCCUUGUUAAUCUAUAUGUUAUGGUUUAGGUCAUCUAAAACCCUUAGGGAAAUAAGAUUUCUUUGUAAAUCAGGAACAUAUCUAGUUUUCUCUAAAACUAGUUCAUUAUUAUCCUUUGCCUUUAAAGUGGUAGUUCCUAUUUUCUUUACCUGACAUGUAAUAUGAUUGCCCAUUAAAACUUGACCACCACAUUUUCAAACUCAGUAAACCACUCUCUAUUUGGACACAUGUGAAAUGUGCAACCUGAGUCAAGAAUCUAUUCUUGACUAGUUGGACUAUUUAUAGCAACAUAAACUUCAUCAAUGUUGGCUUCAUUGUUAUAUGCCAAGACUGUAACACCAUCAAUUUUGGAUUUAUUUCUCAUACCAUUAAGACUUUUGGGACAAUCUUUGAUAAAAUGGUCCCCUUCUUGACAGUAAAUACAUUUUUUCCUUUUGUUUUUCCUUUCAUUUUAUUUUUAAGAUUUCCCUUCAUCAUGUGUCCUAAUUUCUUAUUGAAGUUAACGUUCAUAGGAAUAAGUUUGGAUUUUUAGCCAUCAAGUCUUCCCCACUUAUAGAUUCUUUCUAUUCAGACCUUAACUCUAAUUCUUUGUUUCUCAAGGCAUUGAUUAUCACAUCAGUAAUUAGAGUUUCCCUUCCAUAUUCAAUAGCAUUUUUAACAUCAUUACAUUUAUCACUAAUUAAAUUCAAUAAGACCAUAGCCAACUGAUCUUUUCAAAGUUUCUCAUCAUAUUUGCUAGGUCAUGGGAUAAUAUGUUGAAUCUAUCAAUAUUAACCACAAGAUCAAGAGACAGGUCUAGUUUAAAACCCAAAAAAAUUGUUUUAGAAGAUACACUUUAUUUGGAAUGGUUUUAUUUAAGUAUGUAUUUUCUAACUUUUUCCACAGUUCUGCAGCAGACUUUGUUUCUCCAAUUUCUCAAGCUACAUUGUUGGACAAAUGUAAAAAAAAAUUGAGCUCCAUGCAGUUUCAUCAAGUUCGUUUAUUUUCUUCUAAAUCAUUUGGCCAUAUCUCAUCAAUGGCCUUCACACAUUUUUUUUGAAGUAAAAUUGCUAGCAUUUUCUAGCACGGGAGACUAAAGUUUCCCUUACCAUUAAAGAUAUCCAAUUCAAAUUUUGCAAAAAUCAUGAUCAAAAAAUUUGAACGUCAACAAUGUAUGCAGAUCACACUGACGCUUCAAGAGUAUAUACAACUUGUAUAAACAAUAGUACAUUAAUGUCAUAGUAGUUUAUUCCAAAAAAAAAGUUCGAUCAGCAAAGAGUACUAUAUCACAAAGAACAAGUACAAGUCACAGUAUGCUAUACACAACAAUCAAGAACACAUGCAGAGGAUUUAAAUCUAGAUCUUUGAUCAGGACAACCCUCAGAUUCCAGACAAUUCGAAAGAUUUCUGGACAACGGAAUUGCCAAGAAUGUCUCAGAUCUAGCAUUUUAAACAUGUUUGAAAAGGGACUUCAAGUACAAGCAAAUGUUUUGUAUUGUAAAUCUUAAAAUAAGAAUGACCUCACCCGAUCCCUUUAUUAAGGUAUUAGGAAAUAACAAAAACACUACUAAAUCAGGAUCAAACUUUUAGAUCUAUCGUAAUCGGGACCAAGAACCACCGUCUAACUGCUCUGAUACCACUGUUAAGAUUAGGUUUAAUCGAUUAGCCAACUUUACCAACAAAUACAUAAAUUAAAAUGUGCAAGAAAAUAAAAAUUGAAGAAUACAAAAGCUAUGGCAAAAGGUUUAGAACAGACCGGAAGAAAUCGCUGGAUUAAAAUAAAGCCAAAGAAACCAUCCAAAUUUACACUGUCAGAGCAGUCAGAAUGAAUCGCUCAAGAUUACAUCACAUAAGCCCCUUGAUCUAUACAUUUGUUCACUCAAGAACACAUUACUCGAAUAAUAAAAUGAUCACUCAAGAUGUUGAUUCGAUUAAGAAUAGUUAAAAGAUUUUUCUUUCCAGAGAAAAAGAAGAAAAUGAGAGAACUUCAAAAGUCGAUCAAACAAAUGAAAAAUGGAUUCAAAUUUUCAAGACCUAGGCAAAUGAACGAUCAAAUAAGAAAUCACCAGAAUGUUAGCCAUCCAACCAUUGUUAGGGUUGACACUUGGCAUCAUCUCAUGCAUCAAGCUCACUAAGGAAAUCGCAUUUCGUAAAACAAAUUUUUGUAAAGAUGUAAAUGAUGUCAACUAUAAGCCAUCUAUCUGGUCAAAGUUUCAACCAACAAUCUAGUCGGUAGCCUAAUCAUCACUGUGCAACAUUUUUUUGCACUCUUGUAAUAAUUCCAACUUCCAAAUCAUUAAAAUGAAAUAGUGACUCUUAGAUAAUCUCUAGGGAAUUCAAAUAUAUGACUAUUUUGUCUGAGGAAUUCAACAUUUUGUUCAACAAAUCACAAGACACUGUGCCAAUCCCAAGUCAACACAAAUUAUGUACAUUGUACUUUGGUUAAAUAAUCGAACAACGUUGGGAGGCAGUAACAUCUUGCAAUUAUGUAUUGACGACUAGUCUUUAGGUUCAAGAGGCCAAAUUACACCACAAGAGUGAUAGAUCAAUAUCGUGAGUAGUAUGUUAUCCCACCUUAUUCGGAAAACAUUUAAUUUUAAAUUAGGUGUUGGUUCUAUUAGAUUAAAGGCUUAUGGAAGCUUGUAUUUUAUUCUUCAUUCAUUACAAUCAAUAAACUGCAAAAUAUAUACAUCUUACAUUGGCAAAUUACGAUAAUAAUCACCAAAGGAAAGCAAAUAAAAUCUCAAUCAAUUCUCUUAUAAAGGGAUUACAGAUUCUUAAACAUACAGCAAUGAUUAUUUCCAAAGUUGAGUUGUUGUAAUCUUGGCCAAUCUUAACACUUUCCCUUAAGUUGGAGCAUGUAUAUCCAACAUGUUCAACUUACUUCUUAGUUCUUAAAUACAUUUCCUCCAAGAGCUUUCAUAAAAAUAUACACCAACUGCAAGUAUGAUGGAACAAAUUCUGUGAUAAUCUAACCAUCUUGUUUCUUUUCUCUUACAGCAUGACAAUCGAGUUCUACAUGCUUGGUACGCUCAUGAUAUACUGGAAUUGCUACUAUGUCAAGUGCAGCUUGAUUAUCAUACAGUAGCUUUGCUGGUCCUGUUGAAAUGUGCAUAUCAUUUAGAAAAAAUUGGAGCCAAGUUAGUUCACAAGUUGCGGUUGCCAUAGACCUAUAUUCAGCUUUUGAUGAUGAUCUUGAGACAGUUUUCUAUUUCUUUCUUUUCCAUGAGAUUAGAGAAUUUCCCAAGAAUACACAAUAACCUGUGUUUGAUAUUCUAGUCAUAGAACAGUUUGCCCAAUUUGCAUCACAAUAAGCCUUCAAGCUGAAAGAAUUUCUUGAUUAAAAUAAUAGGCCCAGACCCAGACUACCUUCAAGAUAUUUAAUGAUGUGAAGAACAACAUCCCAAUGAGGCUCUCUUGGCGCAUGCAUAAAUUGACUUAGAAUGUUAACUGAGUGUGUAAUAUCUAGUCUUGUGAUUGUGAGAUAGAUUAGUUGUCCAACUAAUCUUCUAUGGCACUCCGGAUUAUAUAGCAAGUCACCUUGAUCAUUUGUGAGCUUCAGUUUCACUUCCAUUAGGAAAUUUGAAGGCUGAGCAUGUAAGUAACUAACAUCAUUUAUAAUCUCUAAAGUGUAUUUUCUUUGAGAGAUAAUAAUACCUGCUUUGGAUCUUGCAAGAAAGAAUUUUAUAGGGCCUAGAUCCCUGAUGUAAAAUUAUUUGUGUAGAAAAUAUUUCAGACUUUGUAUAGCAGAACUAUCAUUGCCCAUUAUCACUAUGUCAUCUACAUAGAUAAGCACCAUAGUUGUGGAUGCACCUUUAGUAUUCACAAAUAAGGAAUAAUCUGAAUGUGAUUGAAUAAAACAAGUCUUGAUAGCUUGAGAGAAUUUUGCAAACCAGUUUCGAGUCCAUAGAGUCACUUAUGUAGUCGACAUACAAGUCUCUCAUCCUGUCGACAAAGACCUGGUGAUGGAGUCGUGUAUACUCUUAUUCUAAAUCACCAUGGAAAAAGGCAUUUGUUACAUCCAUUUGAUGCAAUGGCCAUCGUUUGGUUGUAGUAAUGACGAGAACACAUCGAACUGUUGUCAACUUGGCAGCAGGAGCAAAUGUUUCACACUACAAGAACUUUAUGUUUUCCCUACAAAAUUUAUUUGUGGGGAAAGGCUCUUAUUUGUGGGGAAAUACCUUUGUAGACAAAAAAAACUUGUACGCACUUUUGUGGGACAAAUAUCGAGGGGAUAGGUAUAGGAUGACAAAUUUUUGAAGUUUGUGGGCUAAGGUUUUUCCCUGCAAACCCUUUGGAGACUAAUACAAUUCAUCGCGUACAUUUUCCAACGACAAAGUAAUUCGUCUGCUAAAGUUACUUCUACACACGAAGCGAUUUUGCUUGUCCCUACAAAUUAUCUUGUGGGCUAAAUUGUGUUCAUCCCCACAAAUAAUAUUUUGUGGGGAAAAUAUAUUUGUGGGCUAAGUAUGAACAUCUUUCCCUACAAUUAAAAGAUUGUGACAAUGUGGAACAAAUUAUUUUGUGGGCUGAACCCUAUUUUUCUACAAAUAAUUUUUAGUGGGGAAAAGAUAUUUGUAGGCUAUUAAAGAAGAAUUUGUAGGGAGAAAUUAAACUAUUUCUAUAUUUUUUAUUUUUUAUUUAUAUUUUACUAAUUUUUUUUAACCUCAUUCAAAAUAAUAUAAAGAUACGAAAAUCAUAAUAAAUCAAUUAAACUGUAAUGUCAAUCAACAUUGAAUCCAAAAUAUUUCAUCAAAACACGAAUAAAUGAAUUUCACCACGUUUUGCUUCCAACUCCUUCUCCAAAUUGUGUACAUUGGAAGAAGAUAUCCCAAUACCCAAGCUUCAUACCUAGAACAGACAUCAUUAUAUUAAUUCUAGCAUCACGAUCAUCCAUCGGUAUCUCCUCCAAAGGGAUAUCUUUGGGAAGUUACUGUUCCUUUGCCCUCUCUAUAAGAUAUUCAUGCUCUUUGGCAAGCAUCUCAUCCUACAAACACAACCAACAAAAUAUAUAAAACAAUCCAUAAAAUCAAAGUUUGCAAGAGAUAGCACAACUGUACACAAGAGAUAUAGUACAAGCUAUGAAAUAUAACCAUCUCUCAAAAACAUUUUGACCAUGAUAGUGUCCAUUUCCAAAAUAGCCCUAUGAAUAGCAUACAAAAAUUGUCAUACUACUUAAUCUAAUUAUAAUUUUCUAGCCUUUUUUAAUCUAACUUUGCAAUAUAUAUUUUGUGUCUAACAUGGUAGAUAAAACAUAAUAAAGAAAACAAUUUUAUAACGUUGAGUAUUUCCUACAUGUUGAGCUUUAGCUGCAUUAUAAGUCCAAUACUUAUUUUUCCAAGAAUAAGCGAACUCAAAUGUGUCGACUUCGGGAAACUUCGAACCAUCCUAAUAAGAAAAAAAUGCAUGUUUCAAUUAUUAUAUUCAAAUUCAUAGCAAAAUUAUUUAAUUAUGUCGUGUUGAUAAAUUCACUACCUCAACCAUCUUCUCCACUAUGUAUGAGAAAGGACGUGAACCAGUGCGAUGAUUGUACUUCUUCUUCGAUCAAUUCACUAUGUUUACUGAUGAUGCUUUCUGCAAAGAAAAAUAUAUAGAUAUUACAUAACAAAAUUAGAAGUAAAAGCUAUGAACUGGUAAAGAAUUACAUAAUAAAUACCUUGAUCUUAUUGGAGUUCAAAUGAUUACUCAGGUCCACCCAUUGAUUUACACCUCUAUCGAGCAUCUCCAAAGGAGGGUUGGCUAAUGCAUUCUCAUGUGUCUUCUGCAACUUAUAGUAUGCACUCAACUCAGCCUUAAACUCUCUAUACCUCCCUUUGUAUAGUCUAUUAAUAUAAUUUGCCGAUCUCGAGUCUUUCAAAUCUAUCUCGAAGUUCGUUUGAAAUUGACAUAAUUAAAAAAAUCAUAAAAUAUAAAGAAACCUCAAUUGGAACAAACUAUCCAAUUCUAGAUAACAAACCACAAAGUAAGAAUAAAUAAAAUCACAAAAUAAAAUGAGUAAUGUGCUUUUAAUUGAUUCAUGUAGUUUUAUUUGGCUAUUAAAUUUCCAACAGCAUAAACACAUUUACAAAUGCUUACCGUGAUCUCAUCCAUAAGGUCCUUCUUCUCACUUGGAAAAAUGGUCUCCCAAUAAUCCAUAUUCAUCGGGCAAUGUGACCGAAUGAUGGCUCCGAUAUCAUGAACCAACAAACUAUGUACUUCAAAACUUGUUGCUCGUCUAUUUACUGAAUUGUAUAAAACUCAAAUUUUCUCUCCAGUUGUACGAACGAUAUGAGAUGUCUUUAUUUGUUUACAUGAUCCUUGAGUAGGAUGCUCAUCGAGAGUACUUGGCAAUUGUCCUACAUCUAUACCUGCAAAACCAAUAAUAAAAGCCGAACAUGUAAAUGAACUUCAUAAAGUAAGAAAAUUAACUAUUAAUAAAAUAAACACCCUAACUUCAGAAUCGUCUAUUUCAUCGUCCAAUGCAUCAUUAUUUUCUUCAGCUCGAUGAAUAUUUUCACUUUCUGCUUUGUCUAUCACAUGAGUUUUCCAAUUUUUCUUUUUAAAUACUUACUCUUUAGAAAAUAGUCGAAAAAAAUUAAUUUAUAAAGAGAUAAAAUAAUGAACAUAAAUAAGGAACUCAUAUUCAUAUGAGUGGUUCUUUAUAAUUGUGACAAGUGCCUGCAACAGCUUAUCCAGAAAUGUCCCAUUGUUUCAAAUUGACCUUACAAGUAAAAGAAUCCUGAUUUUGAGAUGAAUCGAACCACCCAGUUGAGUUUGGUUUUGCUCGUGUUAAAUGGUUUUGGACAAAAGUACUGUUAUUAUCUACUAUCUACGCGCACCAAAAAUAAGAUAGUCAACUUUCAUCUAUAAAAAGUACGUGGCCAGGAUAUGGGUGGGAGCAUAUUUGAGAUAGGAUUUUGAUGUACUUAAUCCUUAAUCAAGAUUGAUCCAGCAAUUAAGCAUGUGUGAAAAAGACAACUUCAAUGGACCAGAAUCCAAAUGGCAUAGCCACAACAAACUAUGAUUGUUGAAACACAUUCUCUUCAAUGGUCAUGAUUGUUGAAAAACAUUCUCUUAAACACAUUCAUAGACAGCUAGCACUCUUAAACCACCAUUCUCUUCAAUGAUCAUGAUUGUUGAAACAUAUUCAUAGAGAAUUACAUUUCCCGCAUUUUAGUUUGACUUAUGCUUAUUGUAAAUCAGAACUGAAAAUUAAAUAAUGGCAUAGUACCUGAGCCUUGUUUACAACCUAGGUGACGACGAACAACACUAGUAUGAUGAGAAGGUGGUUGAUCAAGCUUGUCAUUGGAGGGACCAUAUUCUGCACCUGGAUUAGGAAGGGUCCUCGUUGGUGUCUCAGGAUGUGUAAGUACAUGAGUAGUCUCGAUUAAAGGACCAAAACAAGUGGAAAUAUUUUCAAUGGUUGAUCGAGUCACAAUUUUGUGAUGCUGGUGUAGAGAAGUUUUGGGGGAUUGAGAUGUCAGGAUAGGGGAGGUACUAACCUAUUAGCUUGUAAUGAAUGUCGCCACGAAAGAGGUACAAACCUAUUAGCGGAAGAGCUAUUAGAUUGUGAUUUUUGAAGCAGUGGAGGCACAUUUGUGCUAGUCAAUAGGGACAUCUUAGGUACUGAAAGUACAUGUGAGUUGUUAGAACGUUUCUUCUGAGAAAUCAGAUUCAUCGACAUAAAAAAAGUAAUAAUUAGAAUACAAGCAUUAGACUAUACCAAAGCAAUAUCUAAACUAAGAGGGGAACACGUAAAAGCUUUAACUAGAUGCUUUAUAGAGAACAUAUGUACUAUUAAAUAUAGAUUGUAUACAUAUAUGGUAAACGUAAUGAUCUUACUCUUCUAAAUUAUUGUCCUCCACACCAUGUUUGCUGAUCUUAUCAACCAAAUCGCCAUUAUUAUUGAUAUGAUCCAAGAAUCAACUUGAAGACCCGUUGAUUAUCGAAGGCAGACCGAUGACGCUAUCGAGAGCAAAGCAAGUAAAACAAGUGAUAGGAUUGCUCGUUCGAGAAACCAUUAACAGGAUGAUGUUUGAAACGCAAAACAAUGCAACUUUCAUGUUCAAGUCGAGAGCCGAAUCAAAAUGGGUCAAUUCAAUACAAGCAGACGAAGUCGGAGGCAAAAGUGAUAGCUAUGCAGUCGCAUAGCUAUAAUAGGCAUGCGACAUAGUUCAUAGAGGCAGGGACUAAGCGGACAUAGUGUUAAAUUGGGCAGUAUGGUAAAGUAUCAUCAGCCUAUACCUAGGCUAGAUGAUAUGCUUGAUGAAUUGCAUGGUGCUUGUGUUUUUAGUAAAAUUGAUCUUAAGAGCAGGUACCAUCAAAUUCGCAUGCAGGAGGGUGAUUAAUGGAAAACAACAUUUAAAACUAAAUAUGGGUUAUAUGAGUGGUUGGUUAUGCCGUCUGAUCUCACAAACGCACCGAGCACAUUUAUGUGUUUAAUGAAUCAUGUUCUACAUGUUUUCAUAGGAAAAAUUGUUGUAAUUUACUUUGAUAAUAUUUUAAUCUAUAGCAAAGACCUAGGUGAGCAUUUAGAACAUUUAAAGUGUGUGCUUGUUGUGUUAAGAAAGGAAGAAUUGUAUGCUAAUUUUAAAAAGUGCACGUUUUGCAUGGAUAGAGUUAUUUUUCUAGAAUUUGUUGUUAGUGCUAAUGGGGCAAAAGUGGAUAAGGAAAAGAUUAAAGCUAUUAAAGAAUGGCCAACACCUAAAAGUAUAACUAAGGUUAGGAGCUUCCAUGGUCUCGCUAGUUUUUAAAGGCAGUUUGUGAGAGACUUUAGCACAAUCACGACACCAUUAACUGAAAUCGUUAAGAAAAGCGUAGGUUUUCACUGGGGGAGAACAUAAGAACUUCCAUUUAAUACCAUUAAGGAUAAAUUGUGUAAAGCACCUAUUUUGGCAUUACCUAACUUUAAUAAAACUUUCGAGAUUGAGUGUGAUGCAUCAGGGAUAUGUAUUGGAGCAGUGUUAAUGCAGGAAAGGAGACCUAUUGCUUGAUUUAGCAAGAAGUUGAGUAGAGCUGCACUGAACUACCCAACGUAUGACAAGGAGCAAUAUUCCCUUGUUCGAGCAUUGGAAACUUGGCAGCAUUAUUUGCAGCCUAAGGAAUUCGUGAUACACACCGAUCAUGCGUCCCUAAAGCACUUACGAUAUACAUUAGGAGUCCAUUGAUGAGAAGGGGCUGGGGAAAGCUUGAACCCAAUUCCUACAGUGAUGAAUAGUCAAGAUAAGUUGAACAAGCGAUGUGCAAGGUGGAUGGAGUUCAUAGAGAUGUUUCCAUACGUCAUCAGGUAUAAGCGAGGUAAUAAAAAUGUAGUUGCAGAUGCAUUAUCACGAAGGUAUGUGCUUCUUAACUCUUUAAGUGCGAAAUUACUUGGCUUUGAACAUAUUAAGAGCAUGUAUGAAAAUGACAUUGGUUUCUCAAACAUUUAUAAUUCACGUGCUAAAAUGGCUAUUUAUAAAUUUUAUAAACAUGAAGGAUAUUUGUUUAGGGAAGAUAGGUUGUGCAUUCCAAAUUGUUCAAUGCGUGAAUUAUUGGUAAGGAAAGCAUACGGUGGGGGUCUAAUGGGUCAUUUUGGGAUUCAAAAGACUUUAGACAUGUUAGGGGAACACUUUUAUUGGCCUAAAAUGCGUAGUAACGUAGAACAGAUUUGUGAAAAGUGCAUAACUUGUAAACAGGCUAAAUUAAAAGUUUUACCCCAUAGCUUGUAUACACCUUUACCUGUGCCUAGUGAACCUUGGGUAGAUAUUUCUAUGAAUUUCAUGUUGGGUUUGCCUAGGACAAAGAAAGGUCUGGGUUCUAUCUUUGUAGUGGUUGAUAGGUUUAGUAAAAUGAUACACUUCAUACCAUGUUACAAAAUCGAUGACGCACUAACAUUUCUGAUUUAUUCUUUAGAGAGAGAGUACAUUUGCAUAGAGUCCCUAAGAGUAUUGUGUCGGACCGAGAUCUUAAAUUUUUUAGUUAUUUUUGGCAUGUUUUGUGGAAUAAGUUAGGAACUAAAUUGUUAUUUUCUACAACUUGUCACCCACAAACAAAUGGUCAAACUGAAGUAGUAAAUAGGACCAUGACUCAAUUGCUUCGAACAGUGAUUAAUAAGAACUUAAGAAAUUGGGAAGAUUGCUUGCCAUUUAUUGAGUUUGCUUAUAAUCGUACUGUACAUUCGACUACUUCUUAUUCACCAUUUGAAAUUGUGUAUGGAUUUAAUCCACUAACUCCAUUGGAUUUAUUUUCUUUACCUGUGAAUGAACGAGGUAGCAUGGAUGGUAAGAGGAAAGCUAAGAUGGUAAAGGUACUUCAUGAGAAGUUUCGUAUGUAAAUUGAAGAAAAGAGCAAGCUCAUUGCAUCAAAGGCAAACAAAGGGCGGAAGCAUGUGACAUUUGAACCUGGAGAUUGGGUGUGGGUGCAUUUCAAGAAGGAACGUUUUCCAAAGCAGCGAAAGUCCAAAUUGCAACCGCAGGGAGAUGGUCCUUUCCAAGUCACCGAGAAGAUCAACAAUAAUGCCUACAAAGUGGACUUUCCAUGUGAAUAUAAUGUAUCGACUACAUUUAACGUUGCUGAUCUUUCCCUUUUCGAUGCAGGUGCAGAUUCAAGGACGAAUCCUUUUGAAGAGAGAGGGGGUGAUAUGAUCCAAGAAUCAAGCUUGAAGACAGUGACUUCGAGUCGAGACCCGUUGACUAUCGAAGGCGGAUCGAUGACGCUAUCAAGAGCAAAGCAAGUGAAACAAGCGAUAUGAUUGCUCUUUCGAGAAACCAUUGAUGGGACGAUGUUCGAGAUGCAAAACGAGGCAACUUUCAUGUUUGGGUUGAGAGAUGAAUCAAAAUGGGUCAAUUCAAUACAAGCAGACGAAGCUGGGGACAAAAGUGAUAGCUAUGCAGUCACAUAGCUAUAAUAGGCAUGCGACUGCAUGCAUAGAGGCAGGGACUAUGUGGACGUAGUUCAAUUGAACUAUGUGACCUCAUAAGAUGGGGCAGAAUUUUUCCUUUUUCGCAUUUUUUCCAUAUUUUAUUAGAGCUCUAUUUUUAGUCAAAUUCUAGAGAUAUUGGGUUAAUAUUUUUCAGAUUCUACUAGAUUAUUAGAAUUUUAUUCCUUUUCAACUUCUAUUCUAGGAUCUAGUAUAAAUAGAAGUUCAAUUCUUCAUUGUUUUUUUUUCACGAGACAUUAUUUGAGAUUUAAUAUGAAAGGCAAUUUUGCUUUCAAUUCCUUGUUCUUAAUUAAACACAUUGAACUUAUCAAGACUAUUCUUGUGGUGUUCUACAAAUCGGGUGCGGGUCUUAGAUUGUGUAAUCAAGGGGUCCUUCAAGCAACGUUCUUGCUGGUUUUUUUUUUUGGUUUAGUAAUUUAAGGUCAAUCUCCAAACCUUUUAUUUGGCUUUUCUGGGGUUUUUGGAACAAUCUAGUAGUGGGUUCAUAGUCAACGCUGUUACAAGGUUCGCAUCAAUUGUCUUCAUCACUUUCAUUAUCUGUGUCUCUAUCAUUUCCUCUAACAAGGCAUCAAUUAAUGGAUUUUGGAUCAAUCAACACAAGAGAAACGUCAUCUAUAUGAAGUAGUGUUUGAAUAACAUCAUAUUUUUGAGCUUCGGUCAUAUUCAGUACAUCCGAAGAAGAAGUUUCUUGAUACGCCACAUCAUUAUUGUCAUCACUGCCAUUAUACAUCUCCUUCCUUGAUAUAUCAUAUAUGUGCCUGUGAUCCAUCUUUUGAACUACUUUCCAACCACCACCUGAUUUGGGAUCGUUUACGUAAGACACUUGUUUUGCCAUUUUUACAAGAAUGUAAGGAUCAGUAUCAUACCACCGAAUACUAGAGUUUACAUAUAGUAAGUGGUAGUCGUGUUUAACUGAUCUUGACCUAUGAGGGUUUGUAUCAAACCAAUGACACUUGACUAGAACAACCUUAUAAUGUUGUCUAUACAGUAGUUCAACCACACUUAUCAACUUUCCAUAGAAGUCUACAUUAUUGGUAUCAUGAUUGCCAGCACAAAGACACCAUUAUUUUACAUGGUUAGCUUAUCACCUCGUUUUGCAGCUAUAAACUUUGCUCCAUUCACAAUACAAACUUGGUAUGUUUCAGCUCAAAGAGGAUGUCUUGCUACUCAAAUAGCUCAUCAUUGUACAAGGAUGAUUUUGCCUUCCCUAAACUCCUCACCUAAUUUUAGAUUAAAUAAUAAUGAAAAUUAAGUAUUAAAAUUAUUAAGUUCAUGAAAAAUGGUGAAACUUAUUACAACUGGAUAAUGACUUAUGCGUUCACGAAACCAAUUAGGAAAUAAUUUUCUAUGCCUUUUCUGUACGUCCACAUCACUUUCACUCUUCAUCAUUUCAUCAUGCUCCCUACACAGCAAGUUUAUGUAUAUAUACUAAUGUAUGUGUAGUACAAAUAAUCAAACUAAAUGUAUAGGUGUUGAACUUACAUUAGAAAAGGAAGAACCUCAUCACAAUUGUUCAAUAUGAACCACUGAGCAAUCUCUAUCUCAUCAUUUGUGAGUGAAAUUUUUGAAUUACUCAUAAACGAUAAUGCUACUUGGGAGAAAACAAAAAGCUUCUCUUGUCUAGAGCAACCAUCAAAGUUUUGUUUGGGUCGAUUAAAAGGUGUCUAAAUAUUUUGAAGGUACAUGGCACAAAAAGUAAGAGAUUCAUGUGUUACAUAUGCCUCCACAAUGGAUCCUUCAGGUUGAGCUCGAUUCUGCACAUAUUUUUUGUAUGUCCCUAACAUUCUACAAAUAAAUAGAUUUUGUGAGAUACAUUGUUCAACUAGUUAGCAUUGAUUUAGAAACUUACAAUUGAGAAAAAUUAAUAAACAUGUACCUUUCUAUUGGGUACAUCCAUCGAUAACUCACAGGACCUACAAGUCUUGCCUCUUCAGAUAAAUGUACCAAUAAAUAAAUCAUGGAAACAAAGAAAGCCAGUGAAAAAAUUUGCUCAAACUUGCACAAUAUAUACACAAUAUCAUCUUCCAACCUCUUAAUGUCCUCCAUGAGUAAUAUCUUCACACAUAAUUGUUGAAAGAAAUUGGACAACUAAAUAAUUGGUUCAACCACUUCUUUUGGUAAAUAUAUUCAAAUACCAACAGGGCAUGAUGAUCAUGGCUCUUCAAUCCAGAAAUUUUUCCAGAUUCGACUACCACAUUCCUUGAGAUAUUGCGGCAUAGCCAUCUAGAUAUUUUACAGAUUUCAAAAAUUGAAGGAAUUCUCUCUUUAAAUUUGGUUUCAUUGUGAAAAAUGGAAAUGGAUAUCCUUUAACUCAUUUAUCUCCAUUCCAAUCUAACCACAAAGAUUUUUUUAUUCCUAGUGCUUCUAAAUCUUGGUGAGCCUUCACUGUAUCUUUCGAUUUUCCCUCUUUACCCAAUAUUGUCCCAAUAAUAGUGUCACAAAUAUUCUUCUCAAUGUGUUUUACAUCUAGAUUAUGCCUAAUUUUUAACUUUGGCCAAUAUUCUAGCUCAAAGAAAAUACUAUUCUUAGUCCAAUUCCAUUCCUCAAGUGUCAUCUUCCUUUUUUUAUUUGGGUUAUCAGGAUGCUAACCAAUCUAACAAAAGUUUAGGUUCUGUACUUGAGACAAAAUUUCAUUACCCAAUAAUUGUCUAGGUCUCACACGAAAUUCAGUUUUCCCAUCAAAGGAUUCCUUCAUAUUGCACCACACAAUAUACCAGGACAGCCAUCGCUAAUACCCCAUAUAGCAAACCUUAUCACUGAACCAUUCAGAUGUUCCAUCAUCAUUACAGAUAGGGCAUGCAUUAUAACCCUUAGUACUCUACCCUGAUAAAUUUUUGUAAGCAGGUAAAUCGUUAAUAGUCCACAACACAGCAGCACGUAAGUUAAAAGUGGAAUCAAUGGCUUUAUCAUAUGUAUGCAUACCAAUUUUCCAUAAUUCUUUUAGGUCAUCAAUUAGCAGGCACAAAUAAACGUCAAUAUCCUUACCAGGUUCGUGCUUGCCAGGAAUUAAUAAGGUUAGCAUGGUGAAUUCCUUUUUCAUGCACAUCCAAGGAGGCAAAUUAUUAGGAACAACCACAACUAGCCACAUGCUAUAAGGUUUGUUCAUAUCCCCAAAUGGGUUAAAACCAUCUGUUGCAAGGCCCAACCUUACAUUUCGUGACUCAGCUACAAAACUGGGAUAAAUCUUGUCAAAUUUCUUCCAUACAAUUGUGUUUGCCGGAUGCCUCAUAACCUGAUGAGUAGGAAGCAGUUGAUUUUCUUUUGGAAGCAUCCUUUUCAAGAUACCCAUAAGCUCGUCAAAGCAUUUGUUGGUUAUCAAAUUCCUCACUUUCAAUUGCAUCAACUCUACAAUCAAUGUUAGCAUAGAAAAAUCUUUACAACCAGGGUAAAGUUCCUUUUGUGCUUCUUUCAACAACCUUUCAUAGUUAUCUAUCUCUUGUCUACACAUUUUAGAUGUCUGAUUAUUUCCCAAUGUAUCAUCAUCAAGUAAUACUUCAUCUGUUUCUAAUAAUUUUGCUUAUGAUGGUACGAGGCAUGUGGAUACAUAUAAUUAAUUAUAUCCAUUACUUGAUCAUUAUCACAAUCAAUGCCAUCAAUCAAACUAGAGUUGCAAAACAAGUUAGUGGUAUAAGAACCUAACACGACCCCCGAUCGUUCAUCAUGAUGAUUCCAUUUAGUGUAAUUGUAUGACAUCCCAUACAUGACCAAGUGUUGUCGAAUUUCACUCACUGGCCUCCAAGAGCAAUUAUUACACUUUUGGCAUAGGCACUCAGAAUGACCUCGAUGAUCGAUAUUGUUGCUUGCAACUCUAACGAAUUCCUUAAUCCCUAACAAAUAUUCAGCACUAGUUCUAUUGGGAUUGUGUAUCCAAUUUCUAUCAGUAAUGUAGCCUCUAUCUAUGACUCUACAAAGGAUAUGAUAUACAAAAAGUACAUAUCAAUAUAAUAAAAAUUUAAUGUGAACGUUCAGUUAUGGAAUUGAUAGAUUUGUUCACUUAACAAGAUACAUCAAAGCACCAACAAAAGUAAAAACAACUGUUUAUAACAUCAUUAAAGAUUUUGUACUGCCAAGCAACUUGAUGAUGGCAUACUUGAAUUUAUGAACUUACCUUAUUGCAAUUUGAAUUGAAAGUAGCUCUGUUAUCUUCAACUCUUUGUACGGCCCCUACAAGAUAUUUUAACUAAUAAUCAAAAUUCUCUAUUCAAUUGAAAAACAAUAAGAUACAAAAUUAGGCCAAAAUAAACAUGAUAACAUAAUUCUUCAUCAUUAAUGAUUCAAAAUACAAAGAAAUAUAGUUUUUUACCGUUAAUAUGAAAUAUUUAAGGACAAUAUGGAAGAAAUACAUCAGAUAAUGUUUAGGUGCACAUUUCAUUCAUCAUAAUUUAUUACCUAACAGAAAUUGUAAUAAAUAAUAUGCACUUUAAAAGGAGGCACUUGAAAUCAAUUAGGAACCAACAACUAAAAUUGAAUCAUUCACCCAAUUUAAAUUGAAGAAAUCUAGUGUUUUUGGAGAUGUGAGUAGAAUCAGUUCAACUAUGUUUAAAUUUUCUUCUUACGUUUUUAUACUAUAUCUAAAGGAUUAAUUAAAUCAAUAAGUGCAGGCAUCAAGGAAUAAACCAGGGAUGGUCCAGUCAAAGAAGAACAAGAAAGUAACUAAAAAUAGCAACGAAGAAUUAAAAGAGACCAAUAGUAGAGGAAGUGGCAUCUCUGAUGACUGCAAUGGUUCUCAUGAACUAAAUGAAGGGGAAAAUUCAGACAGUCAGAAAUCAAAUAGAGAAGCAAGAGAUAGCAGGGUUCUGCAACUGAUCCUCAAAGUAUUUAUGCAAUGGUAUGUAAUAACUUGACAUGAUCGGAAUAAGGUUAUGUACAUUCUCAACGAGUCGUUCAAGGGUUUUCGAUACCAUUUUAUCCAAUUUUGCAAAAAAGAAGAGAAGAUUAAUGAGAGAUUGAAAAUCUUGCAGAACCUUGUCCCAAGCGAAACAAAGGUAAAUCAUUAAAUGAAAUUCUAUAAAACUAAUGUCCUUUCAAAAUCCAGAGUGCGGUAUCAAAGAUGGCUUCGCCCUUGCUUGUAUCACAAAAAAGUACUUGUAAAUUACAAAGAAAUAAAUUACAAGCAGAUCAUUGAAUGAAAUUCAUCACCUUGAAAUUAAAAUCAAAACAAUUAUUAAAAUAAAACUUUUACAAUCCCAGUUCCAAUUUCACUCCCCUAAGAAUAAUGUCACAAUUGAUAAAGCCCAUUUCAACAAAACAAAAUUUCUUUGUAGUUAAUUCUACUUUUUUUUUCUUUCAAAGAAGUAAACUAAAAUUAUCAUGAAAACUUCACAAUCCGCCAGCGACUGCAUUAGGUUCAAAAUGGGGAAACAAAAGAAAAUGAUUAAAACUAUACUAAUCAAGCAUCAUUAAAAACACAAAAUUUCUGUUUGAGAAAAGAUAUAUUUGAAUAAUUAAUUAAAGAUUAAAACUGUCAUAUAAAUCCAAUGGUUCAUAUUAAACUAAUUCUUUGAAUUUCAGAAAAAUCAAUUAAAACACCAGAUCUAUUUAAACAAUGCUGAACAAUUAAUUAAUGAUUAAAACAAAGCUGAUACGCAUACCUUUAAAACUGCUUGAAGAACACAAAAUCUAUACGUAGAAGAUUCAGUCGGAAUUUAUUGACCAAAAAUCAAUAUUGUCGCAGAUGAAGAGAUUUGGACUACAGGAAAAUUGAAUUAAUUAGGUUUUGAUAGCAAUCGAUGAUGAGGUUAAGCCAAAAAAGGGGAAUAAUUUUUGAUUAAAUUUCUAGAGGCAAAUAGAGGAUGUCGUGGGUUUAGAUUUUACAGUGAGUAUGCGGUGGGUUUUUAGAUUUAGGCUUCAUUUGUGGUUUUUUUUUUUAUAUUGAUAAAAAAAAAAUACUUAUAGGUUUUUAGAUUUAGAGAUGUGUGGUGGGUUUUAGAUUUUGUAUGGGGUGGGUUUUUAGAUUUAGGACUAAUUUGUUAUUUUUUAUAUUGAUAAGAAAAUAAUAAUACUUUCUCUCUAUCUUUUGUUUUUUCUCUCUUUCACUUCAAAUUACUUUUUGGAGGGACUAAAAUUAUAAAUAAUAUAAGAAAAUUUUUCCAGCUAAUUAUGAGCCUACAAAUACGUCAAAUAUUAUUUGUCUGCAAAAGAUAUAUCUUGCUCAUAAAUGUUUAUGUCUAGAAAAGAAAAAAAAAAUUUGUAGGCACAAGGCAUCCUACUAUUGAAAAUUUUGAAAUAAAUCAUAGCCCUACAAUUGUGGGGAAAAGUGAACUUCGCAUACAACUUAUAAUUUGUCAAUGAAAAUUUUGUAGGGAAAGGCUAAAUUUCUUAUAGUGUCAGUAUAAUCCAAGCCUUCUUAUUGAGAAAAUCCUUUAGCAACAAAUCAAGCUUUGUAGCGUUUGAUCAUACCAUUGGAAUUGUACUUGAUAUGAUAUACCCAUUUGUAACCAAUGGGACAAUGACGAGAGGGUAAUGGAACCAAAGACCAUGUCUUUUGACCAUUAUGUGCAUCAAGUUCAAGCCGCAUGGCCUCUUGCCAUUUAGGAUCUAUGGCUACCUGUGUAUAAGAAGUGGGUUCUAGAAUGUUGGAAAUAGUAUUAACAAAAUGUUUAUGUUGAGAUGACAAUGAAUCAUAGGAAAUGUAGUUACUUAAAGGAUACCGAGUACCUAACUUAGUUGAAGAAUCCUAGAUUGGAGAUUCAGUUAGUGGUUAUGUACUAGCAUGUCGACAUUGAAAAUCUUGAAGGAGAAUGGAUGGUAUUCUGGUGCGUUCAUUUCUACAAAGAGGAGAUGUUGCAGAUGUCUUUGGUGAAGGAGAAUGAGGGAUAUGAGUGAUCUCGAGUAAUGGCAAUUCUGUUGCAUAAGGAAAAUAAGGUGAAUUGGUGGUAUUCAGUUAACUGGGAUUGUGAGAUAGUAUUUUCUGUUGAGAUUUUGGAAUCAUGGAAAGGAAAAACUUCCUAAUGAAAAAUGACAUCACGACUAGAGAAAAAUUGGUGAUUGUUGAGGUCAUAUAAACGGUAGGCUUUUUGUCCUAUGGGAUAACCAAUAAAGAUGCUUUUUUUUUUUUGUGCGAGGAUCAAAUUUAUGCAAUGGGUGCAAAUUUGUUGCAUAACAAAGAUAACCAAAAACUCUUAAAUUAGAAUAAUUUGGUGGCUUGUUAUACAACAUUUCGUAUGGAGAUUUGUAGUGAAACACUAGAAUGGGAAGAUGAUUAAUCAAGUAUGUUGCUGUAAGUAAACUCUCUCCGCAAAAUUGUAAGAGAAGAUUAGCAUGGAGCUUAAGGCCCUGGCAACGUUUAAAAGGUGCCGAUGUUCUCGUUCAACCACAACAUUUUGUUGAGGUGUAGAUGGACAAGAACUUUGGAAUAAAGUACCAAGACUGGAAAAAUAUGCCUUCAUGGAUGUGAAUUCUGAGCUAUUAUCACUUCCUUUACAAUUAAUUUGGCAAUUAAACUAAGUGUUAACAAAAGAGAUAAAGGUUUUUAGCAACCCUUACAUUUCAAAUUUGAACUUCAUUAAAAAUAUCCAAGUGUAGCGAUUAUAAUCAUCAACGAGAGUCAAAAAAUAAUGAGCUCCUGUAUGAGUUGCAAUAUGAAAAGGUCCCCAAAUGUCACAAUGAAUAAGAUCGAAUGAAUAUGAAAUUUGAAUGAAACUAGAAUGAAAAUGUAGUCUUGUUUACUUAGCUAAAUGACAAGUUUCGCAAGAAUACUUAGGAUCAAAUACAAUAGAUGAAAUAACAUGACUUAAAAACUGUAAAGGUCUUCUUGAUGGAUGUCUUAACCCCUGGUGCCAUGGAAUUCUGGUAGUGGAGUCCACAUGGUAAGUGUCUGGAUUGGAAGGCAAUGUAGAUGUUACUGGAGGCACGAAGUAGUACAGGCCAUUAACUUGCUUCCCCAAACCAAUCAUCUUCUUCAAAGUUAGGUCCUGCAAUACACAAAAAGUAGGAUAGAAGUGGAUUGAACAAUUCAUGGUAGUUGUGAGUUGACUAACUGACAACAAAUUAACAUUGAAGGAAUGAGCACAGAGGAUGUUUUUAACAUGUAUGUAAUCUCAAAGUUGUGUAGAACCAAUGCCAACUAUUUUAGAAUGAGCACCAUUAAGCUAGGUCGCUUAAGAAGAGAGGUGAGAGGUAAUAGGGACAAAUGUGGCUAUGUGAUUACUGUCGCCACUAUCGAUAAUCCAGUGGUUUAAAGUUGUCUUUUGUGUGAUAAAGGAGGAACAAAAAGGAAAAAGGAUACCAACUUAAUUUGCUUGAGAAGAGUUUUUACCAUUGAGAAGGGCUUUGAUCUGAGUGAGUUAUUCAGGAGUGAAUUGAGGAGCAGUAUUCAUGAAAGCCUUGUGGUUCAUAACUUAUCUGAGUGCUUACUUGGCAUGCAACAAGUUUUUUGCUCCAAUUCGAUGGCUGAACUUCUUUUCCAUGAAGUUUAUGACCAGGUAGAAAACUAUUCAAAUAAUAGCAGCGGUCCACAGUAUGUGUAGUGCCUUCACAGUAAGAGUAGAAAUGUGAUUUUCGAUCCCUUUGUGACCUUGAAUGAGAGGCUGACCAUUGUUUCUGUUGGCAUGAAGAAGCAGAUUGUGUUUCCUUAGAAUUGUCAUAAGUAUUAGUAUUCAUGGCAUGAAUAAGAUCACUACUCUUUGUUUCAACGAGACCUCGCUGCUUUUCUUCUUCACAUAGGAGGCAGUAUGCCUUUUUUACAGUUGGUAAAGGUUGUAUAAGCAUGAUUUGUCCCUGAACAGCAAAGUAUGUUUCAUUUAAUCCCAUAAGGAAUAGUCCAAGUCAAUUCUUUCUUCUUUGCCUUUUAAACAGAUACUUGAUUGAGGGACUGCAAGUGGCAAGUUCAUCUGAUACGAACCCCGUAGCAACGUUGACUAUGAAACCCACAACGAGAUUGAAGAACCCAAGAAAGCCAAAUUAAUCCAAAGUUUAGGAUUAACCCAAAAGAAAGUCGAACCAAAAAACCCAACAAGAACGAUGCUUGAAAGACCCCUUGAUCACGCAAUCCAAGAAUUAAAUUCAGUUGUUUGAACGCUACAAGUUAACACUUGAUAAGUUCGAAAUUGUUCAAUGAAGAACGAUGAAGAGAAGAUAAUACGCCUCACUUUAAUUCAAUAUCAAUAAUGUCAAAGGCUUUUAACAAUUGAAUGGAAACUCCUAUUUAUACUAGACCUAAAAACUAGGUAAAAAUCGUGCAAAAGUCGAGCAUAAUCUCCAAAAUAUGGAAAGAAUCAAAAUCUAACAAAAUAUGGAAAAUUGCCAAAAUUGGAAAAUUCCAAAUUUUUAGCUUGUGCGGCCGCAUGGUGUAUUUUCAUGCGGUCGCAUGGUUCAACAAAAAUCCCAAUUUAAGUUUCGGUAUGCCACCAUGCGGCCGCAUGGUGUUUUUGCUGUGCGGUCGCACAGGCUUAUUUUCAGCCUCCGAUUUCAUCGCUUGAUAACAAAUUGAUCCAAGUUGAUUCGGCCUUCGACCCGAACAUGAAAGUUGCUCCAUUUUGAGUCCCGAACAUGGUUCCGUCAAUGGUUUCUUGAACGAACAAUCCCAUCGCUUGUUUCACUUGCUUUGCUCUUAAUCGCGUCAUUGGUCCGCCAUCGACUAUCAACGGGUCUCGUCUCGCACUUGCCUUCGUCGGGCUCGACUCCUGGAUCAUAUCAUCCCUUCCCUCUUUAAAAGGAUUCGUCCUCAAAUCUAAACCUGCAUCAAACAGAGAGAGAUCAGAUACAUUAAAAGUAGCCGAAACAUUGUACUCACCUAAAAGGUCCAACUUGUAAGCAUUGUCGUUUAUCUUUUCAAUCACUUGAAAUGAACCGUCGCCCCUCGGUUGCAACUUGGACUUCCUUUGCUCCGAAAACCGCUCUUUCCUAAGGUGCACCCAAACCCAAUCUCCUGGCUCGAAUGUCACGCGCUUUCUACCUUUGUUCGCCUGCGACGCAACCAACUUACUUUUGUUUUCAAUUUGCGCUUUUACCUUUUUCAUGGAGUGACUUAAUCAAUUCCGCCUUCUUUUUGCCAUCUAAACUACCACGUUCAUUCACAGGUAAAGGAAUUAAAUCCAAAGGUGUUAGUGGAUUAAAACUAUAUACAAUUUCAAAUGGAGAAUAUGACGUAGUAGAGUGAACAGCUUGAUUGUAUGCAAAUUCAACAAAUGGUAAACACUCCUCCCAACUCUUCAAAUUUUUAUUGAUUACCGUGCGUAACAAUUGUGUCAUAGUCCUAUUCACUACCUCGAUCUGCUCAUCUGUUUGUGGGUGACAAGUUGUGGAAAAUAGUAACUUAGUGCCUAACUUACCCCACAAAACUCUCCAAAAGUGGCUCAAAAAUUUGACCUCCCAAUCCGACACUAUGCUUCUAGGAACUCCAUGUAAACGCACAAUCUCUUUAAAGAAUAAGUCAGCAAUGUUCGUGUCAUCAUCAGUUUUGUGACAUGGUAUAAAAUGUGUCAUUUUCCUAAACCUAUCUACAACCACAAAAAUAGAAUCCCGACCUCUCUUAGUCCUAGGUAAACCCAAAACAAAGUCCAUCGAGAUAUCAACCCAAGGCUCACUAGGUGUAGGUAAAAGUGUGUACAAACCUUGUGGUAAAACCUUAGAUUUAGCCUUUUUAUAACCUAUGCAUCGACUACAAUUUCGCUCAACAUCACUUUUCAUCUUAGGCCAAUAAAAAUGCUCCUUCAAUACAUCUAAAGUCUUUUGAGCCCCAAAGUGUCCCAUCAAUCCACCACUAUGUGCCUCCCUUGCUAACAACUCCCGAAUAGAACAAUUAGGAAUACAUAACCUAUUUUUCCGAAAUAAAUACUCCUCAUGCCUAAAGAGCCUAUCAACCGCCCCUUUUAUGUAUGACAAAUAAAUAUUAAAAAAUUCAACAUUUUUUUCAUACAAUUCCUUAAUAUGUUCAAACCCAAGUAACUUAGAAUCAAGAGUAGUUAGCAAUAUGUACCUUCGCGACAACGCAUCCGCCACCACAUUUUCCUUACCUUGCUUAUACCGAAUGACAUAUGGAAAGGUCUCAAUGAAUUCCAUCCACCUUGCAUGCCUCUUGUUCAAUUUAUCUUGUCCCCGCAAGUGCUUUAAUGACUCAUGAUCGGUAUGUAUUACGAACUCCUUCGGCCAUAGAUAAUGUUGCCAAAUUUUCAAAGCUCAAACAAGUGCAUAAAGUUCUUUGUCAUAUGUAGGAUAAUUUAAAGCAGCUCCACUCAAUUUCUCGCUAAAGUAUGUAAUAGGCUUCCGAUCCUGCAUUAAAAUUGUUCCAAUCCCUAUUUCUGAUGCAUCACAUUCAAUCUCAAAUGUUUUGUCAAAAUUAGGUAAUGUCAAAACAGGUGCUUCACACAAUCUACCUUUAAUAGUAUUAAAUGCAAGUUCCUAUUCAUCACCCCAAUGAAAACCUACACUCUUUUUAACUACUUCACAAAUCGCCUAUAAAAACUAGCCAAAUCAUGAAAACUCCUAACUUCCGUUAUACUUUUGGGUGUCGGCCAAUCUCUAAUAGCUUUUAUCUUUUCAUCGUCUACUUCUACCCCAUUAGCACUAGCCACAAAUCCAAGAAAUAUAACUUUAUCUAUACAAAAUGUGCAUUUCUUAAGAUUAGCAUAGAGUUGUUCUUUCCUUAAAAUAAUUAGCACACACUUUAAAUGUUCCAAAUGCUCUCCUAGGUCUUUGCUAUAGAUUAAUAUGUCGUCAAAAUAAACCACAACAAAUUUUCCUAUAAAAGCACGUAAAACAUGAUUCAUUAAACGCAUAAAAGUGCUAGGUGCAUUUGUGAGUCCAAACGGCAUAACCAACCAUUCAUAUAAACCAUAUUUAGUUUUAAAAGCCGUUUUCCAUUCAUCACCCUCCCGCAUACAAAUUUGAUGAUUUAAAUCAAUUUUAGAAAAUAUGCAAGAACCAUGUAAUUCAUCAAGCAUGUCAUCUAGCCUAGGUAUAGGGUGACGAUACUUUACCGUUAUGUUGUUGAUCGCCCUAAAAUCCACCACAUUCGCCAUGUUCCGUUCUUUUUUGGUACAAGCAAAAUCGGUACCGCACAAGGACUCAUGUUUUCCCUCACGUAUCCUUUGCUUAUCAAUUCCUUCACUUGUGUUUUGAAGCUCCUUGGUUUCCUUGGGAUUACUUCAAUAAGUCGGUCAAUUUGGAAUGACAGCUCCGGGUAUGAAGUCAAUUUGAUGUUCAAUGCCUCGAAUAGGCGGCAAUCCACUUGGUGCAUCCUUUGUCGAAUUCCUGCAACAAAGACUUAGCCAAACUAGGGAGGGGUGGGUUAGUUUCCUCAAAAUUAAGAAGUGAUUCCUUAUAAAUGAACAAGAUCAUCUCUUUUCUCUCAACUACCGCCCUCCUCAAAUCACUCUCUUUUGCAAAGAAAUUCGCUCUUGUUUUCUCUCUUCUCUCGAGGCACUCUCUUUAUUUUCUCUCUUGUGAUUGCUCUCUCUCUUUUUCUCUGUAAUGACUAUCUCAACAUUUUCUCUUUUUUUCUCCAACUCACUAUUUGCUCUCAUUUUUUCUAACUCUUCUGCUCUCCUCUCUUCCUCACUUCUCAAUUUUAAUUGGUCCUCAUAGACUUGCGCCGGUGUUAAUGGCACAAGAGUAAUGGUCCUUCCAUCCUUAAUGAAACUAUAUCGAUUUUUGUACCCAUCAUGCAUAGCCUUCCUAUCGAAUUGCCAUGGUCGCCCCAAUAAAAUAUGUCCCGCUUGCAUUGGUACUACAUCACACACUAACUCGUCUUUAUAACUCCCAAUUGACAAACUAAGUAACACCCUUCGAUUCACCCUCACCUUGCCACUCUCAUUCAACCAUUGCAAUUUAUAAGGUCUCAGGUGUCUCGACAAUGUUAAACCCAAUUUUUCUACAAGAGAUAUGCUAGCUACAUUAGUGCAACUACCACCAUCAAUUAGAACACUACAUACUGUAUUGUUGACGUGGCAUCGAGUGUGGAAAAUGUUCUCCCGUUGCAACUCCAAGUCAUCUGCUUUGACAUGAGUAGUGAGAGCUCGCCUUGUGACUAGUAGAUCCCCAACUGGCCCUUCAACUUUUUCUUCUUCACUAGCACCCUCCAACGCCGGCAUGUCAUCAAACUCGCCAUCACUAUCACUCACAAUCUCUCCAUUAUCCCGCAACACCAUCGCCCGUUUGUUUGGGCAUUGAGAAGCAAUAUGCCCUGUUCCCAAACACCUAAAACAUUUGAUGUCCCGAUUGCGCGACGGUUGUGCCUCCGAUUUUGAUAUUGGUUUGCUAGCGUUUUCAUCCUUGCCCUUUUGCCAAUCAUUCCAUUUUUGUUGUUGUCAUCCCACUUCAAUUUCCAUGUUGGAUUAGGAGUCGAAGUACCUAACGGUUGCCUAGACGUCUCCUUCCUCUUCAAUUGCCUCUCGACCUUCAUUUUCACAUGUAAUAUGUCCUCGAUUUCCACAUAAUGUUGCAACUCUACAACGUUUGCAAUAUCCCGAUUUAACCCAUUCAAGAACCGGGUAGCUUCCCGAUCUUCCUCCACAUUAGCCCGAAUCAUAAGAAUUUCCAUCUCCUUGUGAUAAUCCUCUACGCUUUUCGAUCCUUGAAACAAACCUUGCAAUUUUUGAUGGAUUUCCCUAUAAUAGUGACUCGAAACAAACCUCCUCCUCAUCAACAUCUUCAACUCAUCCCAAGUGCUAAUUGGCAUUUCCCGACCCCUACGCCGUAAUGUAAGUACUUGAUCCCACCAAAAUAUCGCGUAAUCCACAAAUUCAAGCACCACCAAUUUUGCCUUUUUUUCCUCCGAAUAAUUAUAGCACUCAAAAAUCAUCUCAACCUUCCUUUCCCACUCUAAAAAUGCUUCUGGAUCGCUUCUCCCUUUAAAUUGCGGAAUAGUAAUUUUAAUACUCCCCAAAUUUCCAUCUACUUUAUCUCCCAAGUUAUUCCUACCCCGUCUUUCCAUCCUAUCGCCCCUAUGCGUUGCUUGACCCAUAUCAAUGUCAUUUUCAUCAAAAUCAUCCUCAUCACUACGAUACUCAUCCCGCAUUCCUCUCCUAGAUUCACACCUACCCAACCCCCUAGCAUUAGACAUAUCUACUUGUCCCCGGCUAAGAUUAGCAAUUGUAGUACCCAUUUGUGCCAUUCAUUCCCCUUGCCUAUCCACCUUCUCCCUAACAUCACCAAGUACCCUUUCAAACCUCCUUAUCAUGUCCUCCGAUGCAUUGUUGUCAUUAUCAUUUCGGCUUGAAUUAGAACCUUCUCUUUUCAACAUCAUAUCACACAAUUUUUUUAUGCCUCACAAAGAUUUCACUCAGAAAACACUCACUAUAGCUUUUUCCCUCUAUUAAACUCACCACUCGGCCUUUUACCACUCAAAGUCUCCCUCAAAGCACUUCAAAGAACUAAGUGAACUAAAUCAAUUGUUUUACCGGCAAUUCAAACAAACCGAAUAUCAAUCAAAGAUCACGAGACUCAAAGGACUUGAAUAAGUGUAAUAGAUGAAUAUUUUGACACGAAUAUGUGAAUAAACUCAAAAGAAGAAUGAAAAACUCAAACCCAAUUGACUAUCCCAAAAAUCAAACACAAUGUAGGAAUUGUUGUUGGUAGAAAAAAACACAAAAUCAAACAAUGAUAUCAAAUUUUUAUAUAUAUAUAUAUUUUUUUUUAUUUUUGUGAACGAUAUUUCGAGAUGAACAGUACCUCGAAUGUACGGUAACCCUUUUUUUUCGUUUUUGUACUUUUUUUUUACUCCUUGAUGAAAGAAGAUGAUUAAACUACCAACAACUAAAUGAAACGACGAAAAGAAAAAUAAGGACAAAGAAGAACUAAGAAAGAACGAUUAAAAUAGAAGAAGAAAUUAAGAAAACAAAAUUAACGACUCAAAAAAUAAAGAAAAGAUAUAACCUUCAAUUAAUUUGGAGCCAAAGCUCUGAUACCAACUGAUGCGAACCCCGUAGCAACGUUGACUACGAAAUCCACAACGAGAUUGAAGAACCCAAGAAAGCCAAAUUAAUCUAAAAUUUAAGAUUAACCCAAAAGAAAGUCGAACCAAAAAACCCAACAAGAACGACGCUUGAAAGACCCCUUGAUCACGCAAUCCAAGAAUUAAAUCCGAUUGUUUGAAAGCCACAAGUUAACACUUGAUAAGUUCGAAAUUGUUCAGUGAAAAACGAUGAAGAGAAGAUAAUACACCUCACUUUAAUUCAAUAUCGAUAAUGUCAAAAGUUUUUAACAAUUGAAUGGAAACUCCUAUUUAUACUAAACCUAAAAACUAGGUAAAAAUCGUGCAAAAGUCGAGCAUAAUCUCCAAAAUAUGGAAAAGAAUCAAAAUCUAACAAAAUAUGGAAAAUUGCCAAAAUUGAAAAAUUCGCCAAAUUGUUGGCCUAUGCGGUCGCAUGGUUCAACAAAAAUCCCAAUUUAAGUUUCGGUAUCUCACCAUGCGACCGUAUGGUGUUUUUGCUGUGCGGUCACACAGGCUUAUUUUUAGCCUCCGAUUUCGUCGCUUGAUAACAAAUUGAUUCAAGUUGAUUCAACCUUCGACCCGAACAUGAAAGUUGCUCCAUUUUGAGUCCCGAACAUGGUUCCAUCAAUGGUUUCUUGAACGAGCAAUCCCAUCGCUUGUUUCACUUGCUUUGCCCUUGAUCGCGUCAUUGGUCCGCCAUCGACUAUCAACUUUGUGUAAUAAGAGAAAAUUAAUUCUUGAUCUUGUUUUAGUUCAACAAUGGAUCUCUGAAUUUGAUAAUGAUGAGAAAAAUCACCUUGAGAGAAUCGCUCUUAAAGAUUUGUCCAGACCUCUGAAGGUGUUUCAGCAUAUAGUACACUAUUUUUUAGCUACGGACUUAGAGAAUUGAAUAACCAAGACAGCAUCAUAUCAUUGCAGCAUUGCCAUAGAGGAUAUUUUGGAUCUUUUUCAUCUGGAUAGGUACAGUUCCUUUGAUGAAUCCAAACUUGUUCUUGGCACUGAGACUUAUCGGAUUGGAUCUUUUACACAUGGUAUAAUUUGUUCCAUCCAAUACCUUUGGAAUGAGGAUCAUGCUGGGAUGAUCAAAAGGGUGAAGGAAUAAUGGAUCUGUGGGAUCAAUUGUUGGGGUAGACAUGAUCAGAAAGGGCGGAAAUUUUCAGUAGUAAUAUCAAUGCUCUGGAACCAUAUCAAAUUAAAGGCUUGUGGAAGCUUGUAUUUUAUUCCUCAUUCAUUAUAAUCAAUAAACUAUAAAAUAUAUACAUCUUACAAUGGUGAAUUACGGUAAUAAUCACUAAAGGAAAGCAAAUAAAAUCUCGAUCAAUUCCCUUAUAUAAAGGGAUUACGUAUUCCUAAACAUACAACAAUGAUUAUUACCAAAGUUGAGUUGUUGUAAUCUUGGCAAAUCUUAACAGGUUCAUCCUUGAAGUCUUCAUUUCGAAUUUUGAUUUUAUUUCUUAAAGAAUGAUGAACUUGUGAAUUAUACAGAUUGUCAUGAUAAACUGGCUUAAAUUUUGGUUGAGUAAACUCUUAAACUUUAAAUUUUUUUCUUUCAAAUUCUUGAGAUGGAUUUUGAAUUUUUCUGUAAUUCAACAGUGCAAAAAAUUAGUUGUACUUCUUUUGAUGUUGGAUUUCACUUGCUGAACUUCGAAGCAACUGGGAAAUGAAUAAUUAGACCUAUAUUGGUGUCUAAUCAUAAUCUGUAUUUCCCUGGCUUAUGCAUAUUUCAUGAUUAACUUUGAUAUGUUUAUUAUGUUGAAUUUAACAUAUUUAAGUAUGGGGAAAAACAUAUGACAGAUUCAAUAAUUGUUGUAUUUAAUCAAAGUAGUCGAGCAUAUCAAAUUUUUUCGUCAUUCUUUCUACCCGAGUGCCUCACUUUUAAUUACAUAGUAAAAUUGUGACUUGAUUGGCCAUUUGGAAAAGAAGAGUUUUCUAUGUACUCUUUACAUUUGUUUGAAAAAAGUAAACAAUGUGGCUUAGUUAGUUAUGUACCAAUUUUUUAAUAUACACUAAGUUCUUUGUUCUGUGUUAUUUUUAGUAUAAAAUUCUAACAUCAAUGCAUAUCACUUUUGACCUAGGGACAUGAUUUUAUAUUAUUUUUUAUUUUUUUCUGAAAUCUAAUUAGAUGAGAAAAGCUUUGAUAUGAUAGUCGUAUAUGCACAUGUUAUACAUUACUCUCUGUAAACUCGACAUUUUUCAAAGUACAACAUUUAUAUUGGUGAGUAACGUACAAUAUUUUUCAAAGUUUAGUGGUCAAAGCUCAACAUUUUAAAUUUCAGUGAGCAAUCAAAGAGACAAAAACAUGGAUCUAAAUUCAGUGACCAAAACUCAAUAUUUUAAAUUUCAGUAAUCAGUCAAAAACAUGGACAUAAAUUCAGUGAACAUUGGAACAAUUAAUUCCCAUUAUAAUGAUAACAAGUAUUUUUGUGUUGUAAUUAAAUUUUAUUGUAUUUUCUCUUUUUCACAAACCUUCCAUUCAAGUUUUUUUCUCUUAAAAUUCAACUAGCAUAUUGAAUCACAAUAAAUGAUAGCCUAUUGCGGGUGUGUGUAGAAUCGAUUUUGGAUAGCCAAACAUGUUCUUAUGCUGCACCAAAGACCAAUUGAAGGCAAUAAACACAACUUUCUGCAUGUAGCAAACAUUUAAAUCACAAUCAUUUCCUCACUAACCUCCAGCUUUUGGUGUCUUUUCGAUCAAAGGAACAAUGUAUCUACAUAUAUUUUGUCAACAAAGGUCCGUUGAUUUCUAACAUUGGUUUAGUUUCUACUUGAAAGCAAAUGAGCCUAAGGUCUUCGGGAGGGCCAUAAAUAUCUGUCUAGAAACUUCAUAAGUUAGAGAAGAUGAUAACAUAUCCUUUAAGUUCGACUUGAGUUCGAUUUUUGUAAAUAAUUUGAUAAGUGAAAUUUUCAGAUUAAGGAGGAUAUUGAGACUUCAAUUGGAAAUAUUGGUGUGUCCUAAUAAAAUGUCAAACAACUUCAUUUAAAAAAAUUAUUUUUUUUUAUAUAUUUUAUACUUAGACAAUCUAGGUUCACUCAUAUUAAACCCAUGAUCCUUGUUCAAUAUAUAUCAAGUGUAAUGAAGAAUUUAAAAUAGAAAAUAAUAUCGUGGAUAUGAACACUUUAUUACCACCCAAAAACUUCAAAAGCAUGCAUGAAUACAACCAAGAACACUUUUAAUUGAAACCUCGUCAAUUUUAACUCCAAUAUCGUCCAAUUAAGAAAUGAUCCGUUAAGAACACAAAAAUGUUUUAAUAUUUUCGUAUAUAUAUUCAUAAAAAAUGAAAUUAUUCCUUCAAGUACAAAGGAUUUGAUAUAAUAUUUGUUUGGUACUAUAGUUUUUUUCGAAAGCUCUUGCAGACGUUGUGAAUGUAUCAUUUGGACGGUUUUUAAAUAUAAUCUAAUCUUUAUUGCACAUACCAAACUUACUAACCACUCGAAGAUUUGUUUAAAAAUAAAAGCUAUUAAUAUUCCCAUUCAAUGUUUGGCAUAAAUCAAAACGGAUCAACAAAUUCUUGACUCAUAUUUACCACAAACUUAAAUUAUGAAUUAUAAAAUUUCUCCGCGUCGAAUUUCAUUUUUGUUUUGUUUUCUUCAACCUUGGUAAAUAUACUUGUGAAUAGUACCCACCGAGUUUCCAAUAAAGAUCUCAGGAUUCACAGUGAUGUCACUUAAAAUCCAACAUUAGACAAAUCCGUCCUUAAAACCAAUCAUACUUUAUGUACAAUGAUAACUGAUUGUUGACAAUUAUUAUCACAUUCAUCAAUUUAAAAAAAAAAAAGAAAAUUAAAUCAAUCAUCCAGAUUUUGCCACAUCAACAUGGUCAAGAAAAAUAUUCUUAACUGUGACUAUACAAGUAGAUUUGUACCAUACUCCAAUGCACUUAGGGUUUUUCUAUCUAUACACCUGGGUGUCAGUUGACAGAUAGAAAAACCCAUGCACUUAUAAGGAAUCUGGGCCCGUUUCACUCCGAUACUCCCUCAAGGAUCAUCUUGCAAAAAAUAUCAACAAUAACUGAGAAAUAAAAACAGAAAGAAUAAGACAAAUGAAAACACAAGAAUUUACCUAAAAAUUUCAUGUACAACCAAGAACAUUCUCAUGUCCCACGCCUACACGUAAAGUUUAAUAUUAUCAUCUAAUCAUUCUUUAUACUUUUUAGAACGUUGCUCAUGUCACUUUCCACAAACAACAGAUAGUUCGAGAAAUAGGUAGAAAAAUAUCCUAUUUACCAUCUCUUUCUCCCUUAUUCUUGAAGCCUAUAUUGUUUUGUACACUUUCCAAUAGCACAAGCACUCUUUAUAUCGCCCUCUUGUUUUGAACAAUGUUAGGUUUACAGAAUUUUUACAGAUAUAUACUCAACAAUUUUUUAUUUGUUCAUGGCAAAAAAAAAAAUAAAAAUAAAAAUAGAUCCCAUCAAAAGCUUCCAACGCGACAUCUUGAUAUUUUCUGUAAGGCAUUUUUCUAUUCAUAUGGUUUUUUCUUCUUCUUUUCCCUUUUAAAUACUAUUUGACAUGGGAUAAAAUUAAAUUCACUUUACAUGUGUAAAAUGGACUCUGUAAGAAAACUUUUUAUAUGAGAAAGAAAAAUCCGUAUCCCUUUAUUGAUAUUUACAUCAUAUAUUACAGCAAACAAUAACAUCCUUGGAUUCGAAUGCGAUCAUCCAGUUGUUUUCUUACCUAUUAAGUCUAUUUUAGCAUAAAUUUUUUUUAAAAAUCAUUUAAAAAAAAAUCUUCAACAACACAUUUUAUAUAAUUUACAACUUUUUGUCACUUUAAUUCACAUUCUCAAAAACAUAAUAUUUCACUUUAAAAAAAAUAUGGCGAACAGGCUUUAAAUUGCCUCAACAAGUAUUUUAUUUGAAAGUAGGUCAACUAUGAAGAAAUAUUUUUAAAUUAAAUUUUCAAUUCUCAAAUAGUUUAUAAUUGUCGUCAAACUAUAAAUUUUGGACAUCUACCGUAAAACUAAGAGAUAUUACAAAGAUGUAUAUUUACGGGAUUGUUAAAAUAGCGCCAAUUAAACCUACAGGGGACCGAUUCUUGGACAUUAUCAAUGAAGCUUACUAGUAUUAGAAACAAAUAAGUUACCAAAAUCGCUCUAAUACCACUUGUUACGAAAUGGGGAGGUGAAUAUAAUACAAUAUGAAGUAUAUGAUCACACACAGAAAAUAAGAUUAAAAGCAAAAAAUAGAUUGGCAGAAGAACCGAGUAUUUUAUUUAACAACCAAUGAAGAAAAUAAUAUUGUUACAAAAGUUUCUGUAAUUCUCAAAUUGAAUGAGAGAUAAUUAUUUAUAGGGGACAUGUUAAAGCCCUAGAAGUAAUCUAAAAGAUGGAAACUGGGUCAAAAUACGUGUGAAACCGACAUAAAGAGAAAAUACCGAACGACGCUAUCACUUGAGCGGCUUCUAGUGCCAGGAGAGUGAUCGGCCUGUCGCUCAAGCGAGAGCUCGAGGACAAGCAAACGACAGCUCUCUGCUCCCAAAGAUUGCUUACUGCUCGAGCAGUAGGCUAGAGAUAGGCUAGCGAAAAUGCUGCGAUUUUUCUUUUCGGUCCAUAAUUUUGAUCUCUUCAAUAUCACUUCAACUAAAGCUCCAAUACUCACAAAGUUUAGGUCAAACUACAACAAAUUUUCACCUUGAACCAAAUUUCGGUGCAAAAAUGAAGCUCCAAAAUUUCUCCACCUGAAAAAAUAAGUUCGACAGAGAUGAAACAAUUGAACUUUUCAACCUGAACCAAACUUCUAUAAUCACACAAAAAAUACUCUUCCUCUUCCACAUUAUUCAAUACGGAUACACGAAUCCAAACAUCGAGUUCCAAGAAAUUCACAAAGAACUAGAAAUUACCAAACAGGAUUGAAACACACCCUGUAGCAGAAUCAGAUCUCAAUGCUUUCACUGAAAGCUCUUUGCAAGUUUCGACGCCUUCAAAAAUCCCAGAAGCAUGAGCAAACAAAUUGGCAUUCCCGUACCUAUCUCCAAUGUGUCUAUCCCUAGCAGUUGAAUACGAUGGAAUCACGGACAAUGGUGGCAAAGUGGGAUUAUCUAUAUCUUCUAAACCCAACUUAGUAGUAUUCUUCAAUAAAGACCCAGAGCCAAAUCCCAAUGGUACUGUAUCAAACUGAAUAUCCACCAUGAUACUAAACAUUCAUUGACUUUUCUUUAUCGAUUAUGUCCGACCUUGUAAGAUGUGUGACCAGGACCUCUUCUGCCCCUCUAGUAGAACACGUAUACCCUUCCAGACCUUCAAGACUCAAUCUGCUCCAGAGAACAUGUACCUUUUCGAAUCAAAAGUACUCAACAAAAUGAGAUUCUUCCUCAAAACUAGAAUAUGUCAAACGUGAUCAAGUGUUCUACUUCUUCCAUCUACCAGCUUCAAUCUAACUCUCCCAAUACUAGUUACCCAACUAGAUUCAUUGUUACCCAUGAUAACAGCACCUUGCAUCACUAUUUCAUAUGUUUCAAACAAAUCUUGAUUGGGACACAUAUGAACGUAUAAGCUGUAUCAAAGAUCCAGACCUCGUCGGGUUUGGAUUCCACGUUAGAAAUCACUAAGAGAUUUCCAUCACUCAAAAUAGUCCUAAGCUAUGUCGGCCUCGUCCAAACUGUUUGAUUGCUUCCCAUAAUUUGCAUUUGAAUUACCUUUGGUUUGCAGCUUCUCGCAAUCUCUUUUGAUGUGUCAUUUCUUCUUGCAAUAAAAAACAAACUUGAAUCCUGAAACUUGACCUCGACUUACCCCUUCGCCAAUCAUCAUGAACCACAAGACAUUCUCCAUCUUUGGACUCAGAUCCAACUAGAUGUUUCAUCUUUUCCUCCGAGAAAUGGGCAUCAUACACGUCUUCAAUGGUGAGGGUAUCACGACUAUGCAAAAUCAUGUCCCUAAACAAAGCGGACAGUGAACACAAUAGGAUUAAGGCAAAAUCUUUUUCAUCAUACUUUACCUCUAAUGUCACCAAAUCAAUGAUGACCAACUUGAACACAGCCAGAUGAUCUUCCAAAGAUCCACCCUUUUACCGUCAGAUAAGAAUACAACCUUUGCUUCAGAUGCAAUUUACUCAUCGGACUUUUAGUCAUGCAUAAUUGCACCAGCUUCAACCACAUCAAAGCUUCCGUCUUCUUCUUCAAAACGUCCUUAAAAAUAUUGUUAUAGAGAUGAAGAUGAAUCUGUGAAAGUGCAUUCCAAUCCUCCCAUUGUUUCUCCUCUAUUGUCUAAAUUGUGGGCAUCUUUUCAAAUCUCAACUACAUAUCACCUAAAUCCAUCUGCACUAAUAUAACUAGCAUCUUCGAUUGCCACAAUGAAAAUCUAGUAUUACUAUCAAAAAAUGAAAUUUUAUACUUCAGGUAUGUCAUCGAUAACAGGAAAUCUCAAACAAAAUCACAACUUUGCUCUGAUACACUUGUUAGAAAUAAACAAGUUACCAUAAUAGCUCUGAUACCACUUGUUACGAAAUGAGGAGGCAAAUAUGAUACAAUAUGAAGUAUAUAAUCGCACACUGAAAAUAAGAUUGAAAGCAAUAAAUAGAUUGGCAGAGGUACCAAGUAUUUUAUCUGACAAUCAAUUGAGAAAAUAAUAUUGUUAUAGCAAUCUCAACAAUUUUUAAACUGAAUGAAGAGUCUAUUAUUUAUAGAGGACAUGUCAAAUCCCCAGAAGUAACCUAUCAAAUCACCAGAAGUAACCAAAGAAAUAAAAACUAGAUUAAAAUACGUGUGAAACCGGCAUAAAGGGAAAAUCUCAUACGACGUUGUCACUUGAGCGACAUCUAGUGACAGGCAAGCGAUCGUCCUAUCACUGGAGUGAGAGGUCGACGACAGGCAGACAAUAGCUCUCUGCUCCUAAUGUUCGCCUACUGCUCAAGCAAUAGGCUAGUGAAAAUGUAGAGACUUUUCUUUCCGAUCCAUAAUUUUGAGUUCUUUAAGACGACUUUAACUAAAAGUCCAAUACUCACUAGAUUUGGAUCAAACUACAACAACUAGAUACACGUGCAAUUGGAAAAUUUCUCACAAAGAGGUUGACCUAAAAAUAAAAAACAAGGUAAUUGAACAUCGGUCUUAAACUUCAUGGGUAAUUUGGAAAUGAUCUUUUAUAGAGUGAGGAUUAAACAGAUCGGAUUUAACCGAUUCUAGACAAGUAUAAAAUAAAGAUAUGCUAAAUAUGAGUUACUUUUAUUGUUAAGCUCAAGAAAAGUUUAUAUUGUAGGAAAAUUUUCGCCUGGGUUCGCAAACUAUAACCCCUUCACAUUCGAAUUCUCAUAAUUUUUAAAUCCUAAAAUUUUGAUUUUUUUUUGGGGGGGCGGGGGGGGUUGUCGAGGAAACUAUUAAAAAUAUGUUACCUAUCAUGAUGUACAUUUAAAGGAAUUUUAGUUCAUCACGUCUAUUUCUUUGGAGGAGGAGGAGAAGAGGACAACGAUGAUAACGACGACAAACAAUAAAAGAAAGGAGAUGAAAACAGGAAAAAAAUAAUAAUAAUAAGAAAAACAGAAAGGAAAAAAAAAAAUUCCUGACAAAUAAAUAUUUAUUUAAGAUCACUAGUAUAAGGGAUGUUUAACCAAAUAAAAAAUUGUUAUAACAAAGUAGUGUCAAGGUUCCUAGGAAUCGAUAUUUAGUCGGCAUCUCAAAAAUAAAAAAAUAAAAAAAUAAAAAUAAAAAAUCUUGCAUUUCUGCGUUGCAUUGAUAUUCAAGAAGUUACAAUUGCUAUUUAGUUGAAUAAUCUAUUCAACUUUUAUUUUUAAUUUUAAUUUCAUAUGAGUGAACAUCAUUUUUCACAGUUUCAAAGUUAUUAACAAAAAUAAAGAGUAAAUAAUACAAUUAAUUUUUCUAAUGGAUAUGAAUUAAAGAUAAUUAACACUUAGGCAAACAGUUGGAUCAUUAGAAAAAUUUUGAAAAAUUAUAUUAACAUAAUUUAAUCUCUAAUUGCCAGUUAAUAAGUAUUAUUAAAGUUAAUACUGAAAUUAAGUUAACUUUUACUUAGAAAAAUAUAAUUCUGUUAAUUUUUAAUUGAAAACCCACAACAAAGAUCACGGAUCACGUGUAAUUCUUAAUCAUAAUUUUUUUUAAAUAUUAUGGUGGACAUUUUGAAAGGUAUUUCACCGAGUUUUUCAAAGUUUCCUAAUUUUAUUAAAAAUCAAAUUAAAUAAACAUUUUUUUGAGUUUCCAAAAUGUUUCCUUUCAAUUUCAGGGACAUGCAUUGGCAUUCUAGAAGUCUUUAAACAGUCUAGUUUAGGGUUUUGGGAGUGGGAGGGUUGGCAACCAAAAUUUGGCUUAUUAACAUUCUAAUUUAAAUGUUUAGGCAUUUUCUCCUCUAUAAAUUGAGACCAAGCCCCAGCAGUGCAUCAAGCAUCGCCGACAAUCUCUUCCUUUUAAAGAUGAAGACAUCAGGUAUUGCACUGUACGGUGUUCUACUAGCCGUAGCCGAGCCACUUGUUUUCGCGACAGAAGGAUGGGUUAUGAGUGAACUGCAACCUUGAGCAUCUGCCAUAGCGUGGUACUGCACCUUCUGUAGAGUACUGCACUAAUUUAACGCAACAGCAGCCUUGCUUUUGCCAGUUCCUCAAAGACCCAAGCUUAAAAGCGUAUAUUAACUCUCCCAACGCCAAGAAGCUUGCUCGUGCUUGUGAAGUGUCCAUUCCCACUAAUUGUUAACUAUCUAUGCUUAUGCCAAGAGAGUACUUAGGGAUUACUAUUCCCAGUAAAAGUAAUUUGGUAGCUAGCUUUAAUCAGAACAAUGAUGCACUUGUGUCCAUCUUUUUAAUAAUGGAAAAUAAAUAACUCUUGGACCGCCUAUCUUGUUAACGUAUUAGGAUGGGAUGUGUAAAGGUUGUUAGACAGGUCCACAUGUACUAUUUAUAAUAGAGAUAACCGGAAUUGUAUCUCACU